rnacentral:lncRNA from 1 species
AUCGCGAGCGCGCUGAAGUCGACGUCGUGGCUGACGCGCAGAGCGGAGGUGAGGGAGAUGUACGGUCCGCACGCGCCCGAGCCUCCGGCGGCGUGGUGGAACGAGACGUGCGAUCGCGCGCUGCUCCUCGGGACGCUGAAGCACGGGUACGGAAAAUUCGAUUUGAUUCGCGCGGACGAGACGCUCGGCCUGGGCGCGAUCUGCGACGCCGCGAUCGCGGCCGCGGAGGGACCGUCGACGCCGGAGAGCGAACCGAUGGAGGAGGACGUCUCCCCCGGAGGGACGCGUCGGUCGAAGCGGAAGCGCGCGCCGAUCGACGCGGACGCGAAGGAGAACGCGAAGGAUGGAAACCAAAUCCCGACCGACGACGACGGCGACGACGCAGGGAAACUGGUCGAAGACGCGCCGACGACGGUCGCGGAGUGGCCGCUCUCGCGCGUCCUGAGCCUGCGCGUGCGGCGCAUGUGCUCAGCCCUCGGCGGAAAACAAGUCGCGGUGCCUCCCGCGCCGAAGCUUCCGAAGCCCCCGCGCGCGCCCAAGACGGGCGGCGGCGGGGGCGCGCGCGGCGGCGGUCCGCGCGCCAACGCGGGCGGCUCGGUCGAUAAGAUCGCGCGCGCGAAGGCACAGGUCGACGCGCUUCCGCGCUCUCGCGACGGCGUCGUGAUCAUGCCCGUCGGCCCCAUUCACGGCGUCACCGUGGAAUCACUCGGGGAAGUCCAGCCCCCUGAUUCCGCGGGGUUCCACUCCGCGGCGUACAUCCUCCCGGUCGGGUACAAGACGUCGCGGUCGUACAUGCGGUGCGACGACCCGAACGGCGAGCGGACGCGGUGGACGCAGGAGAUCGUCCACGGCGUCGACGGCGCGGACGGUCCUUGGUUCAAGCUGACCGCGGACGAGGGCAUGGACGAGCCGAUCCUCGCGAAGAGCGCGACCGCGGCGUGGGCCGAGGUCUUAAAGCGCGUCACUGCGGCGAGGGAGGCGCUGGGGGAGACGGCGAAGAAGACGGCGAUCAGCGGGCCGGAAUUUUUUGGGUACUCGCUCCCGCACGUCCGGCUGCUCAUCGAGGAGCUUCCCGGGGCGAGCGAGUGCGCGGAGUACAUGCCGCUGCUCGAACGCGCGGCGACGGUGGAGGCGGCGGGGGAUGGCGCGGCCGCGGCGGUCGUGGACGAACCCGCGGCGUGACGCAACGAACGAAUAAAAUGUUUUGAAUAAUGAAUGUUCUUUCGACCUCAUCAGGCUACGAGUUUGACCGAUUAAUACGUAUCCCCUCCCCCCCUACGCGAACCUAGGCGAUCGCGAAGUUCGGUUCUUCCAGCGCGAGCUGCCACCACUCGUGAGCGUACUCCUCGAUCCCCGCGCCAUCGCGAUCGGUCUGCAUGCUGUCGUCGUCGCUGAGCCGGUCGUCGUCGCGCGAGUCGAAGUCGCUCGCGUCCGAGAACGCGCGCGCGGCGACCUGCUCCGACUUGGCGUUCUUCGCCGCUAUCUUCUUGUUCACGAGCACCUCCGCGUGUCGUUUCUUGUAGAUCGUCUGUCUGAUCUUUAAGAUGUGAUCCGGCCACGCUUUCUUGCCGUUGUAGAAGCUGUUCAGGAGGCUCAGGUCGGACUCGAGGAGCGCGGCGUAGGUUUUGAUCUCUUCCAUCAUGGCGCGCGCGCGCUCUUCCAUGUCGACGUCGUUCCCGUCCAGCGCGCGCUUCAAGUGGACGGUGAGGUCGUAGUACAGGUUCUUGAGCGACAUGAGCUUGCGGUACGGCCAUCGCGCGAUCCCGAGGGUGCGGCAUCUGUUCGACGCGGGGUGAGCGGCGCGGCGUCGUGAGUCAGCGGGUCAGAAGACGAGUGACGCGAAAAAGACUGUGUUUUUUUCAUCCAGAAUCAUGCACACGUGUCUCAAGCUGACGCGUUUUUGCGCGGUCGGUCUUCAACAAACACGUCGAAAGCGGUAAAGGGGUUUUGAAGGAAAAAAACCCGUUCGGGACGCGCACCUGGCCUUGAAGCGCGUCGUUCCCAUGUUGAACGCGCGCGCGGCUUCGGCCUCGGUCAGCAGCGCGACGGACGCGAGGCUCGUUUUCGUCAUCGUCUGCGAAAAAAACGCGGUCGCGGGGCGCGAUAUCGGUCAGGUUCGGACGCGCGGAGGGCGAAAAAAAGAAUGCGCGGAAUAGGAAUGAGGUAAAGCAUCCGCAAAAGCGGCGCGCGAGGGGCGAGCGACCGUCGCGCGCGCGCACCUUGCGGCCGUGUUCGGACCGAUCGCACGUCUCGAGGUCGACCUCGCGGUCGCGCUUGAGCGCGCCGCCGCGGUCGCGCGCGCGUUCGUCGGCGUUCGUCGACCUGUCGUCUUCGUGGCCGCGGUAGCGGUCGGUAGAGGCCUCUUCCGAUCCAGAUGAUGUCGUCCGCGAGAUGAGAGAGCCGCUGACGUCGGACAUCGUUCAGUUCUCGAGGGUUCGGCGGCGGGAGGGGCGGGGGCGGGGGAGGUUUCUUCGUGCCGAGGGGUUCGGCGUGCGCGCGCGCGUGCGUGCGUGCGUGCGGGCGUGCGCGCGGGUGUACCAGGGGCGCACCAAACUCGGUAUUCCACUUUAGGCCGUAGGAUUUUUCAGGAAAUUUAUUGGCGGCGCGUCUGAAGUCGCGCGUCAGCCAAUCACGAGCCGCGGUCGGCAUCCACGCUGUCUAUUACGUGUCCCAGAUACGCGGUUUACAGGAUAUUUGUGGUGGAUAUUUGAUACUUUUACAGGAUGUAAAGCACAUGCCGCCGGCGCGGGGAGCGCCCGCCUGCUGACGAUGACGCGUGCGUCCCAGCGCGCCGCCUCCAUCCCGCGCGCGUUCGUCGCGAUUCCCUCGCUCGCCGCGUCUUCGUCCGCCGCCGACGGCGGCGUCUCCGCGCGCUUCGCGUCGUCAUCGCGCGCGUCGCCCAGAUCCACGAAAUCAUUACUAACCAAUUCUCGCGUCCGUCCCCCCGCGCAGCGACGAUAUCGUCGACGACGAGCGCAUCGCGCGGCGACACCCUCGGAAGCGCGUGCGCGCGAGGCGCGGACGAGCGCGAGCGUCAUCGCGCGAUGCCCGCGACGCGCGCUCGCGACGGGCGUCCCGAUCAGCCGCCCGCGACGACGUUCCUCGCCGACGCGAAACCGGGAAAAAAAGAUCGAGUUCGGUUCGCCGAGCUCGUUCGCCUCGAAUCCGCGACGAUCCGCGGCGGCGCGCGCGACGACGGGUGCGUGACGUCCCCGCGGCGCUUCGACGAGCGUCGCGAUCGCGACCCGGCGAAGGAUUCCCCUCGCGUCGUCGCGGCCGCGGCCGGCGACGACGACGCCGCCGACGCCGUCGCGACCGUGGCGGCGGCGGCGACUGAAGGCGCGGAACCCAAAGACGCCGCCGGGGGAAAGAAACCCGUCGGCGUCUUCUCCGCGUGUAAGAAGUUCGUCACGAAGACCGCGUCGUACGCUGGGGAGAAGGACCGCGACGCGCCGCGAGCGAGCAGCAUCGCGGUCCCGGCGACGCCGUCCGCGAAGAAGGCGACGACGUCGCGACGCGCGGCGGCGCGUCUCCUCGCGUGCGCGUCGGAGACGCUACCCGGCGGUCCGAGCCGCGGCGCGCGCGCGGGGUCGCCGCCGCCCCCCGCGCGGCGACGCCCGCGCCGCGCGUCGGAGAGCGUCGGCGGUGCCGUCUCCGGGGGUCCGUCGCGGGCGUCCACGCGUCCGACCCUCCGCCCCGCCGCGGCGGCGGUAGUCGACGUCGCCGCGGAGGAGGAGGAGGAGGUGGAGGAGGAGGAGGAGGAGGAGGAGGAGGAGGGCGACGGGUCAGGUUUCGGACCCGAAGCCCCUCCGUGGGUCGAGCGCGACGGCGCAGACGCCGUGAACUUGUACGUCUCCGGCGCGACGAGCAUCAGCGCGGCUUUGCUCGCGAUCGACGAGACGCACCGAACGCCGGCGCGGACGCGAGAGUCGAAAACCGGCCGCCGCGCCGCGCCGCUAAGCAAGCAGUCGUCCUCGGAAGCGCUCGCGCCGCGCGACGAUACUUCGGCACGGAAGAGCCCGCCGUCGCUGCUGACGCCGAGGAACCCUGGCGACCACCCCGCCGGUGACGUGAAAUCGUCGAUGCCGACGUGGACAUCCGACGCGGCGGCGCCGGCGCGCCGCGUCGACGACGGCGCCGGCGGCGCGCGCGCCGAGCGCGCGACGCCGCCGCUCCCGCCCCCGGCUCCGGCCGAGGACGACCUCGAUAUCGGCGUCGCCGCGGGCGGGAUGCACGACGACCGCGACUUCCUGCGCAUCCUGAUGGAAAACGAAAUCAUCGAAAACGAGAGCGAGGACAGCGGGUCGGACUUGAGGGACACCGCGCCGCCGUUCGAUACCCUGGAAGACGUCGUCGCGGACGUCGACGUCGGCGGGUAUUUCGCGACGCGCGACGUCGUCUUCGACCCGCCGGGGUACGACUUCGCGAUGAUGCACCUGCUCGAGACUGCGGCGAUGAGCUGACGCACCGUGCCGCGCGCGAGGCGACGCGAGUGCAUGUAUACGUGUAGAUGAUCGUGUUGGUCAACGGGCGAGCGCCCCCGCUUGCAGCCUGCUUUUUUUUUAUUUUCACCUUUCUCAUGAAAAGUUUUUACUCGUACAGUGUUCGAUGUUCAUACAAACAAACGCGCCUCGUCUCCCUCCGCGCGCGCGUCUCCCACCUCCCCACAACCCCCACGACAUCACAUCACAUCGCAUCACUCGUCCUCUUCGAGCGCGAUCAGAUCCAGAUCCAACGCGGAACCGAACGUGUUCUCGCCGCUGUACGCGAUGUACAAAAACCCGUCGUCGUCUCUGUGAUCGUCGUACACCGCCGACAUCAGCGCCGCCGUGGGGGGAAGGACGUUGUUCACGAACACGAAGAUCGCCUUCUCGGGCGAGAGCUUGAUUCGCUUGCGGAUGACGUACACGAACUGUCCGACGGUGAGGUCCGCGGGGACGAGGUACCUGGGACGGGGAGGGAGCGAAAGGAGCGGACGCGUCGACGGCGAGGAAAAGGGAAUAUGCCAAACCAAACACGCGCGGAACGGAACGCGCGCGCGGGCGGGGCGCGCACUUCUUCUUGUCCAGGUCGGGGAUGUCGCUCUUCUCAGCCUUCUCGACGAUGACCUGUUCGCGAGAAAGGUAGGCGGACGAGUGAGCGCGACGUGCGGGAGAGACGACGGGCGCGACGCGACGCGGGCGGCGCCGUUAUCCGCCGCCGGAUAAAAAAGCACGCGUCGCGACGACGUGACGCGGCCGACGAACGUUCAAAUGGUUUGAAAGGGGACGCGCGCACCGGGAUCCGGUCCGGAUACUUGUCCCGGAUGCGCUGCGCCUCGGCCUGGCGCUUGUCUGCGAGAGCGAGAGAAGAGGCGGGGACGCGCGCGCGUCAGGAAGGCGGACGCGGCGGGUCCGGACGCGACGCGCCGCGCGGGAUGAGGGGAAGGGCGCGACGACGCGCGGCUCGAAUCUAUCUUCUGACUCCGUCUCGCGCGCGUCUCCUCGUCCGACGAGCGCGCGCGCGUCGCGGCGUCGCGCGCGCGCCGACGACGCGGAUCUGACCAGACUCCGCGCGCGGCGCGCGAACGCGAUGGUCUUCUCGCGAACGAUGCGGGAGGGUACGACGCGCGCGCGCGUCCGCGCGGCUGGCGCGGCGCGAGCGCGCGCGACGUCCCCUCGGAACGCGCGACGGGGAGGACGAAUGAACGGGGGACCUCCGCGGGGACGCGCGCGUCGACGAAAAACGACUCGCGAAGCGGGCGCGCACCGAGCGCGUGCUCCUGCUUGAACGUGGACCGAGCCGACAUCGCGGGGUUCGUUCGUUCUCUUCGCUCGCGGGGGAGGCGUCGCGUCCGUCGUCGCGCGCGCUCGUCGUUGUGACGCGCGGGACGCGCGAGUCGUUGUCGUUUUUCGAGUUGACGUCGGCGAUCUUCGCGCCAAAUCGACGAGUUUUUCGCGCUCCUGACCGGUCGUCUGCCGUUCUCAUCGAUGGCGCGAUCGCGGUGAUGAGAAACCAACGGCUUUAUUUCUCGAUCGAUGGCAUCGCGGCGCUGCACUCUCUGCGAAGUCGAGCGAAUCGUCGCUGCCAGUCGUCCGUCAGUUUCGCUCGCGCGCGCCGCACGUCGUCGCUCGCGAUGGACGACGAGUUCGCGCUCUUCGCGGCGGAGAUCGGGCAGCUCGAGGAGAAGGCGAAGGAUGAGCCCCCCGCGCCCGUCCCCGCGCCCGCGCCCGUCCCCGCGCCCGCGACCGCGACCGCGACCGCGACCGCCAGCGCGACGACGCGCGCCGCCCCCGCGCGAGCGACGAUCGCGCGAGCGCCCGAGCACGUCCCCGCGGGCCCGUCCGCGCGCCCCGCGCACGACGCCGCCGCCCCGCCGCCGUCGCGCUCGAUCCCCCCGCCGCCUUCGCACCUCGGCGGGUACGACCCGCACGCGGCGCAGGCGUUCCAUCAUCUUCAUCAUCAUUCGAACCCUCCGCCGCACCACGGGGGGAUCCCGCCGCCGCCGCCGACGCAGCACGAGCUGAAGCGCGCGGACGGCGACGCCACCCCGCGGUCGAUGAUGCCCGCGAAGAAGAUCGGGAAGCCGGUGUAUAGAUCCGCGGCCGGGGACCGGUGGCAGGAUAAGACGUUAGGGGACUGGCCGGAGAACGAUUACAGAAUCUUCGUCGGCGACUUGGGCACGGAGGUGAGCGACGACCAUCUCGCGAGGGCGUUCGGGAAGUACGCGAGCUUUCAAAAGGCCAGAGUGGUGAAAGAUAAGACGACGCAGAAGAGCCGAGGGUUCGGGUUCGUGUCGUUCAUGGACAGCGCGGACUACUCCAGCGCGAUGCGAGAGAUGAACGGCAAGUACAUCGGGAACCGCCCGUGUAAGCUGAAGAAGAGCGACUGGGCGCAGCGGAACGACACGAGGGCGGUGAAGAACCGCGUCGUCCCGAAGAAGAAGCCGUACGAUAAGAGGAAACACAUCGCGAUAGGCCCGAGCAUCGGCCCGCCGCAGAAGCGGUGAGCGGUCGCGCAGUAGUCGAAUAGCAGCGCGUCGCGUGCAUUAGAGGGUGGAGUACUUAGACUACUCGUAAUCGGCGACUCCGCCGCGUAGUCUACUAACUUUGGGAUGUCUUCGUUCACUCCGCGGCGGCGGCGCCGACGGACUUCGCCGCCUCCUUCACCCCCGCGGAGGGGACCGCCUUCUCGAGGUUCGCCGCCGCUCUCUCGAGCUGCGCCGCGGCGACCCUGAGUGCAGCCUUCUCCGCGUCGAGCGCCGCGCGUUCCUCCCGCAGCUUCCGACGCUCCUCCUCCGCGGCGGCGGCGGCGGCUUUCGCCGCGCGCGCCUCCGCCAGCCUCGCCGCGGCGGCGGCGGCUUUCGAGCUCUCCUCGAGCGGCUUCGCGACGCUCGAGGCGCGCGGCGGUUUCGCGGUCCCCCCGCCGUUCGCGUUCGCGGCGUUCACCAGCCCGGUCACCACGUCGGACAGGUGAUCGAACCGCGUCGUCAACGCGCGCAACGCGUCCGUCGUCUCCGAGACGAACACCCCGACGCGGUCCAACACCGUCGCCUGCGCCGCCGCGAGGAGCUCGAUCUGCGCGCGCACGUCGCCGCGACUCGCGUCGCCGGACGCGGACGGGGGGUUCAGCGUGCUCUUCCAGUCCGCGUGUUUCCGCAUCGCGGCGUUCGCGACGGACGCGACGUCCGUCAGCGGGUCGACGUUUUCGCCGCCGCCGCCGCCGCCGUCGUCCAACCUCGACGCGAGCGCGACCCACGCCGGGGUCUCGUCCUCGUUCAGCUCGAAAUCGUCGCGCGCCCCGCUCGGUCGCCGUCGCGGCGGCGCUCUUGGCGGGCGCGCGGGAGGGGUCAACACCGGCGGCGACGACGCGCGCGUGGACGCGUCCGGCCCGGACGGAUCCUCCGAGACGCUCCCUCUCGCGACGUCGACGCUUCGGACGUCAGCAGCGUCGGAGGACCCUUUUUGCUUUUCAUCCUCCUCUUCCUUUUCGCCGUCCCCGUCCCCGUCCCCGUCCCCGUCCCCGUCCCCGCCGCCGCCCGCGUCCUCUGGUUCCCCCUUCUUCGGCGGCGGCGCGGGCGUCUCCACGCCCGCGACCGCGCCGACGCCGUCUACGUCCGACGCCUUCGGCGCCGGCGUGACGACCGGCCCGUUCGUGAACGGCGGCGGCGGCGCGCCUUUGUCGGGCGCGAACACGACGUCCUCCUUCUUUUGCGCCUCUAAAAACGCCUCCGAUAACUCCCCUUUCCCCCGCGGCGCGCUCCCUCUCGCCCUUCCCCCCGCGGCCCCGCGCAUCUGCACCGUGCCUAACGCCCCGCGCAACGCUUGCCCGCCGCCGUUCUCGAUGUCCCCCGCGAGCGCGCCGACGCCGUCGCCAACCUUAUGCCGCACCCACGCGCGCCAACGCGCGACGUCGUGUUUGGGACCCUCGUACGUCGUCAGCUCUCGCGCCACCGCGGUCGCCUCCGCGACCGCGUCUCUCGCGGGUUUCACCUUGUCGAACUUCGCCGCGCUCAGCGCGCGGGAUAUGUGACCCAUGAGAGGCACGUCCUCGAUCGCGAUGUCCAUCGUCGGGCCCAUGUGGUACAUCAACGCCACGAGCGCGUCCGCGGUUUCUUUCCUCGCGUGCCAAUCUUCGGAUUCAAACUGCGACAACAGCCUCGCGUCCGCGAACGCUCCCGCGCGUCCCCCCUCGCCGUCCGCAUCCUUCGGGAUCCCUAAAAUCUCCGGCAGCUGCGGCGCCAUCGCGGGCGCGGCGGCGGCGAACAGACUCCCAAUCGCCCGGAUGAGCCCCGGCGCGGCGUGAAACGUCUUCGACUCGAGAUGCCGAAUCAGCCGCACGCCGAGCUUCCCCGGUCCGCCGGAAGACCCCCGACCCGCGCCCGGAUCGCCGUUGUACCAGUUCACGCCCACGGGGACGCACGCGCCGCCGACGCCGGGCCCGCACCUGCGAAAAACCCUCGCGAGCGCCCUGCACGCGACGUCCUGCGGCCCGCGCGAGUUGCAGUCGCCGACGGCGUCGAGCAGCGGUCGGACGAAGAGCGGGCCCAUCGCCUCCGGGCCGGCCAUGACGUUCACGUUCCCCAGGUGCACGCCCGGGCGGCAUCGAACCGCGAAGUGCGCGAGCGCGCCGAUGGCGUCCACGCACGCGUCCUGGACCGCGGUGUCGAUAUCUCUGAACCGACGCGUGCACGCGGUGAGCAUGCGAGGGAGGUAAUACAGCGCGUGUUCGCCCUGGGUGGUGGCGACGAGCUCGAACAAUCGGAGCACCUCCGCGCGCGCGAUCGGCUUCGGCGACGACGACGCGUCGUCCACGAGGCACGCGACGAUGAUGCCGAGGUCUUCCGCGGCGACGCUCGUUAUCGCGCGAUUGAGCUCCUUCGCCGCGACGGCGAGCGUGUCGCGGUCCGCGAGGCGAGUCAACGAGUUCAGGACGCGGUUCUUAAGCAGCGCGGGAUCCGCGCGGCGCUUGCCCGCCAUGGCGUCGAACGGAGCGACGCCGACGCCGCGAGAGGCCGCGAGGGGGUUAUCAGGGGUAGGCCGGAGACGCGCGCGAAGCUCUCGUCCUCCGCCGACGCCGCGGCGCUCGCGGCUGUGACGAGGGCGCGUUUGAAUCGAAGCAUCUCGGCUGUUCCUAGACUUUUUUUUUUUGUCCCGGUCGAAUAACAGAACGUUCGAUCGAGUCGACGGAUCCGGCGGGCACUCCUCCGCGCACGCAACACGCUGAUCAUGUUCGCCCGCCGCGCCCUGCGCGCGCUCGCGAAGGCCGCGUCCACCGCGCGCGCGGCCGCGACCGCGGAAUCCCACGUCCUCGCGAGCGCGGCGCGAGCUUCCGCGACCGCGCGAUCUUCCGCUUCUUCAGGGAGGACGAUCGCGACGUCGGCAGCCUCCGCGCUCGGGUUCGCCGCCGCGGCGUUCGCGCCGACGGCGACCGCGUUCUGCGCGGACGGCGCUCCUGUUGCGGAAGCGCCCGCCGCGGAAGGGGGCCCUCCCGUGGCGGCGGCGUCGAGCGCGGCGCACCCCUCCGUCGUCUUCGUCCUCGGCGGCCCCGGAAGCGGGAAGGGCACGCAGUGCGCGAACAUCAUCAACGACUUCGGGUUCGAGCACCUCAGCGCGGGCGACCUCCUUCGCGCGCACAUGAAGUCCGGCUCGAAGGACGGGAACAUGGUCGCGGAGAUGAUCAAGGCUGGGCAGAUCGUCCCGAGCGAGGUCACGGUGAACCUCCUGCUCGACGCGAUGCGGGCGAGCCCGAGGGACAAGUUCUUGAUCGACGGAUUCCCGCGGAACCAGGAGAACCGCGACGCGUGGGAGAGAACCGCGGGGUACGACUGCGACUUCGUGCUCUUCUUCGACUGCCCCGAAGAAGUCAUGGAGAAGCGACUGCUGAGCCGCGGGGAGACGUCCGGGAGGACGGACGACAACAUCGAGAGCAUCAAGAAGCGGUUCAAGACGUUCGUGGAGUCCUCCGUGCCGGUGGUGGAUUACUACCGCGGCCUGAGCAAAGUUCGCGAGGUGAUGAGCGAUCAGCCGCCGGAGGAAGUGUACGCGCAGACGAAGGCGCACUUCGCGCACUUCGCGUGAUGAGCGCGUGUGAUUAUUACGGCUAAUCUUAAUAUUUCUCGCGUUGAAAAAAUGAAUUUUAUUCAUGCUGGUACAGUGCUUGCGAACGAGAUUACGUCGUGCUUCUCGUUUCUCGUGUCUUCUUCUCCACUUCUCCCGGGGAUGGGAUGGAUCAUCUCGUCGCUCACGCGACGCGCUCCUCCGCGUCCUCGGACUUCUUCGAACCCCACAACCCCGCGGCCCUGGGGUUGAUGAGCAGCCGGUUCUUCAUCUGGCGCUCGUGCUCCGGGUCCCAGUCGCGCUUGACCGCGUUGUUCUCGGGCCUCCCGCGCUUCGGCUUGGGCCGGUCGAUCUUCUUCACGUCCCCGUGAAGCGGCGCGCCGAGGCCGACGGCGUCGAGCUCUAAGAUUUCGUUCGUCCCGAUCCCUCUCUCGAUCCGCGGCCCGGUGGCCACGAACCCUCUCAGCUGCGACGACGACACGAACGCGGAGGUCAACAUCCUCCCCGCGGAUAAUCCGUCCGAGAGUUCAACCUCCGCGCUGCAAUCCGCGCGGCACUGCGCGUCCACCGUCUCGGCGAGCGCUCCGAGGUCCGAGGAGACGAUCUCGAAGCGAGCCUUCCACAGCGUCGUCGUGAAGUUCGCGGCUUCGAGCGCUCUUCUCAGCGCCGCGGCGUCCCUCUGCGCGGCGUACACCUGCGCGUCCGCGGCGGCGUUGAUCGCCGCGACUUCGCGUUCCACCGCGCUUCUCACGAGGUGCUCGCCGUCGGACGCGACGCGAAGCGCCGACGUCUCCUCGACAAUCUUGAUCUUCUCCUCCGCGGUCGCGCGCGCUUCCUCCGCGGCCUUCUCCGCAGCCUUGACCCUCGCCUGCAGCUGCGCGACGGCGGCGGUCGCGCGGCCCUCCCACAUCACGGCCGCCUCUUGCUGCGUCGCCGCCUCCUCUCGCAGGAGUUCGAUCUCCUUCUUCUUCGCGAUGUGGUCUUGCUGGAGCGUGACGAUCUUCGCAUCCGCGGCUUCCUUCUGCGCAGCAAUCUCCGCCAUCUGAUCGAGCAGAUCACUCUGGUUCUUCAGCGUGCUCUCGUGGUGCGUCGCCUUCGCUUCCGCAGCCUCUUUCGCGGCGACGAGCGCGUCGCGGCUCUCUUUGAGCUCCGCGAGCUCCCUCGCCCUCUUCUCGAGCACCGCGCUCGUGGCGGUGUACUUCCCUUCCCACUCAGUCGUCCUCUCGACCGCGAUCGCGAUUUCUUCGGUCAGCGCCACGAUCUCGCGCUCCUUCACCGCGAGCUUAUCGGUCAACUGCGUCACUUUCAAGUCCACGGCUUCUUUCUGCGUCGCGACGUCGAUCAUCUCGUCGAGCUUCGCGUUCGUCUUUUCCAAGUUUGUCUCGGCGGCGACCGCUCUCAACUCCGCGGCUUCCUUCUCCUUCUUAUACAUCUUCGCGUCCUUCUUCGCUUGUUCCUCCGUCUCCGUUUUCACCUUCUCCGCGGCCUCGACGCACGCGGCCGCGGCUUUCAGGGUGUCCUUCACCCUGUCCUCGACCUUGAUCUCCGCCGCCUCGGCGAGCGCGGUGGCUUCGUCCCUCGCCUCCGCGGCGGCUUUAUACCGCGCCCGGAGCUCCUCGCCCUCCUUCGUCAGCGCCGCGAUCGCCUCCUCCUUCUCCACGAGCGUCUGCUGCGCCGCGCCCUCGCUCGCGACGAGCGCCUCGAGCUUCGCGAGGAUCUCGUCUUGCGCCCGCAGCUGCUGCUCCGCGGAGGCGGCUCUCGCGAGCGCGUGCUCCUUCGCCGCGUUUGCCUUCUCCGCAUCCGUCUGCGCGGCGUUCAAGAGCGCGCGCGCGGCGACGUCCGCGUCCUCCGCGAAGGACUCCCUCGCGACGAGAUCGAGCUGCUUCGCGGUCUCGAGGACGGCGUUCGCCUCGCGCGCGGAUCUCUCCGCCUCCGCGCGCUUCUUCUUCGUCGUCGCGUCUCGCUCGAUUUUGAUCGCCGCGACGAGCCGCUUUUCGAUCUUUCUCUCGAGCGCGACGGCGGAGUUGGCGUACUCCUUCUUCAGCUUCUCCGUCUCCAUCUUCGCCUCCUCGAGCGCGACGCGGCUCGCGAACUCCGCCUCCGCGACGGUCUGGUUGAGCGACAGGCGGUGCGCGUCCGAGAGGCGGAUCGCCUCUUCUUUCUGCUCCGCGAGCGCGAGCUCGAGCGACUUGUUCUUCGCCACCGACUCGUCCAGGAGCUUCGCGAUCGACAUGAGCUUCUCCUUGAGAUCCCUGGUCGCCUCCGUGAGCGCGACGACCUCGGCGUGUUGGUCCGCGGGGCACUCUUCCGCGAGCGGCUCCGCGGACGCGAUGGACGGCGCCUGGAGCGUGUCAACGUCCUCCUCGCUGCCGGUCGCGGGCGGGGAAUCGUUUGAGACGGAGUCCAUCCGAGCGACCGAUCGCCGCUUAUUCGCGAAGGGUUUGCGCGCGGUCGCGAGAAGACGCGGGCCGGGGGCGGCGACGGCGGGCCUCGCGCGCGCGCGCGAGGGGCCGUGGCCGAGCGUCGCCGCGCGGGCGGGCGCGGCCAUGGCGCGAACCGCGUGCUGCAUCUAACGAAGCGAGACGCGACGACGCUUCGACGGCGAUAUUAUUUUUUGUUACUUCUCGCGCGCGGCGAUGCGCGGGAGCGGUCGCGGCGGCGCGGAGCUGCGGGGGACGACGGAGACGGCGUGGGGGGGAUCGGUCAGGAUUGAAUUCGCGCGAACGGGGCGAACGCGCGCUCGCGGCGCGGCGCGGGAGGCGAGAAUCCAAAGUAGGUUACCGCCCCUGCGGGGCGAAAAAAGCCCACGGAAAAAAGCCCACGCCUGGAAAGAUACGACGGCGCGACGAUUCGAGCUCGCCGAUCGCGGCGCGCGCGGGGACGACGCGCGGGAAGACGCACCGCGAGCGCGCGGCGAGUCGCGGCUGAGGUCUUUUUAAACGUUCGCGACGCGCGUGCGCGAGACGACGUGCGUGCGUGAGUGUCCCUCGGGGGGGAUCGCGACGCGGCGGCAACGUGUCGUUUUUCGCUAACCUCGUCAGCGCCAUCAAGUGGCAUCCGCGCUGCCAGGUGUCCGUCGCUUUUUAAACCGUCGUUUUUGGGUCAAAGUCUCUGCUCCGACUUUCGGGCAGCAGCCCGGCUAAAAUCAGCAGUAAAAUCUAGGAAAAACCCGCAGAGGGGUGCAAAAAAUUCGGCAAAAAAUGCAAAAAAAAUCAAACAUAAAAAGAAUUUGACUCAAAAAGCACGGUUUAAAAGUUUCGUUCCGGUCCGAAAAAAGCGGCCGGUGCACCGGCACGAGACGAGACCUAUCAAACGUCGUCGUCGCCGGCGCUGCACUUCAGCCCUGCACUGCGCUCCUGCACUGCACCGCGCGAUGGGGGCGUCGCCGGACGACGCGUCCGCGUCGUCCCCGCGGCCGUCGCUGCUCGUGCUGUACGGGUCCGAGACCGGGAACGCGCAGGUGCGCGCCGUCGCGGCGAUCUCCCGUCGUCUCCCCCCGCGCGUCUCCCCCGGCGACGCGCGCGGCGGCAGAGUGCCUACCGCCGAGCGAGACGAGACGAGACGAGAUCUUCAUUCUCCUCGCCCGUCGUCGUCGUCGUCGUCGUCGUCGCGUCUUCUCCCCGCUCACCCCGACCCCGACGCUCGUCCUCUCUUCCCUCGUCCGCCCGCCAGGACGCCGCGGAGCGGAUCGCGAGGGACGCGAACCGGCGCCACUACCGAUGCGACGUCCUCGCGAUGGACGACUACGAGGUCACCGAGCUCCCGCGCGCGUCGACGGCGCUGUUCGUGACGAGCACGAUGGGCCAGGGCGACCCGCCGGCGAACAUGAAGCGCUUCUGGCGGUUCCUCCUGCGCAAGUCUCUCCCCGCCGCCUCGCUCGCGGGCGUCGACUUCGCGGUGUUCGGCCUGGGGGACUCGCACUAUCAAAAGUACAACGUCGCCGCGAAGAGGCUUCACAAGCGGCUGCUGAGGUGCGUUCUAUCUCGCACUGGUUCCCAUACGAUCGCGUUGGCGUGGUGAACGCCGAUCGUUAAGGACUUUUCCCGGCGCAUCUCUUCGCCCACGCCUCGCUUUCAAUCCCGACACACCUCGGCGCCUUUCAACUCCAUCUGACGCCUUUGAACUCCACCCCGACGUUCGCUCGUACGGAACGACCCUCAUUAGCCUGGGCGCGAAUCCGAUCGCGCCGCUGGGCCUCGGCGACGACCAGCACCCGACCGGACACGAAGCCGCGCUCGAUCCGUGGCUCCGGGACGUGUGGACCUCGUUGCGCGCGAAGUAUCCCCUACGCGACGGCGAGCGCGACCCCGCGGACGGGGAGGAGGCGACGGCGCUCGAGCGGUGCCGGUACUCGGUGGAGGUGGUCGACGACGCUGACGCCGCGGACGGAGUAGAUAAGCGAGGUAAUAAGGGGAAGUGGUGGCGGAAGCACGUCGCCAGCGAGAUGCCGACGACGCCAGAGCUGUGCGCGGCGGCGGCGUUGAUGGACCGCGUCGCGCGCGCGGCGGCGCGCGUGGACCCGAGAAUAUUGCGACGCGGCGGCGGCGGCGACGACGGCGCGUCGACGGACGACGCGCGCGCGUCGACGCGACGUUUCGGUCCGGAGAACCCGUGCUUCGAGACGACGAUCUUGAUGAACGCGCCGCUGACGUCGAAGGAGUCGUCGCACGAGGUUCGGCACGUCGUCAUCGACGCGUCGGGGAUGGGGGACGCGGGGACGACGACGACGACGACGACGGGAGGAGGAGAAGGAGGGGGGCGCUCCCCGAAAGGGUGUUUGUACUCCCCCGGGGACUCGGUCGCGGUGCUGCCGACGCCCGGGACGUCGACGGGGGGGCAAAAAGCGUGCGCGGCGGCCGCGGAGGAGCUCCUGCGGCGCGCGGGCGUUCCCUCGGACGCGUGGAUCACGGUGCGACCGAACGUCGACGGGGGCGGCGACGCGCUCGAACCGGCGAUGCCGGCGAUGACGCUCAUCAUGGGGGCGUUAGAUCUCACCUCCGCGUCCCCGCGACGGUACUUCUUCGAAGUCGCCGCGCACUUCGCAUCGGACGCCGCGGAGAAGGAACGCCUGACGUACUUCGCCUCCGCGGAGGGCAGAGACGAUUUGUACCGGUACAACGAGAGAGAACGCCGCAGCGUGAUCGAGUUCUUGGACGACUUCAAGUCCGUCAACCUGCCGUUGCCGUGGGCGUUUCGAGUCGCCCCGAGACUCCGCGCGCGUCUCUUCUCGCUGUCGUCGUCGCCGUCGUCGCACGCGAACGAACUCCACUGCACCGUGUCGCUCGUGAAGUGGAAGACGCACUACGGACGCGCACGGGAAGGCUUGUGCUCCAACUACCUCGCGAGGUUAGCCCCCGGCGCGAGCGUCGCGACGUGGAUCGUCCCCGGGACGCUGCGACUACCCCCGGACGCGUCCACGCCGAUGAUCGUGGUGUGCACCGGCAGCGGCGUCGCGCCGUUCCGUUCCUUCGCGCACGAGCGCGCGGCGAUGCGAGCGCGCGGCGAUAAACUCGCGCCGACGCUGGUGUUCUUCGGGUGCCGACACCGCGAGCACGAUUGCCUGUACGAGCGCGAGUGGGCGGUGUUCGACGAGCCUCGCGGCGUCCUCGCCGGCGACGUCGACGUCCCCGGCGCGGCGCCCCCCGCGGACGCGCCCGCCGACGGACCCCGCUGGUUCGUCCCCGCGUUCUCGCGCGACGCGCCGGACGGGUCGAAAGACUACGUCACGCAUCGAAUUAUCGCGCACGGCGCGCGGGUGUGGGCGAUGAUCGCCGCCGGCGCGAGCGUGUACGUCGCGGGGAGCACCGGGCGGAUGCCGGAGGACGUGUCGGACGCGUUCGAGGCGGUGGCGGUACGACACGGCGGGCUCGACGCCGCCGCCGCGCGCGCGCACUUCGCGAGGAUGGACGCGACGGGGAAAUAUUCCGUGGAGGCGUGGUGAGCGCGGCGCGACGUGCUGAUGGACGGGUGGAUGGAUUUUAGCGCGUGGUGCUGUCUUCUGUACUGUCACGCUCGAUAGCCGCGGCGAAAGAACCGCCGACAGGAAGAGAACUCAUCAAGCCGUCUCUUCGUUGCCUCCCGUCGCGCGCGCGCGCGCGAAGUCAAAACGCGCGUCGACGUCCGAACGCUCGCGUCGACGCCGCGCACUGCGCACGCGCGCGAGCGGCACGUCGACACCUCGACGCGCGGGUUCGCAUCGCACGCGCGCGAACGACGCCGACCGCGUCGCGCGACGCCGCCGCUCUCGCCCGCGCGCGUCGAGCGCGCCGCGUCGAGGCGCGUCCGAGAACGGAACGAGGGAUUGUCUCAGACACUUCGAGUCAUCGAACAGUCCGCGCGCGACGAACGCGAUGGCCGCGAGCGCGACGAGCGACGAGCCGGUCACGAACGAGCCCAAGGGUGCGCCGCUCCUCCUCGCGCGCGCCCCCGCGUCCGCGCCGCGCGUCGACGCGACCGCCGCCUCGCUUCGCGCGCGCGAUCGCCNNNNNNNNNNNNNNNNNNNNNNNNNNNNNNNNNNNNNNNNNNNNNNNNNNNNNNNNNNNNNNNNNNNNNNNNNNNNNNNNNNNNNNNNNNNNNNNNNNNNGACCGAUCCUCACGCCGAAAUGGGUGCGUCUCUCCGCUUGACGCCUCUCCGCGACCCGCGCGCGAGCGCGCGCGCGACGCCGUUCCCCGCGCGGUCAACCCCGCGCGAUUGUCGACGCGUCCCUCCGUUCCCCGAAAUGUUUUUCUUUGGUAACCUUAUUUUUUUCUCGCGGCGGUCUCGCACCGGCGACGCCGCCCCGCGCGCCCGCGCGAACGCGCGACUCAACCCCAUCCCCACCACGCUCGCGACCCCUCCCUCCACCCCAGAUCGCGUGCAUCCUGUUCGCGCUCGGGGCGCUGUUCAUCCCCCUAGGGGUGAUUUGCUACGUCGCGAGCGACGGCGUCGUGGAAGUGAGCGCUCGAUACGACGACGUCGCGAGCUGUACGUCGGGGUUCUUCUCCUCGGACGUCGAGCUCGCGACGUCGCAGCAGACGUUGGGCGCGGGGACGACGUGCACGGUGACGCUGACCGCGCCCGCGAAGAUGACCGCGCCGAUAUACGUAUACUACGAGCUCGAGAACUUUUACGCGAACCAUCGUCGGUACGUAAACUCGAGGAGCGACGAGCAGAUGAGCGGCGACGCUCGCGUCGACGACUUUUGCAAGCCGCAACUCUACGACGCGUCCGGGGAUGAGAUCACGCCGUGCGGGCUCGUCGCGUGGUCGUACUUCAACGACACGUUCGCGCUGACGGACGGCAGCGGCGCCGCGAUCGCGGUGUCGGAGACGGACAUCGCGUGGGACGCGGACGUGGACCUGAGGUUCGGCGAGGUGCGUUCUAUCUCGCACUGGUCCCCAUACGACCGCGUCGGCGUGGUGAACGCCGAUCCUUAAGGACUUUUCCCGGCGCAUCUCUCCGCCCACACCUCGCUUUCAAUCCCCGCCCUCGAAGCCUUUCAACUCCACCUGACGCCUUUCAACUCCACACCUCAGAACGUCGCGCCGGCGAAUUUCAACGACGACGUCGCGACGCGCGGCGGCUCCGGACUGACGGCGGCUUCCUUAGAUAAGGACGAACACUUCAUCGUGUGGAUGCGCACGGCGGCGCUGAGCACGUUCCGCAAGCUCUGGGGGCGGAUAACGACGGACAUCGCGAGCGGGGAGACUAUCACGGUGACGAUCGCGAAUCGAUUCAACUCGUACAAGUACGGCGGCGAGAAGAGGAUCGUGCUGUCGACGACGAGCUGGCUCGGGGGGAAGAACAUGUUUUUGGGCGGCGCGUACCUGGGGAUCGGGUGCGGGUGCUGGGUCGCGAGUUUCGUGUUCGCGUACUUUCAUCUGCACCCGCCGCGGAGGCGCGGGGACGCGGUGGAGUUGUCCUGGAACAAGGGGUGAGGAGGAGGAGGAGGAGGAGAGGAGGCCCCGCGGGCGUUCAAUGAAUGGUAUUAUUGUAUUUCGAAGAAGAGACCGCAGUCAUCGGUCAUCAGCAGUCUCGCGCGCGGAAUCCUACUCCCCGGCGCCCUCUUCUCGUCCGUCCGCGCGCCGCCGCCCGCCACAACCGCGCGCGCGUCCACGCGCCGGCGUCGAACUCGCGUCGCGCGCGUUCGAACCCGCACACGCGCGGCGUUCCCCGCGAGCGUCGGACGACCGCGCGCGCGCGAGGCGUCCGUCGCGUCUGCGACCCUUCGCUCGCGUCUCGUUUUCCCCCUCCCCCCGCGGAAGGGAGACCGCCGCGCGCGAGCGGAGGCGCGGCGCCGUGCCCACCCGCGUCGCGGGCGAACAGCGCUCGCGCGGACGCGCCGUCGAGAUGGACGAAGAAGAGGAAGAGGUCCAGGUCGAGGACCCGACGCAGGCGCGCGCGCUCCCGAGCGGCGACGACCGCGAUCGUGGUCGUCGCGGCGGAUGCCCGGUUUAGGCUUCUUCGUUCGCUCGCUCGCUCGGAAAUCGCUCGAUCGAUCGUCCUCGCGUCGCGCCCCCUCGACGCUGACGCGUCGUCGUCCGUCUCGUCCACCCCGCGCGUCCCCUCCCGCCAGGCGAUCUUCGUCGCGGACGACGUGAACGAGAUCAUCAAAGAGUCCAUCGACGCGGUGUUACAGAACGCGGCGUACUCGCACGCGAAGGUUGGUCAGUGGACGAGCAGCGCGGUGGAGACGACGCUGCGACGACUCACCGCGCUGAAGAAGCCGUUCAAGUACGUGGUGACGUGCGUCAUCAUGCAGAAGAACGGCGCGGGGUUGCACACGGCGUCGUCGUGCUACUGGGAUAACGAGACCGACGGUGCGUCGUCGCUUCGGGUCGCGAACGCGUCGUCGUCGUUCGUCGCGCGCGCGGCGGACGCGCGCGGCGGCGGCGGCGACGUUUUGGAUUCGUUUUUGGAUUCCCCCGUCCCCGUCCCCGCGUUGACGUUCGCUCCUCCGCUCUGGUAUUCUCUCGUUUGUCGCCGCACAGGGAGCCGCACGGUGCGGUGGGAGAACAAGUCGAUGUACUGCAUAGUCACCGUGUUCGGACUCGCGGUGUAGUCUCGGCGACGACGUGUAAAAUCCCAUACGUACCUGUAGAACGCUCGGCGACAGACGCGCUCGUCAUCUCACCAAACCUCGUCGCUCUCGCCCUCGACCCUCACGACUCGCCGCGCGCCGGGGCGCGGGCACGAUGUCGCGCGCGAUAUCGCGCGCGCUGCGCGCGCUCGCCGCCGCGGCGUCGCCCCCCCCGCGCGUCCUCGCGACUCAGGACGUCGUCGCCGUCGCGUCGCGUCUUCGUCGUCGUCGUCGUUGUCAUCGAACCGUCGCAGGGUCGGCGUCGCGAUCGCGCGGGCUCUCCACCGCGCGCGACGACGACGACGACGAGACGUCCGCCGCUCCCGUCCCCGUGCUCAUCGUCGGCGGCGGCCCCGUCGGGCUGACGCUGUCGUACCUCCUCUCGCGAGCGGGCGUGGACAGCACGCUGAUCGAGCGCCGCGCGGACGGAGCGACGACGCACCCGCAGGCGCACUUCGUGAACAACCGAACGAUGGAGAUCUUCCGUCACGUGAGCGGGCUCGAGCGCGUCGUGACGCGAUCGCAGCCGCCGCUGAAGCACUGGAGGAAGUUUCUGUACAAGACGCAGAUGGUGGGGGGGGUGGAGCUCGGCAGGGUGGAUCACUUCGCGGGCGGCGGCGGCGGCGGGAGGGAGGGCGAGGGCGAGGGCGAGGGCGAGGAGGAGGAGGAGGAAAACCGCGACGCCGCGUCGCCGACGUCCGUCGCGCACUUCGGGCAGCACCGGCUCGAGCCGGAGCUUCUGGACCGCGCGAUCGCGGCGCAUCCGCGGGGGAUCCGCGGGUUCGCGCACGGGACGGAGUGCGUCGGCGCGACGUGCGACGACGACGGGGUGACCGCGACGGUGCGCGACGCGACGUCGCCGCGGAUGGCGGGAGCGAAGAAGAACGAUGACGAGAAGAACGCUCAACGAGAGCGGACGCUGCGCGCGUCGUACCUCGUCGCCGCGGACGGCGCGUCGUCGCGGACGCGCGAGCGUCUCGGGGUCGGACUCAGAGGCACGCCGGAGAUGCAGCACCUCGUGAACGUGCACUUCCGAUCGAGGAAACUCGCGCGCGCGCUGCGAGAGGACGACGGCGGCGACGGCGCGGCGAUGCUAUACUUCGUGUUUAACCCCUCCGUCGUCGCCGUCGUCGUCGCGCACGACGUGCGCGGCGACGGCGAGUUCGUCGCUCAGGUGCCGUACUUCCCUCCGACGCAGAGCGCGGAGGAGGACUUCGGGAUGGAGGCGUGCGUCGGGCUCGCGCGCGCGGCGGCGGGGGGCGCCGCGGCGGGCGAAAACGAAAACGAAAACGAUUCGUUCGACGACGUCGACGUGAGAAGCGUCCGCGCGUGGACGAUGUCCGCGGAAGUCGCGGACGAGUUCGUGGCUGGUCGCGGGCGCGCGUUCUUGUGCGGCGACGCCGCGCACAGGUUCCCGCCCGCGGGAGGGUUCGGGAUGAACACGGGGAUACAGGACGCGCAUAACCUCGCGUGGAAACUCGCGGUCGCCGUCGCGAGCGCCGGCGACGGCGGCUCCGGCGCGCCGAGCGCGCGGAACCUUCUGCGAAGCUAUCACGCGGAGCGCCGCCCGGUCGCGGUCGGGAACACGCGACUGAGCGUGAGCAACUUUCGCCAGGUGCUGAAGAUACCGACGGCGUUGGGGUUGCCCCCCGACGCGGCGGCGGCGCUGACCGAGGCGACGGCCGCGUUGCCGUCGUUCGCGGCGAAGGCUGCGCUCAACGCUGGGCUGGCGUUGGGCCGGGCGCAGUGCGGUGAUUUGUUGCUCACGGAUAACGCGAUAGGGAACGCGAGACGCGCGACGGUGAAGAGGAUGUGCGAAGAAGGCGGCGGGAAGACGUUGCGGUUGCAGUUCCCCACGGAGGAUCUGGGGUUCGUGUACGGACCGGGAUCUGAACACGCGGCAACGGGUGAUUGGGCGCGUCGUGACCGCGGCCAAUCGGACGACGGCCUCGGCACCGCCGCGACGCUCGUGCCCCCCGGGACUUUAGUCGUCGGCGGACGGCUCCCGCACGCGUGGCUGUCGCUUCACCUCGGUCCGAACGACGACCGAAAAUCGGCGAAACAUAUUUCCUCGUUGGACCUUCUCGAGCUGAGCGUCCUCGACGGCGCGAUCGGCGGCGACGACGCGCACGCGGCGUGGGCGACGCAAGAGUUGCGGUCCACACCCGGGGUCGUGUUCACGCUGAUCAAGACGCUGCGCGACGACGAGGAACCGCGUUCGCACUCGAUGCGGUUGACGCUCGCGAACGAUACGAUUCAGCGCUUGAGAGACGCCGCGCCGGCGGGGGUGUCGAUUCGACUCGCGAUCGUCGCUCCCACGGCAUCGAUCGCGCGCGGGGUCGAAAGGUAUUACUAUGAGGGAGGUAAACGCCCGAGCGACGACCGUUUCGUGAUCGCCGUGGACGAGAAAGGCGCGUGGACGCGAGCGGCAGGGGGCGCCGACGCGUUCGUUCGACCGGACGGUCACGUCGCGUGGAUCGGAGCUCGCGCGGACGAGCGGUCCGACGACGACGGCGACGAGGGCGUGGACGCCGGGUCGGUCGAGGUCGUCGCCGCGCUGAGACGCGAGCUCGGGAUGUAUUAGAUCGACGACGACGUGUUAGCAGCGCGUUUAAUUAGUAGGUACGGUAUCGUCGUCGUGAAUUGUUUUGUUCACAACCGGGCGUAAAUCGUCCCCCCCUCGUCGCGUCGCUCACACCUUCUUGACUAUCUGCACGACGUCCUCGUCCUCCAAAAUGUGCUCCUUCCCAACCUUCUGCGGCCGGUGCUUCACGCUCAACCCCCACACCAGCGCCUGCUUAAACGACCGCAUGAUCCCCUUAUGUAAACGGUUACAGAAAUCCUCCACGCUGCACGCCUUCCUCGGCAACACCACGGGGUCGUCGUAAUCUGGGUUCACCCCUCGCGGCUUCGUGUACACGCGCACCAAGUCGAGGUAAUCCCACACCGUCUCGAGAAGUCCAUCGAGAUUCCACUCCUUGUGCGCGCUCACCGGGACGUAGUGCUUCAUCUUCGUCAGGAGGUCCAGCUCCUCCACGGUGAUCUGAUCGAUCUUGUUGAUGGCGUAUAUGCACGGGACGUAAAUCCUCGACCCCUCGAUCACGUCGAUGAGCUCCUCGUCCGUGCUGUCCUCGUGCAGCUUCACGUCCGCGUGCUGGAUCUUGUACUCGCUCAAGAUGUUCUUCACCGUUUCCUCGUCGAGGAAGGUCGUCUCGCCGUUGUUGUUCGGCGUGAACGAUAUCCCGCCCUUGUCCUUCUUUCGAAACGUGAUCUUCGGGGGCUCUCUGUUGAGGCGGAUGCCGAAGCCCUCGAGCUCGUGCUCGAUUAAACGCUUGUGCGUGAGCGGUUUCAGCGCGUCCAACACGAUCACGAUGACGUUGCACGUCCGCGCGGUGGAGAUGACUUGGCGACCGCGGCCUUUGCCGUCCUUCGCGCCCUCGAUGAUCCCGGGAAGAUCGAGGAGCUGUAUCUUCGCGCCGCGGUAGCGAAUCACCCCAGGGAUGCACGUGAGCGUCGUGAACUCGUACGCGGCCACCUCGCUGAACGUCCCGGUGAGCUUAUUCAGAAGCGUGGACUUCCCCACGGACGGGAACCCGACUAAACCGACGCGGCAGUCGCCCGUCUUCGUGACGUCGAAACCCUCGCCCUUCGGCCCGCCCUUGCUCGAGGGCUCGAUGAGAUCGCGCCGGAGCUUCGCGAGCUUCGCUUUCAGCGACCCCAAGUGCGCGGCCGUCGCCUUGUUCUUCUGCGUCCGGCUCAUCUCGAGCUCGAUGGACGCGAUCUUCUCCAUGAUGUCCGACAUGGCGAGCGAGGUCGGAGGAGGCGCUCGUCGCGGCGCGGCGCGGCUCUCUCUGCGACGCGAGACGGGACGCGACAGUUCAAAGAGUCUUGGUCGCGUUUUCACAGCCCGCCGCCAUUCAUAAGUUAUUGAGCCGCGGUCGGUCAGCAUCACAAAAAACGCAGUCGCCUCUCACCCUUCCCGCCGCCGCGCUCGGACGCUCGAUAUCCGCAUCAGCCCGCUAAAAUCCAGCGCGUCCGUCUUCCCUUCGUCCGCGCGCUCCCUCCGCGCCGUCGUCGCGGUCGCCCGCCCCGCGGCCUUCGCCUCGCGCCGGGUCGAUCGGUCGGCGGCGCGGCGGGGGGGGGGGGCGGACGGGGGGAAGGCGGCGGCGCUGUUUUGCGGGGGGCUGCGGCGGUUGUGGGGCGGAGGGGGGCGGCGGGGGGNNNNNNNNNNNNNNNNNNNNNNNNNNNNNNNNNNNNNNNNNNNNNNNNNNNNNNNNNNNNNNNNNNNNNNNNNNNNNNNNNNNNNNNNNNNNNNNNNNNNNNNNNNNNNNNNNNNNNNNNNNNNNNNNNNNNNNNNNNNNNNNNNNNNNNNNNNNNNNNNNNNNNNNNNNNNNNNNNNNNNNNNNNNNNNNNNNNNNNNNNNNNNNNNNNNNNNNNNNNNNNNNNNNNNNNNNNNNNNNNNNNNNNNNNNNNNNNNNNNNNNNNNNNNNNNNNNNNNNNNNNNNNNNNNNNNNNNNNNNNNNNNNNNNNNNNNNNNNNNNNNNNNNNNNNNNNNNNNNNNNNNNNNNNNNNNNNNNNNNNNNNNNNNNNNNNNNNNNNNNNNNNNNNNNNNNNNNNNNNNNNNNNNNNNNNNNNNNNNNNNNNNNNNNNNNNNNNNNNNNNNNNNNNNNNNNNNNNNNNNNNNNNNNNNNNNNNNNNNNNNNNNNNNNNNNNNNNNNNNNNNNNNNNNNNNNNNNNNNNNNNNNNNNNNNNNNNNNNNNNNNNNNNNNNNNNNNNNNNNNNNNNNNNNNNNNNNNNNNNNNNNNNNNNNNNNNNNNNNNNNNNNNNNNNNNNNNNNNNNNNNNNNNNNNNNNNNNNNNNNNNNNNNNNNNNNNNNNNNNNNNNNNNNNNNNNNNNNNNNNNNNNNNNNNNNNNNNNNNNNNNNNNNNNNNNNNNNNNNNNNNNNNNNNNNNNNNNNNNNNNNNNNNNNNNNNNNNNNNNNNNNNNNNNNNNNNNNNNNNNNNNNNNNNNNNNNNNNNNNNNNNNNNNNNNNNNNNNNNNNNNNNNNNNNNNNNNNNNNNNNNNNNNNNNNNNNNNNNNNNNNNNNNNNNNNNNNNNNNNNNNNNNNNNNNNNNNNNNNNNNNNNNNNNNNNNNNNNNNNNNNNNNNNNNNNNNNNNNNNNNNNNNNNNNNNNNNNNNNNNNNNNNNNNNNNNNNNNNNNNNNNNNNNNNNNNNNNNNNNNNNNNNNNNNNNNNNNNNNNNNNNNNNNNNNNNNNNNNNNNNNNNNNNNNNNNNNNNNNNNNNNNNNNNNNNNNNNNNNNNNNNNNNNNNNNNNNNNNNNNNNNNNNNNNNNNNNNNNNNNNNNNNNNNNNNNNNNNNNNNNNNNNNNNNNNNNNNNNNNNNNNNNNNNNNNNNNNNNNNNNNNNNNNNNNNNNNNNNNNNNNNNNNNNNNNNNNNNNNNNNNNNNNNNNNNNNNNNNNNNNNNNNNNNNNNNNNNNNNNNNNNNNNNNNNNNNNNNNNNNNNNNNNNNNNNNNNNNNNNNNNNNNNNNNNNNNNNNNNNNNNNNNNNNNNNNNNNNNNNNNNNNNNNNNNNNNNNNNNNNNNNNNNNNNNNNNNNNNNNNNNNNNNNNNNNNNNNNNNNNNNNNNNNNNNNNNNNNNNNNNNNNNNCGCGACGGUUGACGUUCCGCGUUCCCGCGCCUCGAACGGGUGCGUCGCGUGCGCCUGAGGGCCGUUCCAUACGAAGCGAAGUCGGGGUGGAGUUCAAAGGCGUCAGUCGGAGUUGAAAGGCAACGCGGGCGGGGAUUGAAACCGAGGCGUGGGCGGAGAGAUGCGCCGGGAAAAGUCCUUAAGGGACGGCGUUCACCACGCCGACGCGGUCGUAUGGGGACCAGUGUGAAGGAGAACGCGCGCCUCCCCGCGCGCGAAACACGCGCCGCACAAGUCGUAGCUCUCGCACACGACGCACUUGAACCGCGUCCCGAGGAUCGGCGCGACGCGACACGCGCCGCACGUGACGCCGUAGUGCGCGUCCGGGUUGGCGGCGGCGGCGGCGUUCACCCCUCGAAAACGGCCCGGACGCGACGGUUUCGGUUUCCAUCUUUCCACCUCCCCCCACGCCGCGCGACACAGCGGACACGUCGUCGGCUGGUCGACGCUCGCCUGAGGGUCGUUCCAUACAAAGCGAUGGCGGGGUGGAGUUCAAAGGCGUCAGACGGAGUUGAAAGGCGUCGAGGGCGGGGAUUGAAAGCAGCGAGGGGUGGGCGGAGAGAGACGACGGCAAAAGUCCUUAAGGAUCGGCGUUCACCACGCCGACGCGGUCGUAUGGGAACCAGUGUAUAGAACGCGCCUGAUGUUGCGCGUACAGCGAGAGGCACCGCGCGUGGACGUUGCGACCGCAUCCGCGCUCGCACCAGAGCAAAUCGUCGCCGUGAUCGAAAUCGCGCUUUGAUGACGACGCGGACGCCGCCGCGCGCAUGGGCUCGUAGCAGAUCGGACACGCCUCGUCCGCUUCCAACGCGCGGCGGCCGCGUUCGCGCGCGUCGGACGCGUCGCCGACGCCGCCGCCGCUCGCGUCGGUCGAUCGUUCCCCCCGCCGUCGCCCCGCGUCCACGGCGAAUGCGACCGCCCUCGGCUCGCACCGCAAGACCUCGUCCAGCUCGCGGUCGAUGAGCGACACCUGCCACGUCAGCGGGUUGGACCGCGGCACGCCGAGCACCUUUCGCAUCACGAAGACAAUGUGCGCGCAGACCUCCGGGAGGUCUCGCGUCGCGUGAACCGUCGCGGCGUCGUCGGCGUCGGUUCGAAUCCCCGCGGCUUCCAUGAUCGCCAGCCGCGUCGCGCUCGUCGUCGCGCUGAGCCCGGAGCCGGCGCGCGCGGAAUUUGAACCGACGCGGCGGUUCGUGUUCGAACCGCCGAACCCGCCGCCGCAGCCGCACGUCAUCUUCGCGCCGAUCAAGACUUUGCACGCGCGCCUCCGUCCGUCCUCGCGCACGACGAACGACGUCGGGCCGACGCGCUGGACGAGGAACAUGUCCCCGGGGGGCGGAUGCGCGUCGCCUGGGAGGGAGUGGGAGACAGACGUCGCCGGGAUGGGGACGAAGCGCGCGCGUGAGGGCGAGUCUCAACGGGGCGGGAUGGUCCGCGCGGAGAGUGGGCACCGAGUCGUCGUCGUGGAAGAGAUUUAAUGGUCGUCGGUCAAACGGCCGCCGCGCGCACCGCGAAGGAGCGCGUCAACGACGGGGCUCGGCCUCGGGCGCCACGGCGCCAGCCUCGAGGACGCCUGCGACAUCCCCCGAUCCGUAUCGUGCCCUCGCGCGCGCCGCGCCGCGCCGCGCCGCGGACAGUGCGCCGCGCCCGCGAACUAACGGACGUUUCCGAUGACGCGCGACGAGCUCGUUUUCGGAACCAGCACUUGACGCGGACAGGGUGGCAUCGCACUCGCGAUGGCGCUGUCGCACCACGCCGCCGCGGCCGCGCGGCCGUCGCUCGCGCGCGUCGCCCCAACGCGCGUCGCCUCCUCGCCUUUUGCCCGCGACGCUCGCGACGCGCGCAAAGCGCUCGCGACGCGCGCGGCGGCCGCCUCGGACGCGCUCCCGUCCCUGGACGCCUCCUCGACGUGGCGACUGCGACUGGAGCUCUUCAGCGGCGUCGGCGCGUCGUCGGAGCCGGACCGAGUCGUCGACGCGCGGUGCGUGUUCGUCGUCGACGAGGGGUACGAGCCUCCGCAAGGGGUCGUCCAGAUCGUGGAGGACGACGACGGCGUGUUCGUCGACGGCGGGCUGCAUCGAUGGACGCUCGAGGAGGUGCGACCGCCGACGAUCGCGAUCGGUUUCGGUCGCUCCGCGCGAGAUGCUUCUUAUCGCUCUACCUGUCGUAGCUCGUCUGCGAUAUAGUCUCCUCAGAGUCUCCCUCAUCGCGCGUCGUCGCCUUCGUCCCCCCCACUCCCCACUCCCCACUCCCCUCGCAGGACCCGAACGAGCGCAAGGCUGGACUGUGGAUCUGGGGCCUGUUCGAGGAACCGCUGUACCCGUACAUGCUGCUCUCGUUCGACGUCAACAGGGUGGAAGUGCGAGAGGGCGGGUAUCACGUCCCGGCGGGGAAACUGUUCGGCGAGAUGAGGUGCGUUCUAUACACUGGUUCCCAUACGACCGCGUCGGCGUGGUGAACGCCGAUCCUUAAGGACUUUUCCCGGCGUGUCUCUCCGCCCAGGGUCCCUCGCUUUCAAUCCCCGCCCGCGUUGCCUUUCAACUCCACCUGACGCCUUUGAACUCCACCCCGACGUUCGCUUGUAUGGAACGACCCUGAGACACGCGCGCGGGAGCAAGAGCGGGCACGUCCUGAGCGACGGGCGGCUGUCGUUCAAGGUCACGAAGACGUACCAGGCGGAUCUCGUGGGGUUGUCGAAGGUGAGCGUGGGGGAGCCCACGGAGUGCGGGCGCGUGCGUUUGGAUUGCGUCGAGACGUUUUGAGCCGCCGCGUGACCCGCCUGUUUUCUCGUCCUCUCGACGUCGAACGCCGUCGUUCGCGAUGACAAUAUGACUCGACGUAAUUUAAUAAUUCGUAGCUAUCUAAUUUCUUCAUCGCGCGCGGCGCGACGACGAUCGUCGCGGCUCUCCCGACCGGACGCGUCCGUCCGUCUCGUCCGCCCGUCCCGUUCGUCCGUCACAACUCCGACCCGCCUCCGGCCCAGGUCAUCGCCGCGCUCGCGUUCUCCCCCACGGCGCCCACGACGUCCACGACCACGGACGCGAUGUUCCCCACGACGUCCCCCAGCGCGGGCUGGUCGUACAUGAGCCACAUGAUGUACGACGCGCCGGAGACGCCGCCGACGUGCCAGAGCGUGUGCCAGAGCACGAAUUUUCCCCAGUCGGCAGCGAGGACCGCGCGCUUGGAGAGAUACAGACAGAACAGCGGCGGGAGCGCGAGCGCGGCGUGCCAGAACGACAGGCGGUCGUGCGCGAACCACAUCAUCCCGAGCUGCGUCGCGUCGGGCGAGGGCGAGGGCGAGGGCGAGGGAGGUCAGCGAUCGGCGCGCGCGCGAGGGCGAGGGAGGUCAGCGAUCGGUCGAUCGGCGCGCGCGAGACGACCGGACGAAAACGCGAGACGAACGAGCUGAGAGGGCGAACGAAGCGCCGGAGGGAAGCGACCGCGGUCGUCGCGACGGGACCGCUCGCGCGGACGGGCGCGCACCGUCAUGAUCGUCGCCAUCCAUCGGUCCGCGCCGUGCCACGCGGAGUCCAUCCCGCACGUCCAGUAGUCUGACAUGAACGACACCACGCCCUGUAUCCAGAACGCGAGGUAUAUCCACCCCUUCAUCGCGCCGGUCGCGAACACGCCGGGAAGGAAGAAGAAGAUGCCGCUGCCGCCGGCGAGGAUCGACCGCCGCGGGCCCCACGGCAUGGACGUCUUCGAGAAGUUGUGCGUCAUGUUGAGCAUGUGCGACGACGCGGUGCGCGAGAGCGGCAUCGUGGCGUGCGCGCGCGCGCGCGCGGCGGCUGUGACCGAUCAGACUCCGUCGCGGCGGGUCGUCGGGCGACGCGCGUUCGUCCGACGCUUCCCCGAGCGACCAAUCAUCGAUCGCGAUCUUUCAACUUUUGUCUAGCCUCUCGCCUAACGCGGUCUACUAGCUAGACCGGCGCCUCCACCUCUUGUCGCCGCGAACGCGCGCGCGCGUCAGUCGAACACCUUGCACUCGUCCGCGCUCGGGUCGUCCUCGCAGAGCGCGUCGAACGCGGCGUCGUACGCCGCCUCGCCGCCCGUCGACCCCGACCCCGCCGCCGCCGCCGCGUUCGCGUUCGCCGCGCGCGUCGUGUCGUACCGCGCCUCCUCCGCGUAGUACGCGUUAAACCCGAUCACGUCCUUGAUCUCCUCGAACGUCCCGAGCGUGCUCUCGUCCGGGUACCCCUCGUCGCGGAUCGUCCGCAGCGUGUUCUCCAUCGCGCGCGUGGACGCCAUGAGCAGCGACAGCGGGUACGCGACGACUUUGAACCCCAUGUCUCGGAGCUCGUCGGGCGAGCAUAUCGGCGUCGCGCCGCCGCCCUCGAGCAUGUUGGCCAUCUUAGGCACGCCUGGGGCGAUCUUACAGAACGCCUCCAUCUCCUCGCGCGAUCGCAGCGCAUCUGUUUGGUUUGUUAGGUGGUGGGUCAGGAUUUAGGGUUUAGGACGGUCGCGGUCGGGGCGGUUCGGGGAGAAGUCGACCUGACUGCCGUGAGAGAGAGAACCGAAACCAAAACGACCGAUGUUCAUAGGACGUCCGCGCGCGCACCGCACCUAUGAACAACGCGUCCGCGCCCGCGUCCGCGAACGCGGCGACGCGCCACAGCGCCUCUUCUAAACUCUCCGCGCUUCGACUGUCCGACCGAGCGAAGAUCACGAUGUCCCCGUUCGGCCCCUCGUCGCGUUCGUCGCACGCGGCUCUGACGCGCGCGACGGCGUCGGCGCGCGGGAUGACUCUCCGAUUCCGCGUGUGCCCGCACGCUUUCGGCGCGACCUGGUCCUCCAUGAGCAGCCCUGCGAACCCGGCGGCGGCGUACCCGCGCGUCGUCCUCUUCGCGUUCAUCGCGUUCCCGUACCCGUCGUCCGCGUCGCCGAUGAACGGGAACCCGGGCGACACGGCUGAGGGUCGAGGGUCCGUACGAGCGAACGUCGGGGUGGAGUUGAAAGGCGUCAGAAGCGGAGUUGAAAGGCGUCGAGGUGUGUCGGGAUUGAAACCAGCGAGGGACCCUGGGCGGAGAGAUGGAUGCGCCGGGAGAGAAAGUCCUUAAGGAUCGGCGUUCACCACGCCGACGCGGUCGUACGGGGACCAGUGUGAGAUGGUAGAACGCGCCUUCGCACACCGUCCUCCCGACGUCCGCCAUCUCGCCGUACGAGAUGAGUCCCGCGUCGGGCAUCGCCAGGCGCGCCGCGGAGACGCAGAAGCCGGACAUGAACCCGGCUUUGAACCCCGCGCGCUCGAUGAGCGACGCGGAGAGCGCGUCGUGCGCGCACGGGGUCUGGACGAUGUCCGGGCCCGCGAGGAGCUCGCGCAGGCGCGUCGCCGCGGGGUUUCGAUCUCGUCGUCGGCUCGAAAUCUCAUCGCUCGACGACGAGGACGCGGACGCGAUGCGCGCGACGCGGCGCGAGACGCGGCGCGCGGCGGUGGACCCGAGAGACGCCGCGCGCGAUGCGCGCGCGGGCGAGGGGAUUGGCACGAGGAGGGAGGGCAUGUAUCGCGACGGGAGCGUCCGCGCGCGGCGAGACGUGUCGUCGCGCGCGGAGGUCGGCACGCACGCGGGUUUGUUUUUACGUUCUGUUCGCAUUGGCGAUAUCCGGUUCCGAGGAAACAGUGCAUCGUCGCCCGCCGCCAGUGCGCCGCGCGCGGGAGGCUCGUUCGCGCGGACGCGCACGAUGCCCCCCGCGCCCAUCGCCGCGCCCAACGCCGCCGCGCCGGUCGCGCCGCGCGUCCCCGGUCGUCACCCCGCGCGGAGAGAGACGCGAGUCGCGAGUCGUCCUCCUCCUCCUCGUCAUCAUCACCGUCAUCUUCAUCAUAAUCAUCACCGACGACGACGACGCUCCGUCGUCGCGACCGCGGCCCCCGCGGACGCGAAGGCGCUGAUGGACGUCGCCGGCGGCGUCCUCGGUGGCGGCGAAUCCCGCCGCCUUCGCUUCGAGGUCGCGAUGAACAACCUCGACGCGGAGACGCACGGCGCGUACGGCGAGUUCCCGCUGACCGGGCUCCUGAGCGUCCUCGAGCACCCCGCCGUCGCCGCCGCGCUCGAGAGCGAGGGGUCGUCGUCGUGUUCGGACGACGACGGUUCGCGUUCCGUUGGGGGAUCAUCAUCGGAAGACGAAUCGUCGUCGGAAUCAUCGAGGAGCGCGUUUCGAGACGCGCUCGCGAUCGCGAACGACCCGUCGCGCGCGGAGCCCGUCCUCGUCGACGUCGGCUCUGGCGCCGGAAGGCUUCUGUUGGCGGCGGCGACGAUGAGGUGCGUUCUAUAGCCCUACACUGGUCCCCAUACGACCGCGUUGGCGUGGUGAACGCCGUUCCUUAAGGACUUUUCCCGGCGUUCGUCUCUCUCCGCCCACCCCUCGCUCACAAUCCCGACGCACCUCGACGCCUUUCAACUCCGCUUCUGACGCCUUUCAACUCCACCCCGACGUUCGCUCGUAUGGAACGACCCUCAGGCCGUGGCGACGCGUCGUCGGCGUGGAAGCCUCGAAACCGCUCGCGGACCUCGGCGCGGCGGCGAUACGCAGGCUCGAGGCCGCGGGCGUGCUCAGAGAGGGCGUCGCCGCGUCGACGCACGCGGACGCGUGCUUGGGCGCGGGAGGAGGCGGUCGCAUGGGGACCGGCGCGACGUCGCCGGCGGACGCGGCGGUUUUCGCGGCUGCGAUCGACGCCGCCGCCGCGGAUCUCUCCUCCGCGACGCUCGCGCUGGCGUACUCGACCGCGUUCCCGUCCGAGGACGGUCUGCGGCUGCCGGAACUCUCUGCCGCGCUGAGCGCGGUGAUGCGGCGCGGCGCCGUAGCGGUGACGACGGACAAGUGGCUAGUCGGAGAGCGAUUCGCGUACAAGGGGAUGUUGAAGGUGAUCGGCGAGGAGGGCCCCGAGGACGUGAUCCGGGCGUUCGUGUGGAGGCUGAAGGGCGACGCGCCGGGGAUCGGGGAGGAUGGAAAAACGUUCACCGGGGAUGCGUUACGUGACGUCGUCGCGAACGAGAUGAAGCGCGUGGAGCUCGAAUGGAUGGACGACGAGGACGCGUGUUCGCAAAACCCUGAGGCGUGCGGCGACCUUCUGCUGUCGCUGGAAGAGCAACUCGGACCGGGCGAAGACGACGACGGCGCCGACGCCGUGGAAGUGUUGGGAUAGGAGGGGGAGGGGGGGUACUGUAUCCCACCCGAUCGCGCUGAGAUAGUGUACCAAACGAAGCUCGUCUCGUUUCGUUUCGUUCGUCGUCGUCAGUAUUCAUGUACAGCUACGUAGUACUCUUCGACGCGUCACAGCGGCGCGUUUCGCCGCCGACGCCCGCCCGGCUCGAUGUCCAGAUACCGCCGCCUCGCCUCCACCCCCGCGGCGUCGUCCACGGGCGAGUGCGAGCCGCCGCCGCCGCCGCCGCCCGCGGCGGCCAGCCUCGCGCUCCUCGCUUCCCGCCUCGACGCCGCGACGACGUCGGCGGCGCCGCCGUCGCCGUUUAACGGCGCGUCCUCGAUGCUCUCCACCUCGUGCGACAACGCCGUUCUCGACCGCGGCGCGACGGCUCCGGACCCGUCGCCGUCCGUCCCCGCCGCGGGAUGGCGCGCGGCGCGGCGCUCGCUCAGCAAACUCGAUCCGGUCGAGACGACGCCGCCGCCGCGACGGUCUCUGCGCGACGUCCGCGGCGCGGUGACGUCUGCGUCGUCGGCGUCGAGCGCCGCGGACCGCCGCGCGCGUCGCGUCGUCGUCGUCGCCGCCGCCGCCGCCGCGCCUCCGUUCUCCACGUCGUUCCAGCUUCCGCGCUCCUCGGGGUACCCCGACGCGGCGGCGGUCCGGCUCGCGCGCUCCGGACGCGUGUACGACGCUCGCACCGCCGCCGCGCGUUCGCUUCGCCGCGCGUCUCGGUCCGGCGACUCCACCGCGUCGGCGACGUCUCGCGGGUCCGUCGGGAGGUUCCGACGGAGCGAUUGCAGCCCGAGCGACGCCGCGACGCCCGCCUUCCCGAAGCCUCGGAAGCCUCGGGACCCGGGCGACGCGUUCUCGUCGUCGUACUCGUCGUCGUCGUCCGAGAGCUUUUCGCCGCCUUUCCCGCGCGCGUUCUGCUCGAACCGACGCGCGCGCCGUUCGAGCUCCUUCCCGGGCGUCGGCGCCUGCGUGGGUGAAGCGAUCGGUCAGUCGAACGUCUUACCGGUCAAACGUUGGAGGGGAAGCGCGGGUGAAGAGUGACGACGGGAAAAGUCCUCAAGGAACGACGUGCACCACGCGAACAGGGUCGUAUGGGAAGCAGUCUCACCCCCGCGGACGCCUUGGACACGCCGUCGGGCCCGUCCAUCCCUUUGGUCACGAGCAUGAGUUGCGCGUGGACGCUGCCCAUGCCCACGGUGAUCGCGCUCGAGGCGAACAGGUCGUCGCGCGACAGAAGCGCGUCCUUCCACCCCUCCAGCUCCGGGCGCGCGUUGGCGAAGAACUCCGCGACGCCCUCCUGUAGGCGCGCGUUUCGAUCGUUCGCGCGCCAGCAGUGGCACUCGAGCUCGUGCAUCCCGGGGGAGAGCGGGAGGUUCUUGAGGGUCGUUUUAUACGAGCGAUGAUAUCGGGGUGGAGUUCAUAGGCGUCAGAAGCGGAGUUGAAAGGCAUCGAGGUGUGUCGGGAUUGAAACCAUCGAGGGUUGGACGGAGAGAUGCGCCGGGAAAAGUCCUUAAGGAUCGGCGUUCACCACGCCGACGCGGUCGUAUGGGGACCAGUGUACAGAACGCACCUUGAUGCCGUACGCCGCGAAGACGUCCACGCCGCUCCACGCGUCGCGCUCGUACACCGCGAACACGAGCUUCGGCCAGCCCUGCGCGCGUCGUCGUCGGGAGGCGGGGGCGUCGAACGAGGAUGUCAGCGAGCGCGGACGAGGGAGGGAGGGAGGGAGGGACGACGACGCUGACAUCGGAAUAAAAGUAAGCCGUUGGCUCGGUUCGCCCGCGUCCUCCGGUCGACCGGACGCGCGCGACCGACGCGACGCGACGCGACGCGACGAGCGGACGCGCCUGCGCGCUCGUCGUCUUGAACGAGAGCUGUAUCGGGUGCGCCCACGUCGCGAGCUCGCCGCCGGCCCAGCACGCCUUCGCGGCCUGCGUCGCCCCGGACUUGUCCCCUCGCGUCAGCGUCCAUCGCUCGCCGUGCACGACCGCCCACUUGCACCACACGGAUCCCCCGCGCGUGCUCUUUUCGAAUCCGGUCGCGCCCGUGAUCUCGCCGACGACGACGACCUCCGCGGGGUCGCGGUCGUGCGCGGCGCGCGAUCGGCGGACGAUGGAGCCGGGGGUGCGGCCCGCGCGCUCGGGCGGCGCGGGCGAGCGCGUCGCGGGCGGCGGCGACGUGGCCAUCGCGCGCGUCGGUCUUUGCGCAGGGCAGCCGUUGGAAACGACCUUUUUUUGCCGGGCUCUUUUCAUCGGUUGAAAAGUGCGUUCUGUGCACGAUUUUCACCCGUCCCUGGUUUCAACACUUGAUCGCACCUCCUUUCAACUCACCGAUGAAUCUGUUUUGAGCUGAGUCAGGUUUUCAUCGAUCGCGAAGGGGCGCGUCUCAUUCACAUUCGAUGGGCUGCGGCGCGUCCUCGAGCGCGGGCGCGGGGAUCCCCGGCCCGGGCUCCCCGAGCACGUCAGGGAGCGCGGUCGGCGACGCGGACGCGCUCAAGACCUGGCGCGCGUCCUCGCCCGCGCUGCAGUCGCUCUGGCCGCUCGAUGUGCCAAUCUCGGGCUGGGAAGGUGUCACGCUCGACGCGAGGGAUCGAGUGAUAAAAGUCGUUCUCGACGAGAGAGGGUUGUCCGGCGCGGUGCCCGCGUGCGUCGGAAAGCUCGGCGCGCUGAGGGAGCUGGACGUGAGCUACAACGCGCUGACGUCCGUGCCGGAGACGCUGGGGAGGCUAUCGCACCUGCGAUCGCUCACGCUCAGCAACAACCACCUCACGUCCGUGCCGAAAGCGGUCGGGAACUUGUUGCAGCUCGAGCGGCUUGAGCUCUACUUCAAUCGGCUCACGUCGCUGCCCGCGGACCUGGGGAAGCUGCGGAAGCUGAAGCGGCUGGACAUCAAGCGGAACCCGCUGAAGAGCAUCCCGGCGGCGGUGCGGCAGCUCGAGGACGUGGGCGUGUACAUGUGCGUCGACGACGACGUCGCGACCGCGUGAGGGGAUGGUGGAUCGGGGAUCGGGGAUGCGUUCGCAUUCGCAUUCGUCGUCCACUUUUGGGUGUCGUCGUCCUCGGUCCGAACGCGCGGAACGUAACGGAACGGAACGGAACGCGCGCGGCGGGAGGUGUUUAGUCUUAGAAUCAAUCUCGCGUCGUCGCAUCGCGCGACUCGGUCGCUCGCCGCGCCGCUAUCGCUCUCUUCUCUCGCGCCCCGACUUCUUAUGAUAACGCGCCUCUUCGGUUCCGGUCAACCGUCGUCCGAUCGAAUCGAAUCUCGACGCGACGUCGGUCACUUUCUGCUUCGCGUCGAGCGCUUCCCCGUCCCCGGGCUCGGCUCGCUCACGGACGCGUUCCUCGCCCGCUUCACCCCCGCCGCCCUAUCCCUCCCGCCGAGCGCCGUCGGGGACGGGACGUCGACGUCGCCGCCGCCCAAACCCGGCAGCGCGAACGACCCGCCGCCGUCCGCCAGCUUGGUCGUCUCCUUCUCUUCUUCUCUCUUCGCCGCGUCCGCGCGCACCGCCGCCGCCGCCGCCGCGGCUUCCGUCGCCUUCUCGUUCCCCCCGCCGUCCCCGCGGCCGGACAGGUUGAUACCGUCCGGGCCUCGCAUGAGGAGCGACGUCAGCGGCCCGGGGCUCGGGCUCGCGCCCGACGCGUCGCCGACGCCGACGCCGCGCGCCGCAGCCACCUCGAUCGUCUUCGACGUAUUCUCCGGGAUGUCGAUCCGCAAGUCGCCCUUCUUCCCGUUCCCGUUCCCGUUCCCGUUCCCGUUCCCGACCGUCCCGCCGCCGGCGCUCGCGGAACUCUUCAACACGGCGUGCUUCGCGUUGAGCGAGUUGUUUAGGAUCCCCGCGGCGAGGCCGCCGCCGCCGCCGCCGCCGCCGCCGCCGCCGGACGCCGCGGGAAACUCCAGGCUCGCGCCGAGAUCCGCCUGCAGCGCGCCGGGAGAGAUGAGCCCGCCGAACGACAGCCCCGUCGGCGUGACGCCAGACAUCCCCAACCCGCCGAACAGCGACCCCAUCCCACCAUUCGGGGACUUCCCGCCGGAACUGAACAGCCCGGACGUGUUCAGCGCCGACCCGGGGUGAUCCUUCCCGCCGGAUGAUUUCCCGAGCGCGUCCGUCGCCGACUGCAGGGCCGUUCCAUACAAGCGAAUGUCGGGGUGGAGUUCAAAGGCGUCAGGUGGAGUUGAAAGGCGUCGCGGGCGGGGAUUGAAAGCGAGGGGUGGGCGGAGAGAAACGCCAGGAAAAGUCCUUAAGGAACGGCGUUCACCACGACAACGCGGUCGUAUGGGGACCAGUGUAUAGAACGCGCCUGCAGGUGCUCGAGAAACUUUCUCGACGCGCCGCCGCCGCCGCCGCCGCCGAGCGAGUCGUUGCCCCACGACGGCGCCCUGCCUUCCGAUGUGGGCGUCAGCGACGCGACGCCGUCGACGGCGUCGAGCUCGUCCUCGUCCAUCUCCGCCUCCGCGGCGGCGGCGGCGGCGGCGGCGGCGGCGGCGGCGGCGCGUUUCGCCGCGAGCCUCGCGGCGACCGCCUUUGCGUUUUUUCCCCCCGCGACUUUCGCGCUCCGCGGCUUGGUCGGCGUGAGCACCUUCCCGCCGCCGUUUCCGCCGGACGUGUGCUUCCCGUUGGCGCCGUUCUUCAGCGUCUUCGCGGCGCCGCGCGCGGUCGGCUCGUCGUCGUCGUCGUCGCUGGUAUCGGCUCCGAAUUCGUCCUCGGAGUCCACGGUGUUUGGGUUUUUAGACCCCGCCGACGCGGGCUGGUUCUUGAAGUGUUGGUUGAACAGCUGAUGACGCGAGAGGGAGAUCGGGGGGGGGAGGGCGGAAACGGUUAGAUGUGAUGCGUUAUAGAGGGUGUACGCGUCGCGAGGGAGGGCAAUCCGACCGCGAGAGGGGAAGAGAACGCGUCGGUGAAGACGGAAAAAGGACCGAAAGAAAACGACGACGAAAAGUCAACGCCCGCGCGGGCGUUCGCGCGCUCACGCACGUCUUUGUUGUUGCGUCGCUCGUGCGGCCCCACGGUGUCGUUCUUGAACCGCGUCAGGACGUGGUUGAUAUCCCCGCUGCUGUACUGGAACAGCUUGUUGUUGCUGUUGAAAAUCACGAGCGCGAUCUGGCAGUCGCACAAGACGCUCAGUUCCAUCGCCUUCUUCAUGAGGCCGUUCUUUCGCUUCGUGAACGUGACCUGCACGCGCGCGCGAGGGUAGAAGAUGGAUGGAUUUUCGCGCGGGGGGACGGGGCGGGGACGGCGUCAGCGUCGCGCGUCGUCGCGGUGGCGUCGCGGUGGCGUCGCGGUGGCGUCGCGCGGGGGGAGGACGCGAUGCGCCGCGAGGGACGCGGCGGCGACGGCGACGCGCGCCUUCGUCGGCGCGACGCCGCGGGUGGGUUGACCGAGGAAAAGAAGCGUCGUUCGAUCGCGGUCGGGGGAUGAUGAUGUUGACCGGCGCGGGGGGGGCGCGGGGACGGACCUGGCGGUUCCUCUCGUCCGCGAUGCGCUCGAUUCGGAUCUUCUUGCGCCCCACUGCGGCGGCGACGGGUCGAUAGGGGGUGGGAUCGCGCGUCAGCGGAGGGAAGACGAGGGGGCGAGGCCGCGGGGGUGGGAGCGACCGUCUAUCGAGCAUCCGUCUCGCCGUCCAGCCGGGCGGAUACCGCGCGCGAUGAAAUGCGUGCGAGACGCGCGAGAGCGUCGACCGCGCGACGGGGGCGAGGACGCACUCGCUGUGGACUUCACCGGCGGCGACGGGGUCACAUCGGUGUUUUUAGGGGGUUUGCUCUUCGGCGGACCCAUCUUGGGAAGGUCGUGUCGCGUGCGACCGGUGCGAGGUGCGACCGCGAAUAAUGCCCCGGUUGUUGUUUUUCGUGUGUCAGCGCGUCGGAACGUGCUGCGUGGAAAAUAUCCGUGGGUGGGUGGGCUGUGUGGCUCGAUCGCGGUCGAAUCGAGAUUUCCGAAACCAGAAAAUGUUUUUUACGGUUUGAAAAUAAAUGUUUCACCGGUAAUUGAACGGGUCGAGCCCUCAGGUCUCCUCCCUGAGACUAUCUUCUCGGUCCUCUCUCCUCGGUCGACGCGCGGCACAACGAGCGCGCGCGUCGCUCGCGCUCGCACCCCCGCACCGGCUCGCGCGGCGCUCGAUCGUCGCGCGCGCGAGCGCGCGAUCGAUCGAUCGAUCGAUCGAUCGAUCGACAGACGCGAGCGAUCGGUCGACGACUGGAUGACGGACCCCGAGGAGAGCUCCGCGGAGAACGUCGACGCCUUCUUCACGUCCUACCGCGAGGCGAAGCAACCCGGCGGCGGCGAGACGAAGUUCAAGUACUACCUCCUCGGCGGCGACGACGGCGGAGAGACGCUCGCGGCGGUGUGCGAGGACUCGCCCGGAGCGGGAGGAGGCGGCGGCGGCGGCGGCGGCGGAGGACCGACGUACCGUAACGCGAAAAACUUCUCGAAGAAUCACGGAACGAUCUCGACGACGGACCGCCGCGAGCUCAUCGCGUGGCUGGACGGGAUCGUCGCCGAGGGCAUCGCGCGCGCGUCCGUCGCCGGCGGCGUCACCCCGACGAUCGUCGCGGCGGGUAUGGCGGCGAAUCGCGCGAGCGACGCGUCGGGGGCGGGCUUAUCGCGCGGCGGCGGUCAGCUUCCCAAAUUCGUGACGCACUCGCAAGAAAAGUUCGUCUUCCCGGACGGCCGACGCGGCAUCAACUUCUACCUCGUCGACCGCGCCUCCGUCGCGUCGCUCGCGGUCACGGGCGAAGAGCGCGACACGAGGGACGGGCACUACUCGUACCACAAGGUUUCCUCGUUCGAUAUCGGCCCACCGUUGACGUGCGGGAACCUCGUCGGCGUGCAUCGAUGGCUCGCGGCGAUGUGCGGCGGCGUCGGCGCCGCCGCGACCGCCGCGGGCGCCGCGCUGAGUUUCGGGAAGCACCCGCCGAAGCAUAAACCCGGCGGAUCCCAGGGCGGGAGCAAGUUCCACGCGCAGAGGGUCGCGCGGCUCGAGGCGGCGCGGGACGUCUCGAACGCGCUCGGGAAGCGAAGGCGAGCGGCGGAUUACUUCGCGAGCGAGCACACCGGCGACGACGUCGAUCCGCCGACGCGAUCGACGCGGCGAGGUGCGUUCUGUACACUGGUCCCCAUACGACCGCGUCGGCGUGGUGGACGCCGAUCCUUAAGGACUUUUCCCGGCGUGUCUCUCCGCCCACGCCUCGCUUUCAAUCUCCGCCCGCGUUGCCUUUCAACUCUAACUGACCCCUUUCAACUCCACCCCGACAUACGCUCGAUUCUUCCCGACGACGCUAGAGGAGAGAGAGGCGCGGUGGACGCUCGCGCGGACGCGCGCGCUCGCGUUCGUGCGGGAGGGCAUGAGAGCGGACGUCGAGGACGCGAUGUCGCGGAUCGAGGCGGUUCUGGACGACGUGAUAGAAACGCUCGCGGCGCGGCAGAAGAGCCAUCACGGCGGGUCGACGAGCAAAAAAGAAAAGGCGACGGCGUCGGAGACGCGAAGAGGCGCGACGAUCGCCGCCGUCGACGCGCUGAAAGAGUUACACGCGACGCACGUCUCGCUCGCGGUGCUGGACGGGACCAACGUGCGCGAGCGCGUGAUGGCGACGCGCGACGCGUGCGACGACGACGAUGAGACCGGGACCGUGCGCAAGCUGUGCGAAUCGCUUAUCGCGCAGUGGCGCGGCGCGUUGCGGUCGCACGUUGGGACGCUCGCGGCGAGGUACGAGCGUCCGCCGCCGCCGCCGGCGCCGUUUUUCGGAGGCGGCGGCGGCGGCGUCGGGAAAACGGGAAAGCAGCGGCCCGUGUACGACGCCGCGUACGUCGCCGCGCGGAGGAACGAGCCGGAGCUGAGGGCGACGCGAGGGAAGAGCGGAUUCGCGAAAGCCGCCGCCGACGCCGCCGCGGGCGGGCUCGACGCCGGCGGCGGCGCGGCGGCGUCCGCGCCGGCGUCCGCGCCGAAGCCGCCGAAGCCGCCGCCCAAGGCGACGAAGAAGUCGUCGUCGACGACGAACGCCGCCGCGGGCGCGUCGCUGCCGCACAAUCCGGGGCCCGGGGGCGCGCCGCCGAAGCCGAAGCCGAAGUCGCACAAGAAGGGCGCGGGCGCGACGUUCCACGCGCACAACCCGGGCACGCCGUUGGGGAAAGGACGCAAGCUGUGCCAAGAGUGCCACGGCGUCGUGGGGUCGCCGACGCGCAUCUGUCCGCACUGCAACGCGAGCUUGCCGUUCAAGCAGUCAGGGGCGUCGCCGAAGGCGAAGGCGGCGGCGGCGGCGGCGGCGGCGGCGGCGGCGGCGGGCGCGGCCAUCGCGGCGGCGCAGGGCGGCGGCGGCGGCGGCGGGGGAUCGGGAUCGGAAGGCGGCCCGCCCGUCGCCGUCGUCGCCGCCGCCGCCGCGGAGGAGAUCCUCGCGACGUCCGCGGCCGCGUUCUUGUCCCGGCACCAGUCCCGACUCGCGAGUUGUAAGGUAUCGCAGCUCAGACGGACGGUCGCGGAGGUGUGCGCGGGGGUGAACGCGGUGCUCGACGCGGGGAGGCUGACGGAUCCGAUCGCGGCGAAGCACCUGAGGGAGUUGACGAAGAAAAUUUCCGACGUGAAGAUGUUGCAGGGCGUCGUGGAGAAGCCGAAGGCGCGGAACCAGGUCGCCGCCGCGAUCGAGGCCGCGGUGAAGACGUGCCAGCGGCAGGGCGUGUGAUCGAAGCCGACGGACGGACGAACGACGCGUCGGUUCGUGUGUGACCGACGAACGAGCGACGCCAUACGUACGGUAUUCGCACGAAACGUCAUGACAUCUUAAUUAAAAACGAACCCAGCCUACUCGCCUCCUCACCGCGCGACGACGGGCGCGGCGCCCGCGGCGAGCGACGCGGAGUCGUGCACGGGAAACGACCCCUUCAUCUUCGCGAUCCACGGCGCGAGGUCUCUCCGUCGCACGCCGAUGACGUACGUCCUCGGGUCCUCGAUCGUCUCGCACGGCAGCGACGCCGCGCGCAACACGCUCUCCACGGCGAUCAUUCUACGCUGCGCGUUGCCCUUCGUACCCGGGCCCGCGCCGAUGAACACCCCGCUCGGGAGUUCGCUCUCGUCCACGACGUCCAUCCCGGCGAAGCCCUCCAGGAGGACCAGCGUCGCGACGAUCGCCUCCGAGCGCGUCAUGUGCGUGAAACUGACGCGCAACGCGUCGCCGCCGCCGCCGCCGCCGCCGCUCGAGGACGACGCGUCGACGCUCGCGGACGGCUCGUCGUACACCCCGGCGUGGACGCCGUCGCGGUAGACCGCGCGCGCGGCGGCCGCGCGCUCGCCGUGAAUGAACGCGUCGCCGCCGCCCUCCUCCAGCGCGACGCUCGCGAUCGCGGCUUCCGCGCCGCCCGGAGACAACACCGCGUCGAACGUCAACGAGUACGAGUCGCGGUUCGGUCCGUACCCCAGCGCGCACUCGGGCGCGCUGGGGUCGCCGCCCGCCGAAAUCUUCUCCGCGUCCGCGUCGACGACGACGCCCCGCCCCUCCCUCCCGCCGCCCUCGCACGGCGCGCCGGACUCCACGAGCGCGCGGUACUGCGCGAGCGCUUCUCUCCACUUGUCGCACCUCCCCAGCAGCGUGAUUGUCGCGUGGCGCGUGACGCGGUUGUGUCCGACUCCCGCGGCGGUCAUCUCGCGGAGGAUCGUCUCGCCGGCGUCGUAAUCCCCCGCAGACGCGCACGCGGCGAGCAGCGAGCCGUACGUGUACUCGUCCGGCUCGACGUCGUCUCGCGCCUUGAUCUCAGCGAAGAGUUUCAUCGCCGUCGCGAGUCCGUCGACGGCUUUUUUGGACCCGCCCUUAUUGCUUCCGCGCGCCGCGUGUAUCAAACGGUUGUACGUGGUCAACGUCACCUCCACGCCGCCGUCGCGCAUCGCCUCGAACGCGUCGAACGCGUACGACGGCUCACCCGCCUUGACCGCGGCGUCGAUGAGCAGCGCGAACGUCCGGCGGUUCGGCACGACGCCCAACCCGCCGUCGCCCGUCAUGGCGUAAAAAAUUUCAAACGCCUGCUCAACCCGCGGCUGCGGCGCGCUCGCGCACGCCUCGAGAAGCGAGUUGCACGUGCUCUUCCUCGGCUCGAACCCGUCCCUCCGCAUCGCUCCGAACACGUCCAGCGCGACGUCCACGAGCCCCCCCGCCGCGACCGCGUGCAGCGCGGUCUCGUACGUCUCCCUCGACGGCGAGACGCCCGUCGCGACCAUCUCUUCAAACGUCCGCGCGACCAAAUCGGGCUGCUUCGCGCGUCCCGCGGCGAGCAGCAGCGCGUUGAACGCCGCGGGCGGCGGCUCCACGCCCGUCGACAGCAUCUCCUCGAACACCUUGCACGUGCGGAUCAGCCUGUGCUUCGACCCUUUCUUUUUCCCGACGUCGUUAUCCGCGAGCGCGCGCAGCAGACUCGUGUACAUUUUCGCGCCGACAGGCACGCCCUCCGCGAGCAUGUCCUCCUUCAUUCUCAUCGCGUCCGCGACGCGUUUCCCUCGGAUCGCGCACUCGAACGCGAGGUCGUACGUCCGGCGGUUCACCUUCACGUCGUUCAACCUCAUGGCGUCGUACACCUCCACCGCUCGCGCGGGCCCGACCGCGGCGACGUUGCGGCACACGAGCAUCACCGCGAAGUACGUGCUCUCCGCCGGCGCGACGCCUGCGGCGGUCAUCUCGCGCACGACGGCGAGGACGUCGUCCAUGGACUUGCACCGCCGCACGACGUCGUUGCAUCGCCCGACGACCUCCGCGGAGUUGAUCGGGUCGGUCGCGUCGUCGGACGCGAUGGAUUUCACCGCGAGCGGGUCGCACAGAAAGGCGAGCUCGGGGUGCCCGCCGAGCGUCGCCGGCGGCGGCGGCGAUUUCGAUUUCGCCGCGGGGAAUAGAUUUGAGACGUCGCCGUCGUCGAUCGUGCCCUUGAACGUCGCGGUCGCGGCGGCGGCGCUCUCGCCCGGCCGCGAUGACGACGCGAACGACGCGACGGCGUCGUCGUCCACGGAUAACAGGGCGGCGGAGAGGUCGCCGUCGUCGAUCGUGCCUUUGAACGUCGCGGAGAUUGGGCCCCCCGCGUCGACGAAGGACAUCUCGCGCGCGAGCGCGCCCGCGCUCGCGAAGAUCUCCAUCGCGUCGAUCUCGUCGUCGAGGUCGAUCGUGCCCAUGAACUUCGCGGCGGCGGCGCCGGAGACGAUGGGCUCGUCCGCGGCUCGCGCGAUGCGCGACGACGACGACGACGACGACGACGCGCGGUUCUUCGCUCUCGGUUUUCGGUUGCGACCGCGGUUGCGGUCGCCGCGGUCGUCGUCGCGCUUCUUCGCGGCGCGCGGCUCGGAGGAGGGCGCGGGCGCGUUCUCCGACGUCGUCGUCGGCGCGUCGUUCGCGUCCGCGCGCGCGAGGACGACGCGCGACGCGACGACGCGGCCGCGAGCGCGCGCGGCGUCGCGCGGCGAGAGAUGCGUCGUCGUCGUCGUCGCGCGGGAUAAAGACGCGGACGCGCCCGCGCGCGCGCGCGCGACCGCGCCGCUCGCGGGCGCCGCGGAGGUCGCCAUGACGCGAGGUGUGCGUCGAAGAUGCGGAGGCGACGGGUGGGCGCGCGGAGGGAUUGCGGACGCGCGCGAAGCGACGAAAAGCUGAGAGGCGCUUCGCUCGAGACGUCGCGCGAGACCACGAGUUGCGAGGACGCGAGUGCCGCGUGGUCGGCCACGUCACCGUCGUACGAUCAAAAAGGUUUCACCCAUCCCUCGGUUUUAACAUUUGAUCGCGUCCCCUUUCAACUGACCGAUGAACUUUUUUCGUAGAAUUUGCCCUCGUCUCACAUCAUGGGCCAGCCUAACAACUUACCUCUGCUAUCAUAUGGACUACUUCUUCGUGAACCCCUUACUCUGCCGCGUGAGAUGCCCAGUCCUGUCGUCGUACAUCGUCUUAUCGCGGUUCAAAACCUCGUCCUUCGCGGUCGUCAUUUUCGUGAAAUCCCUCUUCACCUCGUCGUCCUCCAUCCCCUUCACGCCGUUGUACGCGUGCGUGAGAAGGCUCUUCCACGUCCGCGUGUCGCUCUCCUGCGCCUUCCACCCGUCGGCGAGCUUCCCGUCCGACGUCGUCGGCAACGCCAGCAGCGCGGGGACUUGCUUCCGUAUGUCCAGCUUCGCGUCCUCGCGCGUGAGCGACUCCUUGUCCCAGCCGUUGUACCCGGAGUUGAAGUCCAGCGACAGCGACGGGACCGUGGGGUACGACCGCUGCGCGAACGUGAUCAGACGCUUCACCGACUGCAAGUACUUUCGCGUCUCCUCGUCGUGCAUGGCGUGCGCUUGCGACUGCGCGCCGAUCUUCUCGCGCGCGGAGCGCUCGUGGAUGCCGACGGACGUGACACCGAUCGGCCACGGCGCGUUGCCGAUCGCGACGCCGACGUACACGUCCGCAGCCUGGCGGUAGUUCCGCGCCUUCAUCGCUUGGACCAUGAGAAAAAGCGCGCGCUCGAUGUCGCCGGGGAGUUGCCGGCGUUUGAUGCGUUUGAACAACGGCUUCAUGUGGUUCCUGCACAGACGCACGUUCGCGACUUGAAGCUUCGCCUCUUCCGUGUAGAUCCACUCCUCCGGCUUCGCCUCGAGCUCGCGCUCCCACUCCUCGAGGAGGGAUUUGAAGUACGCUCCGACUUGGUCGAUGGGCGCGAGGUCGGCGUCGACGCGACGCUUCGCGACGGCGGCGGCGGCGUUUUUGAACGCCGCGGCGAGCUCCGCGUUCUCUUCCUCCGCGAUCUCCGCCAUCUUGCCUGCGUCGUGAUGAAUGUAGGGUUAGUGUUAGGGUUAGUGUUAGGGUGCGGGUUAGGGUUAGGGUUAGGGUGCGGGUCGCGCGACGACGGUCGACGCCGAAGAGAGAUUCAGAUUCGAAAAGCGACGGAGCGCGUGUCCCUCGCUCACCUUCGUUCGACGCCUUGUUCAGAUCCCGCUCCGCCGCGAGCUUCUUCGCCGCGAGCUCCGCCGCGGCGAUCCCCCUCUGCUUCUGCCGCUUCGCGUACUCCUCCAACGCCCUAAGCUCCGUCUGCUUCUCGUUCGCCUGCUGCCCGCCCGCGUGCUCGUCCUCCACCAUGAUGGCUCGCUGCACGACGUGCAAGCGUCGAAGACGAUCGAGCUCGGACUCGCCGAACAGCGUCGCCGGCUGCCCGAGCGUUCUGAGGCGUCGAAUCGCCUCCGCGACGUCGAGCUGCUCCACGUCCGCGAGGUCGUCGUCGCGUUUGCCGGCCGCGUCGGAGGAGGCCUGUCGCGCGGACGAGGGAGGGAGGGAGGGAGGGAUCGAUCGCGGGGGGGAGGGGGAGGGGGGGCGUUCGUUAGGGUUGGCGGUCGAGCGAACGAACGCGUCGGGCGCGCUACAUCCAGGCGAGAGAACGCCGCGCGCACCUCGGCGGUCUCGCCCCCCGCGGGCGCGUCGCCCUUCUUCGACGUCGUCGUCGCCGCCGCCGCGCCGCUCUUCUCCGCGUCCGCGUCCGCGUCGCCCUCGGAGGACGUCCCCGCGGGCGGCGCGGAUCGGUUCGCGGUCGCGUCGCGCUUCGCGCGCCGCUCCUCCUCCUCCUCCAUCCGCAGCUUCGCCUCGCGCACCGCGGUGAUGUGCGCCUUCUUGACGUACUUCUGCCCGCCGAACUCCUCCGCUUUCGCCUUGCGCUUCCUCUCGAGCUCGGCUUUGAGGAGAUCCAUCCUGGCGGGAGGGACCCUCGGCCGCGCGCGCGGGAGGUGUGGGGAGAUUCAGACGACGAUGAUGCGCUCUGUUUGGAGCUACACGGUAAUGUGUUCAUCGCAUCGGUCGUUCAAAAGGCAUCGCGGUCAACUUUUGAAACCGUGGAGUGGGUGAAAAAAGUCGAUGAACGGCCGCGCGACCCCACUAUAAAAAUCUUCACCUCAAGUCAAUUUCCUGUUCGCCCUUCCCGCGCGAAUCGCCCCUCUCUCUCGCACACCAGCUUCGCGCCCUUCCGCACGCGUCGUGGAAUGCGCAGGAUGUCUACGCUGUGCCAGGUCCUCGGCGCCGCACGCGCGCGCGCGCUGACUUCUCCCGUCGCCUCCUCCGCCGUCCGCGCGCCCUCCGCGCCGCGCGCGAUCGCGACGUCGCGUCGCCACCUCAGAUCGUCGUCGCUCGCCUCGAGAGGCGGCGUGGACGUCGGCUCCGCGUCGGCGUACGGCGCGGGAUUCCCUCCGAUCCCCGCGCCGGGGGUCUCCGUGGGGUCCGCGCGCGGCUCCUCCGCGACGACGAGCGCGUACGACGCGCAGCCGCCGACCGACCUCGGCGGCGGCUUCGGCCCCUCCACGCCGCCCCCGCCCGUCGUCGAGUGGGACGCUCGCUCCGCCAACACGGUCACGCUGAUCGGGAACGCGGGCAUGGACCCGGAGAUCGUCACGUUCGAGAGCGGCAACUGCGUCGCGCGCGUGAACAUCGCCGUCAGAGGGAAGAAACCGAUGGCGGACGACGGGUUCGGUGGGCCCGGGAUGGGCGGCGGCGGCGACGACGAGUCCGACACGCACUGGCUGGAGGUGGAGGCGUGGAACGACGCGGGCCGGCAGCUCGCGGAUCACGUCACGAAAGGGCGGCAGAUCAGGGUCACCGGGCGAAUCAAGACGAACACGUGGGUCGACAAGGCGACGGGGCAGAACCGCAGCAAGGUGAAGAUCAGCGCGAACGAGUUCGCGUUCGUCUCGCCGUACGACCCGUCGCGACAAGGCGGCAGAUCGUCGUCGGAUCCGUACGCCUCGGCGUCGCCGCAGCCGCCGCCCGCGUCGUACGCGAACAACGCCGCGCCCGCCGCGGGGAUGGGAGGAGGCUACGCGGCGUCCGCGUCCGCGCCCGGGCCCGCGUCCGCGUCCGCGGGCGGCGGCGGCGGCGGCGGCGGCGCCAAGGACGACCAGUGGAGGGACCUGAUCGAGAACCCGAACAACUGGUGGGACAACCGCCCGCAGAAGCUCGAACCAGGCGCUAACCCGCGGCGGCCGGAUUUCAAGCACAAGGACGACGGGACGCCGCUGUGGAUCGACUCCUACGACACCCCGCAGUGGGCCGCGGACAAGCUGCUCGGGAACAGCGGCGUCGGCGCCGCCGUCGGCGCGGCCGCGGGCGCGGCGAUGGCGGGCGGCGGCGGCGACGGCUUCGACCCCUACUACGCCGACCCUCCGGCGGGGGGCGACGUCUACUCGCAGCCGUACGACGCGAACCAGGGGGGGUACGAGCCCGCGCGGCAGUUCGCGGACGACGACCCGCCGUUUUAAGGCUGGCUGGCUGGCGCGAGAAGGAAGACGCGGAAGAAGAUGCGAAGACGCUACCCGUACGGUGCCCUACGGGAAGAGAGCGCGGUUUGUUUACGAAAUCAAAUCAUUGUUGACUGUUCGAUCGCCGUCUGAUAUCCGAAGUCGCGCGACGGGCGGGCGCCUACUAUGAACCGCCGCCUCUCCUCGCGUCCUCAUUUCCUCCUUUCCUUUCGCCGCCUCCGCUCCGCUUCUCUUCUCUCCUCUUCUCUCUUCGCCCCCCGCCUCCUUCUCCUUCCGCCCGCCGCGGUCGGUCGGUCGGUCGGUCGGUCCGCGUCCUAAAAGAACCUAUUUCGACUCGGCGCGCACGCCCCGGUGCACCUUGAGCGCCUGGUCGAUGUCCCCUUUCGCGCACCCGGCGUCCGUAAACUUCGCGACCGCGGCGUCCAGAAGCGGCCGCCACGGCUUCUUCAACCGCGCGCACAUCUGCGAGUGCUCGAACAGCGUGUUCCCCCACAUCACCUGCACUUGCGCGCGCAUCGACGGCUCCGGCUCCGGCGGCGGCUCCUCGCCCUCCUUCGGCGCCUGUCCCGCCGCCGCCGCUUUCGCGGCAGCCUCGCGCGCCGCCUUGUCCGCCUCCGCCUUUUUCUUCUCCUCCUCCGUCUUCGCCGGCUCCUCGGGAAGCUUCGCGAGCACCGUCUCGAAGUCCGCGACCGCGGCGAGGAACUCCGCCUCGGCUUCCUUCGCGCGCGCCUCCGCGUCGUGGCCCGAAUCAGAGCCGUUCUAUACGAGCGAAUGUCGGGGUGGAGUUCAAAGGCGUCAGUUGGCGUUGAAAGGCGUCGCGCGCAGGGAUUGAACGCGAGGGGUGCGCGGAGAGAUGCGACGGCGAAAGUCCUUAAGGAUCGGCGUUCACCACGCCAACGGGGUCGUAUGGGGACCAGUGUAGGUACAACAGAACUCGCCUUGACGCCAGCCUCGCCGCUCAACCCCGCGGCGGCGCACAACAGCCGCGCGCGCUCGUACCGACGCUGCGCGAGGGCGAUCUUCGCGUCGUGGAAAUCCGGCUUGACCUUGAGCGCCGCCUCGUACCGUCCCUUCGCGUCGUCCAGGCGCUCGACGACUUCGUCGUAUUUCUCCGCGGAGGCGAUGGCCGCGCCGGGGGGGCCUCCCUCCUCGAGCGGCGGGUCGCGGCCGCCGUCCAUGGCUUUGCGCGCGCCGCACAUGUGGACGUUGCCCCAGUUGAAGAGCGCGAGCGCGGCGGCCUCUUGGAACUUAUCCCCGGCGAUCUUGAGCAUCUCCUCCGCGUCGGCGAGGGAGACGUGCGGCUCGAGCGCUUCGUUGCACUUGUCGAGACCCUGCGCGAGGCGGCGGGGCGAGAAUACGUACGGGGAGUGAGUAACGGUCAGGGAUCGUCCGUUUCGUUUCGGUGGAGGCGGGCGGGCGUUCGCGAAACGAGAGAGAGAGAGAGCAACGAGCAGACAGACGGAAGCAGACGCGCUCGCUCGCGUCUCGUUCUCUCGUCCCGUCCGUCGCGGUGGAGAGGCUCGCGAUAGGAGCGAAAGACAUUUAUCAAACGAUAUUCGUCAUCGUGCGUCUCGGGAGUAGUAGAGUGACUUUCUCGUCAUCGCCUCGGACGCGCGCGACGACGAGAGAACGAGGACGGAACACGGCGCGACUCCAAAACAGAACAGAGCGAAGAACAAAGUACGAAGAGAAAAUGAGAGGACGACGAGAGGAAAGAGAGAGAGAACGACGAGAGAGACGAACGAACUGCCACCGCGCUCGCGCACCUCCGCGUGAAGGUCCAGGUGCGCCUCCGCGUCGAUGCCGAGAUGCUCGCGGAACAGCGCGGCGAAAUCGAGGAUCCACUCGUCAAUCUCCACGACCGCGUCGCCCGCGGCCGCGUCGGUCAUAUCCGCGUCGCCGGUCGCGGCGUCGCCGGUCGCGGUCGCCGGCGCCUCGUCCGCGCCCUGCUCCACGAGCGUCAGCUUCACGCUGGGUAUGCCGUGCAGCGUCGGCUUGGACUUGUCCGCCCUCUCCGCGGCGGCGGCGGCGGCCGCCUGGAAGUCCGCGCGCGACGUCAGCGGCCUCAGCGCGCCGCUCGCGUCCGUGUACUUCACCUCGAACGCGUUCGCGUCCGGGAACUUCCGCGUCAGCGACGUGAUGAGGUCCUUGUGCGAGAUCAUGGACGGGACGAUGACGCUCCGGACGUCGUCGCCGGCGGCGGCUUUCACCGUGAUGGGCGGGCCCCACGCCAUCUGCUGCUGCCGCGCUUUGAUCGCAUUCGCCUGCCGUUGCGCCUCGACCGCGCGCGCGGCGGUCUGCGCCAUGACGCUCUCGGCGGAAUUCGCGCCGCCGGCGUCCUUGCCUUUCUUCUUAGGCUGAAGACCCAAACCGCCGAGGCCCUUCGCCUCCUUUUUGGGCUCGAGCGCGUCCAUCGUCGCCUUCGCGUCGUCGUCGCUCGGGUCCGACGCCAACGCCGCCGCCGCGUCCGCCUUCGCCUUCUUCUGCUGCCCCGUCGCGGCGUACGCCUUCGCGCGGUGCACGAGCGCUGUCGCGUUACCCGGAGAUAUCUUCAGCGCGCGCGUCGUGUCCGCGACGGCGUCGGCGUAGAGCCGGAGGUGGAAGAAGCACGCGCCGCGCGACGCGUGGAGAUCCGCGGCCACCGCGGAUGCGCCGUCGACGAGCUUGAUGCCCUGGUCGUACGCCGCGGCGGCCUCUUUGUACUUGCGCGCGGCGAACAGCUUCGCGCCUUCGUCUGUUUUUUUGGGGCGAGGAGGGAUGUAGAGUGGAAGGGAGGGUCAAGGUCGGGCGAGGGAUGUCGGGAAAAGCGCGAUCGACAAAAGCCGUUGAAUGCAGUGGCGAAAAAGUGCGCCGCGUCCGCGUCGACGCGGCGCGCGGCCGCGACGAUUUCGAUCCAACCGCCGUCCACCGCGGCGACGCGGCGCGGGAAGGCGCGCGCGAUCGUCGCGCGCGAUGGCGCGCGCGCCGUUCGCCCACGCGANNNNNNNNNNNNNNNNNNNNNNNNNNNNNNNNNNNNNNNNNNNNNNNNNNNNNNNNNNNNNNNNNNNNNNNNNNNNNNNNNNNNNNNNNNNNNNNNNNNNNNNNNNNNNNNNNNNNNNNNNNNNNNNNNNNNNNNNNNNNNNNNNNNNNNNNNNNNNNNNNNNUUGGGCUUACCCAUGCUUGGCGCCGGCGUAGUCUGCGGAGGGAGGGGGAGGAGGGCGCGCGGGUCGUCAGCCGAGGGAAGGAUGGGAGCUUCGUUGGAGGAGAGGAGGGGGAUUGAAUGGCGCGGGGGGGGGGGAGGAAUCGGCGGCGGCGGCCGACGCGCGAGGGGAACGACCGCGCGCGCGACGGCGUCGAUGCGAUGCGUACCUGCGGCGGUUGCCGAGUGAAGUGACGAGAUCGGUGACGCGACGGGCCGUCCGCGCGCUUGCGAGUGGCCGCGUCGGCGACGUCCGAGGUCGUCGCGAAUCGAUGCAUCAGCCCUAAAACCCUUUUGAGAGAAUUUCUCGGGGAGAUCGGCGCCGUUCAUCGCCGAUCAACACGCGAUUGACCCUCGGUUCUUAGCUUCGAUUCCGGAUUCAUCGCUCGCUGUUGAUCGGCGAGAGCUUCGCAGCAGCUCGAUUCGAACGAAGCGUCGCAUCUCGCGCGCUUCCCACUCGUCCCCGCGCGCGGCGCGGCCGCUCGCGUCGUCAUGGCGCAGCGCGAGUCCUUGCUCGUGUCGACCGCGCGCCCGCGCGCGUCGCGUCGCCUCGGCGGCGGCGCGACGACGCGGCGGCGCCGCCUCGCGCGCGUCCUCCGCGGCGAGCGCGGCGUUCUCUUCCUCCUCCUUCUCGGCGUGCUCGCGCUCGUCGCGUCGCACCUCGCCGCCGCGAUCCUCCCUCGCGUCCUCGCCGCGUACCGCCCGGGCGUCUGCGUCCCCGGGUCCGGACUCGCGCCGUGCCCGCCCGAGGCGUCGCGCGUUGACGUGGACGUCGUCUCCGUCGCGGCGAAGCCGACGUGCGUGACGCACGUCGCGGUCCUCGCGCUGAACCAGUACGUCAAUCCGCGGCGUAUCGUGUUCGUGACGUCCUCCGCGUCCAAGUGCGCGACGCUGAUCGCGAUGGCGUCGAACGUGGAGUGCGUCGCGGAGGACGACAUCGUGCCGGGGGUGACCAAAGCCUCCGUGCGCGAUGAGCUUCGAAGGCUGCACGGCGACGGCGCGGACGCGGAUAAGCUCGGACGGUCUCGAUCGGGAUGGUACCUCCAGCAGCUCGUCAAGCUCGGCGCCGCGGACGCGAUCGAGGGCCUGAGCGACGUCUUCGCGGUGUGGGACAGCGACAUGAUCCCGCUGUGGCCGACGCGGUUGGUGUCCGAGGGGAGGGUGGGCGCGUCGGGCGCGCGGCGGGUCGUGCGGCAGAUUGGCGGGUACGUCAUCGGAGGGUACGAGAAGAGUUACGAGACGUUGACGGGGGGGGAGACGUUGUCGUACGCGCCGGACGGGAGCGGGUACGUCGCGCAUCACAUGGUCAUGGAGCGACGGUUCGUGAGGGAGCUCCUGGCGACGUUCGAGAGGUCGUUGACGUUGACGACGAAGGCUGUGGGGGGAGGGGGAGGAGGCGGCGGCGGGGGCGGGGGAGGGGGGGAUGGAGAGCGCGGCGGCGGCGGCGGCGGCGGCGGCGGCGGCGGCGGGGGUGAGACUGCUUCCCAUACGACCCCGUUCGCGUGGUGCACGCCGUUCCUUAAGGACUUUUCCCGUCGUCACUCUUCACCCGCGCUUCCCUUUCAACGUUUGACCGGUAAGACGUUCGACUGACCGAUCGCUUCACCCACGCAGGCGGCGGCGGCGGCUUCCCGCGCUGGGCGUCCGCGAUCCUCGCGGCGAUCCCCUCCGACGAUCUCGACUUGGGCUUCAGCGAGUACGCGUCCUACGCGAGCUUCGUGUCGUCUCGGCACCCGGAGACGGUGGAGACGGCGACGUCGCGGACGUGGAGUCGGCACCCGCUGGGUCCGUUCGUCGGGUCGUUCGCGAUUCGCGCGUUUCGGUGGCUCGGCGGAACGGGGUUAUGUUGUCCGACCGCGGGGAUGGUGCGUCUGAUGAAGGUGUUGGGGUAUCAGUACGCCGGGUUCGAGAUCGGGCACGUCGGGUCGUGCGGUCUGAAUGCGCCCGGGCGAGAGGAGAGCUACGGGCUCUGACGACGCGACGACCGCGGCGCGAAGUAGAAGUACAUUAAAAAAUCGCAAUCGAGACGAAUCGGAAGUAUUACUGUAUUACGCCGCCCGUCUCGUCUCGUCUCGUCCACUGUCUCCCUGCGAACACGAAAGAAACGCAUAACUUCCGAGCGUUAUCUUCACGCACGCCCUUCAUUUCAUGAAGCGCGGUCUUCGUUGUCGACCUUGAAGAUGCGCAACCGACCGUCGAUCCCGCCGGACACGACGCGGUUCGGGCCGUGGUAAUCCACGCACAGCGCGCGCGCCGUGUGCGGUUUCCCCGGGUGCGCCUUCACCGUGUGCAGCGGGAGUUUCCCGCGAAUGUCCCACAGCUUGACGUUGCCGUCGUACGCCGUGGACGCGAGCUGGUACUCGCUCCCGGGGCACCACGCGACGCUGACGACCAUCUCCUGCUCGUUGAAAACGGAACGGAAGGCGUUCAGCGAAAGCCGCGGGGGAAAUAAAAAGAAAACGGAACGGAAAAAAAAAGUCGACGCGACGAGAACGAACCGCGCGCGCGAGCGAACGUCUCGGGAAAAAAUUAGAGAUUUGUUCCUCCAUCGAAUCGCUUCGUCGGGAAACGGUGUGUGUCAUCGUCACCGACGUUCGCUCGCGCGCGUGGUCCAUCCGAGCGGGCUUUCGCUUCGGCCGAGAGAAGAGAGAAACGAACCGAAUCGAGACGAAAAAAAACCCGAGACCCACCGUGUGAGACGCCAAGCUCGUCGUCGCGCCCGUCGCGUUCCCGACGCGCGGAUCCCAAAAGUGCACCAUCCUGUCCCCGCCGCCACACCACGCGAGCAUCCCUCCCCCGGCCCUGACGGCCAGCCCCAUGACGCACUUCGGCGCGGCAUACGUCUGCACGCACGUCCCCGCGUCCGCGUCGAACGACUUCAACGAGUGAUCCAUGCUGCCCGUCCAGACGACGUCCACGCUCUCCCACGCGACGGCGGUGACCGCGUCCGUGUGCCCUCUCAGGACGACGACACCCGCGGGGAGCUCCUCCUCCUCCUCCUCCUCCUCCUCCGCCGGCUUCUUCUUCGCGUCGUUCGGGUCCGGAAUCCCGAGCGCCUCGAACACGGACCGCUCCAGCGGGCGAACGUCCGGGACCGCGUCCUCGCCGUCGCCGUCUUUUCCCUUAGGGUCGAGGGUCCAUACAAAGCGAUGUCGGGGUGGAGUUCAAAGGCGUCAGAAGCGGAGUGGGGGAAAGGCGUCGAGGGCGGGGAUCGAAAGCGAGGGGUGGGCGGAGAGACACGCCGGGAAGUAAAGUCCUCAAGGAUCGUCGUUCACCACGCCGACGCGGUCGUAUGGGGACCAGUGUGAGAUAGAACGCACCUUGCGUCGCUUCGAGCUGCUCGGCGCGGUCGCUUUCCACUCCGCGGCGCGCGCUUCCCUCGCCGCCUCGAUCUCGUCGUCGUGGGUCUUCGCGUCCGCGCCGACGGUUCGCGCCCACACGCGCGCCGUCUUGUCGUACGACCCCGACGCGAAGCACACGCCGUCCGGGGACGCGGCGACCGAGGUGAUCGUCCCCUCGUGCCCCACGAACACCCGCGACGACCCGACGUGCUUCGCGGAGUCUCCCUUGGCGUCGACGACGACGUCCCACGCGCGCACGACGCAAUCGUGCCCGCCGCUGACGACGACGCAGCCGUUACCGUCGUCCUCCGUCGGCGGAAGCAGCGUCACCGCGACGACGGGCUGGGCGUGGCCGUCGAGCGUGACGAGAUGCUUUCCUUUCGGCGAGUAGAGUCGCGUCGUGCCGUCGUAGGACGCCGUCGCGAUCGCGCCGCCCCAGGACCCGCACACGCCGGCGACCCAGUCGUCGUGUUUCCCGGUCGCCUCCUCGCUGGGCGGACCGACCGCGGGGAUGUACUCGACCUCGAGCGUGCUCUCCGCGGAGACGCCCUUGCGGAGGAGGAGUUUCUCGAGCGACGUGCGCACGAGCUCGCCGUCGACGAGGAAGUCGAACGGCUUCGGCGGGUCUGCGAUCGACGCGCGAGGGGUUGGGGGUUAGGGUUGGGGGGUUAGGGUUGGGGGGUUAGGGUUAGGGUUAGGGUUAGGCCGGCGGCGCGCGAGGGGGACGCGCGAGCGGCGAAGACGGGACGGAGGAGGAACGAGGACGAUCGAUCGAUUCGAUCCUCGAUGGAUGUGAUGGAUCCAGAGUGCUCGGCGCAUCACGCACCGAGCGCGAGGAGGUGGUUGAUGACCUCGGAGAGCCCGUAGCGCGUGAGCUUCCCCGGGACCGCGAACGGCGUCGGGGAGAUUCGGUACUUCUCCGGCAGGCGCGUCACGAACUUGCACGUGAUCUGCGUCUCCUCGCCGGUGGAACCCAUGUUCUUCGAAGACGCGCGCGCCUCGUCGGCGGCGUUGCGAGAAGGAGGAUUCGCCGAUGGGAAUCCCGCCGCGCGCCGCUCCACCUUCGCGCGGACUGGGACGACGCGGAAGACGGGAGCCGAGCCUUCCCGAGACGGACGGUGAGCGCGGUUCACGCGCGAUGCGGCGUCGAGAGAGAGAGCGGCGGCGCGCGCGGAGGACGCGAGUGACGGCGAGUGAUGACGGCGCGCCAGGCCUUCUCGUCAUCGAGAGUUCGACCGACCGCGCGCCAGCUUGCAUUUCUUGAUUAGGCACAAGAGUGCCCAACGCGACGCGCACAUCGCCGCGCGCGGACGCGUCGUCGUCGUCGCCGCGAUGCUCUCUCGAACGACCGGGCGGACGUCCACGUCAUCGAACAGCGCGUACGGGCAGUUCUACAACGGCGGCGUCACGCUCCCGCGCGACGCCGGCGUCGACGACAGAGGUGGGGGCGGGGGGACGUACGCGUCGAGAUCCGACGCGCGCGUCGGCGCGGACGUCGCGAACGGCGCGUCGCGCGCGUCGCGCGCGAGCUCGCUCGGCGCGCACCGCGAGCGCGGCGAGCUCCGGAACGUCGUCGUCGCGGACGACCUGUCGCGAGGGACGAACCUCGGCGCGCGAGGCGCGAUGAGCCGCGACGGGCGCACGCUCGUCGGCGCGGGGUUGGGCGGAGGCGUCGGCGGGUCGCCGCGCGCGCAUCCGGAGCGCAUUCACGCGGUGCUCGGCGCGGGGGGGGGGCGGCGAUCGCGCGGGGGGCUCGAUCCGCGCGAUCCGAGCGACCCGUCGAGCGCGAACGGGUGGAGUAAGGGGUUUCACGGGACGACGCCGCGGACGCUGGAUCCGAGCCAGGGCGGUCCGCAGUCAGGGGGUGGAGGAGGACUUUCGUCUUCGUCGUCGCGAUCGAACGCCGCGGCGGCGGGGAAGUCUUCCGCGAAGCCCACAAACACGACGUCGGGCACGGGGAAGCCGUUGAUCGUGGCGAGCCACCCGGGCGCGGUCUCCGCCGCGGGCGCGAAGGGGCUCAACGGCGGCCGCCUCUCCGGCGGUCCCGGCGGCGGUCCGAACGCGAACGCGACGACGACGAAUAAUCCGCUUCGAAAAUCCUUCGACGCGGGCGUGACGAUGACGGGCCCCAAAGGCGCGCAGAUCGAACGUCCGAGCACGUACGCCAGCGGCGUGAACCACGGGACGACGCGCGCGGCGGGGUACCUUCCGCAGUCGCACCAGAGCAAGAAGACGGCGAAAACGCACGAGGGCGGAGCGUUACAAAGAGGCCCGCCGCCCAAGGCGAAAUUUCCAUCGGGCGACGCGUCGGCGGCGUCGCGGUCGCCCGGAUUCGGCUCGAUGACGAUCCCGCGCGCCGGCGCGCACGUCCCGGUCCCGACGUUCCGCGGAGACGCCGCGAGCGCGAGCCCGCUGAGCCCGCUGUCGCCGAGCGCGCGCGAGGGCGUGAGCACGCGACGCAACGGCGGCGCGACGCGGAUUCCGUUCGGAGCGCACUCCAUGGCUGGCGGCACCAACGGGUUCAGCAAAGAAAACCAGGAUGAUCACUUCGUGCUCGGGACCGGCGGCGGCGUCUCCGGCGACCGCGAUUUCAUCGCCGCGGUCCUCGACGGCCACGGCGUGGACGGCCGCAAGGUGUCGCAUUUCGUUCGCGCGCGUCUGCGCAGCGAGCUGGAGCCGCGCGCGGGCGUGGCGACGGCGGCAGGCAAGGCCAAGGCGCGCGCCGCCGCCGCGCGCGUCUCCGCCUCCUCCGGCGCCGUCGGCGACGCGUACGCCGCCGCCGCCGCCGUCGGCGUCGGCGCGUCGUCGCCGGACAACUCCUCCCUGCCCCCCACGCGGUUUAACAGCGGCGCGGACGUCGAGCGCGCCGCGGAGACGAGCAAGCGAUUGACGGAGGCGUUUCGCGCCGCGCAGGCGGCGCUCGUGAAGAACAACGGCAUCAACAGCGCCGAGAGCGGGUCCACCGCGGUGACGUGCGCGCGCGACGGCGACGUCCUCACCGUCGCGAACGUCGGCGACUCGCGCUGCGUCCUCGCGCGCGAGGCGCAGCCGCCGCUGACGUACGCGACGGAUCCUCUGGGCGCGGCGAAGAAGACGCCGCUCGUCGCCGUCGAUCUCUCGUCGGGCGCGUCCCACACACUGGUCCCCAUACGACCGCGUUCGCGUGGUGAACGCCGAUCCUCAAGGACUUUUCUUCCUGGCGGCGCAUCUCUCCGCCCAGGGUCCCUCGCUUUCAAUCCCGACGCACACACCUCGACGCCUUUCAACUCCGCUUCUGACGCCUUUCAACUCCACCCCGCAGAUCACAAGCCGAACCGGCCGGACGAGGAGGCGCGGGUGACGCGCGCCAACGGCGUCGUCGAGCCCGCGCGGUCGCCGCUCGGGGGGUUUGUCGGCCCGCACCGCGUGUGGAAGAAGCACCCGCGGACCGGCGGGCUCGCGGUGUCGAGGGCGUUCGGGGACACCGCGCUGAGCGGCGCGGGGGUGAUCGCGGAGCCGGAGCUCUUCACCGAGCGCGUGACGCGACGCGAUAAGUUCGUCGUGCUCGCGUCGGACGGCGUGUGGGACCACGUGGACAGCCAGGAGGCGGUCGAGCUCGCGGGCGCGUGCUUCGAGUCCGGGGCGGCGGCGGCGGCGGGGGCGGGGCACGGCGGCGCGGCGCAGCGCGCGGCGGAUGCGAUCGUCGCGCGCGCGUGCGAGCGAUGGAAGCGGGCGAUGAAUGGAGGGUACCGGGACGACAUCACGUGCGUCGUCGUGCCGCUGUUGGGGUGGGAGUGAGGUGGUGGGUGUAACGCACGGGGGUUGGGCGUUUCGAGGAAGUACGUGUAGUCUUGUUGUCGUCGCGAAGUAUUGUACGAGUACGCGCGUCGUCGUCGUCGCUGCUAACGUCGUUCGUCUGCUGAUACUCGUAUCAUCAUCCUCCGUCACGAGUUCCAGUCUCUCACGCGCUCGGCGUCGCGUCCGCGAUCGGGGACGGACGUCGCGCGCGCCUGCUUCUGCGACUUGUGCGCGGCUUUCCCGACCGCGCUCCGGUCGAACUUGCUCUGGCGCUCCUCCGCGGCGAUCGCGGCUUGCUCGCGCGCGAGCGCGUUCUCGCGCCUGUCGGGGAGGGAGAAGGGAGGGAGGGAGGGAGUCGUGAGAUGCAGAGACUUUACAGUAUUGUUCGCAAACGAGAAGCGUUUGAAGCGUCUUUGCGAGGCGAGGACGCGACGACGAGAUCUGCGCGCGGCGGCGGGGGAGCGCGCACCGAAUCUCGCUCUCGCGCAGGAGGCGUCCCUCCUCGUCCUCCUCGGGGCAGCAGCACCCGCAGCACUUGCGGAACAUGGACCCCAUCGGACGCGGGCACCGCGGGCGCGCGCGAGGAAGUGCCGACGGGGGGUUCGGCUAGAUCGAGGCUCGCACUGCGGUCUUGUCACGCGACUCUUGUCCAGCUCUUGUCCUUCCGAGGAAAACUAAAACGCUCGGACGUCGCCUCAUUUCACUACUCUCAUCCGCGCGCCCGCCGCCGCCGCACGCUCAGAUCCAAGCCAUGCAAAAGCGUUCAACGUCCGACGGAUUCAACGACAUCCCCGAGAAUGUCGCGGCCGUCGUGUUCUCGCACCUCGGGAAGAACCCACGACAUCGCAUCAGGCUCGCCGCGGUGAGCAAGGUGUGGAGGGAUGCUAAGAAGUCUGACUUGUCGUUGCCUGGCGCUCCGAGGGCGUUGUUCGAGCUCGGUGAAGACCUUAUCGGGAAGGAGACGAAGGUGUCGUUCCGGAAGGCGUUCUACUGGUACCGAAAGGCCGCGGAUCUUGGAGACGCUGACGCCAUGUGGAUGAUCGGAGUCUGCUACCGCAGUGGGUUAGGCGUGAAGAAAGACAAGACGAAGGCGUUCGAGUGGUGGGAAAAAGCGUCCUUAUGGUGUUUUCACCGCAAAGCGAUCUGCUCUCUCGCGAUGUGCUACCAGCGCGGCGACGGCGUGGAGAAAAAUAAAGCGAUGGCGUUCGAACUGUACCUCAGGGCGGCGGAGCAAGGUUCAGCAGAGGCCGCAUAGAGUCUCGGGAGUAUCUACGAACGCGGCAAGUGCGGCGUGGCGGCGAACAAAAAGGAGGCGCUGAAGUGGUUUCGCGUCGCGGUGGAGCGCGGCAAACCCGACGCGGAACAGGAUGUGGAACUCCUCGAGGCCGAGCUCGCGGCGGAAGCGGCGGCGUGAACGAACGAACGAACGAACGAACGAACGAACGAACGAACGAACGAACGCGUGUACCGUGAGCGAACCUUUGUAACGAACGCACGUCGAACGUCGCCCGCAGCCAGAGUACGUUUUCGCGCUCGCGUGUCUCGAGAAAAACUCGACGGGUGCGGGUGUGAGUUUUUCAUCCCCCGUCGAAUGGGGGUCGCCCCUCCGCGGGACGCUCAGCGCCGGGACGCGACUGGAACGACCGACGAUAAACGCACACGCAUACACGAUACAUUACAUCGCGCGCGGCGCGAACGCGCGCCAAGCAGACGCGCGAGCGGUCCGCGGUCGCGACCGACGCCGCGUUCGCCCACCGUCGUGAUCUCCCCCCGUCGUGAUGCUCCGCGACGAGCGCGCGGUGUUCGCGGAGGUACGCGCGCGGGAGUGGAACGACCUGAGCGGCGACGGCGACGACGCGUCCGUCGUCGACGUAGAAGGCGACGUCGAUCAUCGGCACAGGUGGUUCCUCCGCGUCGGUCGUCGCCGUUCCGUCUUCUUCCGCGUCCUCGUCGUCGUCUCCUCGCGGCGUUCUUCCUCGCGUCUUCUUCGCGGCGUUCUUCGUAUUCUUCUUCGACGCCGCGGAAACCUUCGGGUCGUUCCGUACGAGCGAACGUCGGGGUGGAGUUGAAAGGCGUCAGAUGGAGGAGUUGAAAGGCGUCGAGGGCGGGGAUUGACCGCAAGGGAUGGGCGGAGAGAGACGACGGGCAAAGUCCUUAAGGAUCGGCGUUCACCACGCCAACGCGGUCGUACUGUAUGGGAACCAGUGUACACGUAGGGCUACUGUAUAGCCUAUCCGCCAAUCGAUCGCGGUGGUCAGCGAAGAUGACGAGGACGACGACGAGGACGCGCCCCCAGCCUCGCCUUUUGCUGUAGACGCGUUGGACACCCCGUCGUCGCCCGUGGUGUCCCGUGUGCCCGCGACGCCCGCGCUGCUGUCGACGCGAGUUACGCGGGCCGCGCCGAACCACGCGUCUCCAUACGAGAACGAGGAGGGGUGGACGAUCGUCAAAGGCCGUAUGCGGCGGCCUGACCGCGUCGACGACCGACGCGACGGCUGUGAAAAACAUGGCGCUACGGUGACAGCCACCGCACCGCGCCGCUCGGCCCGCCUCCUGGCACGCGCUACUCCAGCUACCGACGCACCAGGUGGCCCAAGCGUCGCCGCUCGCCCGCGUGUCGCGUCGCCGCGCGCAGACACGCGAGCGAAGGCGAAGGGUGCGAGAGGCGUGCCCCGCCGUGAUGGCUCGGCGGCGCGCUCCCCGGCGGGUCGUGUGGACGUAAUUCCGGGCCUAGACGCGAACGCUCGAUCGGCCGCGACAGACGCACGAGCCGCGGGUCGCCGCCAAGGCACAGGCUCCGCCCCGACCGCUCGCGUCGCCGCGGUCACGCGAACGAAGGGGAAGGACGUGAGCGGCGCACCCCGUGCCGCCCCCGACCGCGGUGGCUUAGCGGCGCGCUCCCCGCCGGGUCGAGCGGACGCCAGCCCAGCCCUCGGCGCCGACGCGCGUGCGAACGCGCCGGAUGCACGAGCCGCGGGUGGCCGCCGUGGCGCCGGCUCCGGCCAUGCCGAUCGCGUCGCCGCCGCGGGCACGCGAGCGAAGGCGAAGGGCGCAAGGGGCGCGCCCAUCUCGUACGCGCUCAGAACCUCACGUGACUCUGAAAACUUCCACGCGGGCGCGGCAGCGCAAAUCCUUUUUAUGGAGCCCGACACUGCUGGCGAUUUCCACAUCGCCCCGGCUUCGUGCGCUCGUGAGGCUCACAUGGGUUUCAUGAAUCCCGUCGUGGGGUUGCUUACUACGUGAGAGGAUUGUUCGUAGUGCGGUCUGCUCGCUUCUAGAUCACAUGUUUUACCCGGAUGGGUUAGAGCUCAGUCUUUUUGUAAUCAGAUCUACUACCUUCGUACAUAGUUCAUGACUAAAUACAUGUGCCUUUGAUGUACGAAGGUACGAAAGUAAAAACUCAAGAGAAAGAAAAAGGGUCCAAAUAAGCGCCGCGCGAUUUCUCCCCUCACACGCACACGAACGCACCCGCACGCACGGUGAAAACCAUUCAUCAAGAUCAUGAGUGUGUUAAUAAUGGAAUCUGUUUCUCCCUUCGCGUGACGAGGUGAUUUAGAUGUAUUUAUAGCGGGGACCAGUUUGCUAUUAUUCGUUUUUUUGGAGGAUUUCAUGCCCCGAAAAGGGAAGCGGGGACAUGGUUGGUGUUCGGAUCGUUUGAAGGAAUUUGAUCGUAUCAGGAAGCAGAUCGAAAGAAUAACUAAUGGAGGUGAUCGGCGAGAGUUGUUUAGAUGCCUCGAGCUCUGUUGUGGGACGAAAUCUUUCUUGAGAGCGGUACGACGACGAUUCACUAAAUCUCGUUGCGUCACCGUGGACGUGAAUCCGAAGUUCGCAGCCGAUGUCAUUGUUGAUGUCAUAAAUUGGAUAGCUGAGCACCGGCAAGGAUGGUUUGACGUGAUCUGGAUCAGCCCCCCAUGCAAAGAAUACUCGAACUCGAAGACCGUUGGUGUGCGCGAUAUAAAGGGUGCGGAUGCUGUGGCGAUGUCGUGCUUGGUGCAUCUCGAGGCCUUAUCCCACAGGUCUGGCUGGAUCCAACGCCGCGUCCCACUCCGGCGCGAGCGGCGGGAAGACGUGGAGCGCGGGCGCGGGCGCGGGCGCGGGCGGCGAACGCGGAGACGGGAGGGAAGGAGAAGCAGAAGCUCGGGUUUCUUCAGAAGUACUACCACAAGGGGGCGUUUUUCCAGGAAGCCGCGGACGAUCCGGCGAGCUCGAUGGGGACGGACGACAUCUACAAGCGCGACUUCAACCAGGCCACGGGCGCGGACAAGGUGGACAAGAGCGCGCUGCCGAAGGCGAUGCAGGUCAGGGGCGACGCGUUCGGGAAGAUUGGACGGACGAAGUGGACGCACCUCAGCGCGGAGGACACGACGUUCGCGGGCGGGGACAACGUGUGGGCGGACGCGCGGAACAAGAGGGUGGGCGAACUGGCGGAGAAGGGCGCGGGGCGGAAGCAGGAGUUUCAAAAGCUUUCGGCGGUUCGUCUUCGGAUCGCUCUUUAAAUCGCAUCGCAUCGUGCGUGCGCGCUCGCAUGCUUCGUCGUUCUCCGCGCGUUGUUCACUCACCCCCCCCUCACCACCCACCCGCUCCCGCCGCGAACGCCAUCGUCUCCCAAGGCACUCAACGAAGGAGGUGCGCGCACGCGCCGUACGCCUUGUUCGCCGCGCGCGCGAACUUCUCCGCGUGCGCGACGGAGCAGUCGCCGUUGUCCUCGAGAUCGAUCAUCAACGACACAUGCUCGCCGCACGACGCGCUGCGGUGCUUGUAAUCACCGCGAGACAGCGCUUUCGUCAUUACGUACAUAUCUCCGACGGCGCUCUGCGGCGCGAACUUGAGCACGUCGAACUUCUUCCCAAUGGCGUGCACGUAAAUCCCGCACGUGCAGCUCACCUCCGCGUACAACAUCACUUUAAGGCGACAGGCGUACGACUUCUUGUCCUCGUGCGUUGCCGAGGUUGAUCCCGUAGACAGCCCUAACUCGGUGUGAUCGUCGAGAACGUCGGCGGCGCGGGCGCGGGCGACGGCGUCCACGGCGGAUUGAAGGGAAUUUCUCUUGUUCGUGAGCGUUUUAUCCUCGCCCCCCUCCGCGAGCGUCUUCAGUAUGACCGCCUUCUUCUCCAAGACACGCACCUCCGCGAGCAUCACACCGAGCUUCUUGCGGGCAAUAGGACCGGCCGGCGUCAGAGACGACGCGGGCGACGAGAGGCCGUUGGUACCGGACGCGACCCCCGCGCCGGACGCGCCGGACGCGACCCCCGCGCCGGACGCGAUCCCCGCGCCGGCGGCGGCGGAGACACUCACCCCCUCGUCGACGACGGCCUUGACGACGGCCUUGGCCUCUUCGAGACCGGCGAUCAACGACGCGCGGGCGUCGUCGGAAAGUCCCGCGUCGCUGGUGUUGAUCACGUCUCCGACGGCGGCGAGGAAGUUUGUCGUGUCCGCGAUGAACUCGUUGUUGAGGAGCUUGAUCUCGUCGAGGCGGUUACCCGCGGCGUCAUCGCAUACGCGGCGUGCUUCGCGAAAGGUAGUCACAGUGCGAGUCAGAGCCCAAGACACAUCGACCCGGAGUCGAUCCGCCGCCGCGCAGCCGAACAAGAUGUACGUGUUCGACGAGAUCUGCCAGCCUUCGUCCGCGAGCUUGCUGCAAAACCCCGCGAUGAAGACGUUUAACUUCUCGGCACCGUCCUCCGUGGGCGGAUCGAGACCGUAGCAUUCUCGCUGCACGGCGAAGACACCGGAAGGCGUCUUCCCGUCCUUUUUUGUCAUCAAGGGUAUCCAAGACCCGCUUUCGUCCUCAACAAGGGUGACGUUCCGCCGAAAGCGUUCAUCUCCGCCUACGCCCCUUUGAGCCAUGAGUUGGUCACCGAAUCCGGCGAGCGACUUCGGCGGGGUGGCGGCCUUCGCGUGAUCGACGCGGACGAUCGCCGCGGUCGUGUCCGAUCCCGCGCCGCUCGGGCGAAUCACGCGCACGCUCGGGGUCGGAACGAUGUUCUCCUUGUUCGAGUCCGCGUCCGCGCGCGUGGCGCUCGUGGUUUUCGCCGUCGCUGCGGACUCCGCGGACCGAACGCCGCCGACGUUCGAGACCACAGUCGCGAGCGAAGAAGGCGCGAGCGAAGAAGGCGCGAGCGAAGAAGGCGCGAGCGCCGCCUUCGCCGCGGCCACAAUCUCCCUCAGUUCGUUGGCUCGCCGCGCGUCGUCCUGCUUCUUCUUCUUCUCCUUGGACCCCGGCGCGGCCGCCCGCGCGUCGUCCCGCUUCUUCUGCUUCUCCUUGGACCCCGGCUCGGCUCGAUACGCGGUGUCCUGCUUCUUCUUCUUCUCCUUGAACUCCGGCUCGGCCAUCCGCACUAUGUGAAGCGCGGCGAGACGCUCCUUCUCCUUCUCCUUGUACUCCGGCGCGGCCGCCCGCACCCUGCUCCAGCACGCGUUGCACAGCGUCCUCGGUCCGGCCGGACCAGGCCUCCACUGCGGCGUCUUUUGCCUCCGGCAGUUAAAGCACACCUUACCGGCGCACGGCGCGAGGUCGCCGUCGCCGCUCGGGUCGAGCGGGGGGAUCGCCGCCGCCGCCCUCGCGCCGUCAUCGGCGGACUGAGAGGACGGCGGCGCCGCCGCGGUCGAUACGGGCGAGUCGUUCGAGUCCGCGACGGCGUCGUCGUCGCCGUCGCCGGACUGAACCACAGCGUCUCUCUCGCCGAGGGGGGCGCUCGCGCGCGCGAGAGGGACGUCGUCAGAGCUCCGGACGGCGCCGCCGCCGCCGCUCGUGGUCCCUUUGGUUGCGAUACGCGGUUGGGGGCGGCGACGCUUCAUCGCGGACGAGCACUCGGUCCGCGCGCGCGCGCGUCGCCGCCGCGCCGUCGACUAAAACCCGUACAGCUGGACGACUCUUUCCGGAGAAGGAGUUCAGAUUUCAGAGUAGUAGACAAGGAAAAUGCAUACAAAAAAACCCAUAGAGUACGAGUACGUUCGGCGGAUUCUUCGCGAGCCGGCCAGUGUCGCGCGCGUCUCAGUGCAGCUGCAGCAGCGCAGCCACGUGGCUCACACGCAUCCCGCGCGCGCGCCCCCCACGGCGACGAUGCCGGCCUCCUUCCUUCGACGCGCGGCGCUCCUGGCUUCGCGCGACGCGACGACGCUCGCGCGGAGCGCGACGAGCGCGUCCUCCGUCGCGUCCGCGUCCGCGCCGCGCCUCCGCCGCGCGCCGCGUCUCUCGCGCGCGACGUCGUCGACCACGACCUCGACCUCGGCGUCGUCGUCGUCGACGACCGCGGUCGACGCGACGUCGCCGCCGCCGCCGCCGCUGUACACGCGCACGCACGAGAUCUUGCGCCCGGAGUCGGUCUCGUCGGACGGCUCAGAGAUCACGAUGACCGUCGGCCUGACCGAGCACGCGUUCGACAUCAUCGGCGACGUGCGAGCGGUCGAGGCGGUGGACGCGGAGGAGGCGGACGGAUGGCGUCGUCGUCGUCGUCAUCAUCAUCACGCGGCGGGGAGGUGAGACUGCUUCCCAUACGACCCCGUUCGCGUGGUGAACGCCGUUCCUUAAGGACUUUUCCCGUCAUCACUCUUCACCCGCGCUUCCCUUUCAACGUUUGACCGGUAAGACAUUCGACUGACCGAUCGCUUCACCCACGCAGGCGGCAGCCGAAUCACGCGGCGGCGGCGGCGGGUCCGUCCUCCACGCUCCUCGCGCGGCUGCACUGGGAAGGAUUCAAACGCACGGCGUCGGACGAGCUGUACCACGCGUCGUGGGCGAACGUCUCGGACGUGCGCGACGUCGCCGUGCCGUUCCCGGCGACGCUCGUGGGACUCAACGCGGCGGCGGUGGGCGAGCCGUACGAGGCGCGUUCUGUCAUCUCACGCCGGUCCCCGCGCGACCGCGUCGGCGCGGCGCGCGCCGUUCCUUGAGGACUUUUCUUCCCGGCGCAUCUCUCCGCUCGCCCCUCGCUUUCAAUCCCGACGCACCUCGACGUCUUUCAACUGCAACUGACGCGCCUUUCAACGCCUCCCCGAUGUCGCCUCGUAUGGGCAACGACCCUCAGACGAUCUCCUCAGCGGAGAGCGGCUGGGUCGCGCGCGUGACGGCGUCGAGAGACGCGAUGCGACGCGCGGGGAGCGACGCGCUGAUGAGCGCGCGGGCGUACGAGGAGAUGGUCGAGGAGCAGCUCGUGGAGGACGAGGCGGAGGCGAGCCGGUCGUAUCCGUGACGGGAUGGGAUGGACGACGGACGCCCCGCGGCGGUUUGGUUUCGGAGGAGUACGAUACGUUUCGUCGACGUCGACCGCUUCCGAUGAUAAAUUAUUAACUCAACGCGCCGCGACGCCCUCGCCGCGCCUCCCCCUCUCGUCGUCGCUCCCUCGCGUGCCUACCUCACUUCUUCGCGUCGCCCCCCCCACCGCCGUUUUCCUUCGCCAGCGACUCUAUCAGCGACCGCGGCGGCGCGUACGUUUCCAACUUAUCCAGAAGCUCCGCGGGCGUGUCCCCGACGACGACGAUGGCUCGCGCCUCGCGUCGAAUGAACCCGCGCGCCGUCGACUCGUCCAGAAACUUCAGGAACAGGUCGAAGUACCCGGCGACGUUCAGCACCCCCACGGGCUUCGCGUGAUACCCCAGCUGCUGCCACGUGAUCAUCUCGCGCGCGCGGUUCGUUGAGGGAACGAACGCGGACGCCGGGGCGACGGCGCGCGCGCGGGAUCGAUCGCGGCGGCGACGGCGAACGCGGCGCCGGCGUUCGAUCGAUCCCGAGGGCGCGGCGAGCGAUCCUCGGUCCUCGCGACGUUCGUUCCUGACCUCACCCCAGUCUCAUCAGCGUCACCGGCUCUGGCGGUGCGACGACUGCCGGUGCUUGUGCGUGUCCGACGCGCGCACGCGGCCGCUCUGGGACGCUCGCAUCUUUUCGGACUCGCGUCGCAUGCGGUCGUACUCCUCCGCGGUGAUCCUGUGGACGCGGGGGAGGGGGGACGGGCGAGGUCAGUCGAAGGCGUCGGGGUGUUGAGAACGAAUGGGAAAGUUAAAUCUCGAGAGGGCGCGAGCGCGCGCGCGCGCGCGCCCGGCCGGCGGGAUCGGGGCACGCACACUUCGUCGUCCUCGUCGUCCAUGCCUUCCGGCUGGCAGCAGUUUUUCGUCAGCGCUUGACCCAUCGCGUCGGGCGCGUCGUGCGGUGCGGAGUGAGGAGACGCCGCAGACGUCGCGCGCGUCUUUUCGCGAGCGUCGUCGCGGUCGGCUGCUCGCGCCAGUCGGCUGACGCGAUGACGAGUCUCAUCAGAGCCACGCCGCGCGUACCCCCGCGCGCGAGCGUCGCGAUGUCGUCGUCGGCCCACGUCACGCUCUCCCCGAGCCUCGCGCGCGCGUCGUCGUCGUCGUCGUCGCACGCCUCCCGCGCGACGUCCGCGCGCUCCCGCGCCGCGUCCGUCGUCCGCGCGGCGACGUCGUCGUCGUCGACGUCGUCGUCGUCACCGGAAUACAACAUCGACGACGACGAAAUCGCACCGCUCCGAUCGCGACGACGCACGGUCUUGACAACGCUGUCCUCCCUCGCGCUCGCGUCGUCGCCCCUCCUCGCGCGCCCGUCUCCAUCGCGCGCGGACGAGAGCGGGCCGUUCUGCGACUACACGCAGACGCUCCCGUGCGACGAGUACCCCAAGUACGAGCGCACGGCAUCGGGGUUGCUCUUCCAGGAUCUGCGCUACGGCGAGGGCGACGCCGUCGCGCCGGGGCGUCGCGUCGUCGUGGACUGGGACGGCUACACGUUCUACCUCUCGCACGUCCUGCAGGCUCGGAACUUGCCCAAGGGGGGCGACUUCGAGCAGAACGACGACGCGUUCUUGUCGUUUAUCCCGGGAGACGGCACGGUCAUUCCCGCGUUCGACGAGUGCGUCAAAGACAUGCGCGUCGGCGGCAUCCGACGGUUCAUCGUCCGCCCCGGUCCGCUGUCGUACCCCGGGGUGCUCAAAGGGAACUGGAAGGAGGGUAAGGACGGCGUGGGCCCGGUCCCGGCGUCGUUGUCGGGGAAGCGCGCGCUGGAGUUUGUGAACAGGAACACGGCCAACGUUGACAAGAGUCUGCUCUUCGACGUGGAGAUUCUCGGCGUGGAGGGCGAAGACGGUCGAAUGACGCGAGGGUUCAGACGAGGACCGGGGAGGUGGGCGGAGGGGGUGAAGCAGCGGUUGUCGUAGCCGUCGUGACGCGACGCGCGAGCGACGUGUCGUCUCGUUCUGUGUUCCGCGUCGUAGUGUUGUGAUGGUAUACGAGCGACCUCGACUGAUACAAUCUGAUCGUCCCUUCUAGUCUCUAGUAGUGUAGUCUCUCUCGUAGUGCUACCUAAGGUGUAGUGGUACAGACGCGCCCCCCCCCCUCCCCCCGGAGAGGCUCGUCGAAUCUUUCGUUUGGUCGCCUCGCCUCGCCAACUUAGCCUUAUUACCAAAACGGACACCAGCCGAUGUACGACUGGCACAAGUUCUCGUGCGACGUCGCGGCGACGAUGAGGCGCUGAACCUGCGCCUCGACGCCGUCCGGCGUCCCGUUCUCGACGUCGUCGUGCUUUGAACCGCUCAGCCCCGGCGUCGUCGACGCGCCGUGGCUCCCCCCCGCGCUCGCCGACAUCGCCAUCGCCGCGCUCGACGCGAACCCGUCCCUCCCCGUGAGCUUGUGCGACAUGCGACGCAUGACGUUCACCGCGCGGUCGUUCAAAACCUCGUUCGUGUCGACGUCCAAGCCUUCGAUGGCGUCCAGCGCGGUGACCCUGUGGCGCUGCAGCGCGGACGCCGCGGCGUAGUUCGCAGCCUCUUGCUCCGCGACCGCGGCGACUUGCUCCGCGUUUAGGGUUUCCGGGAUCGGCACCUCCCCGGGCGCGGGCGUCGUCGGCGUGGGCGUGAACCGCCGCGCGGGCGCGACGUACGGCCCGGGGGAGGUUCGAUCGCGCGCGCCGCCGGCGGUGGCGCCGGGGUCGUACCCUCCCGCCGCGGGCACGGGAGCGGACAGCGGCGGCAUCGCGUGCGCGUGCGCACCGCCUUCGCCGGGCCCCAUCCCCGGGCUCUCGCGUCGUUCUUGGCCGACCGGCGGCGGCGUCCGCGGCAGCGGGGGCGGCGGCGCCGGCGCGGGCGCGCCCUCGGGAACGGGCGGCAUCGUCGGCGCGUGCUGAUGCUUCGGCGGGCUCGCGCUUCUUCGCCCGCCGCCGCCGCCGCCGUCGCUCCCUUCGACGCCGCCGCCGACGGCCGCGGCCGGGGACGUCUUCCCGUCGCUCCCGCCCGGCGACGGCGUCCUCCGGUCCUUGUUGUUCAAUCCCGGCGUCGUCGUCGGCGUCGGCGCGCCCGAGCUGCCGCCGCCUUCUUGGUGCACGACGCUCACGGCCAUCACCGCCGCGCCCGGCUGUUGGUUCACGUUCUCCCCCGGCGCGGUCGUGUUCAGAAGACGCCAGUUGAUGAGCGGGUCGUGCACGAACGCCUCGAGCAUCGCCAUGACGGAGUCUUUGUUCCCGCGGAGGACGGCCAUGACGCCCUCGCACGUGCUGCGAAAGUUGCCCUCGAUGCCGCUUACUUCCAUCGCGCGCACGAGCAUUCGCGUCAGGCGGAACGGCACGCGCUCGGGGAACUUCUCGCGCUGCAUCGACGCUUCGAAGCAAUCGCCAAAGUCGAUGUGAAGAAUCUUGCCGGAGUAGCGAUCCAGCGUGAGAUUCGACGGGUGGCGAUCGCCGAGGCCGAGGAGAUAGCCGACCAUGGACAUCACCGCGAGCGAGCGCGUGUACGUCGUUCGGCGGUCGAGCCAGACUUCGCUGCUGCGGGAUUUGAGCCACAAGACGCGCGCGAGGUCGUUCCCGGGGGUGUUCUCGAGCGCGUGCUCGAAGACUUCGACCUGGAUGGACGAGAGAGGGCAGGGCAGGGCAGGGAAGGGCGAGGAGAGAGAGGUGAGCGACCGCGCGCGAUGCGAAAGAAAAGUGGUCAAAAAAUAAACGCGAGCGGUUCGACGCGCUCUCGCCCGUCGUCGCGUGUUACGUUGCUCAGUCCCUUAGAUGUUCAAUCCGCCCUCACUGGCGCCGCGGCGGUAAGCCGCGGCGAGUCAGUUCGUGUGUGUAAAUAUCAUCAUCGCAACGGUCGUAUGAUAACACGCGAGCGACGACGAAGGAAGGCUCGGCCGAACGCAAAAAAAACGAAAACCAAAAGCCAAAAAAAAGUUUUCAAAAUCCGCGCGACUCGCCUUGUUCACGAGCGGCAGGUGGUCGUAAUCCGGCGCCAUCGCGAGCAUGAGCCGAUGCUCCAAGUUCAGCGGCACCUUGUGCGCGUCCCUGUGCUCGCGUAUCAGCGCGUGUAGCGUGUCGCAGUUGGGAACCCAACCGAUUAAACCGCUGUUCGGCGACAGCGGCACGACGGCGUAUCGCGCGAUGCUCAAAUCUCUCCGCGCCGUCGACGGCGUCGAGUUUAGCAACAUGUUCACGAGCCCGAACAGCUGCAUGACGCGCUCGUCCUGGCGCAAAUCCUCGUGGCCUUUCAGGAGGUAGCCGUAGUCCUUGCCGUCGCUGCCGUGGAUGUGAAGUCGUCGCGGGCGUUGCUUGGAGGUGAUGACGUGCAUCGUCGGCGCGAACGCGGCGAUGGUGACGGAUCCGCCCGGGACGCCCGGCAUGUAAUUGCCCGGCACGCAGAGCUCCAAACCUCGCGCGUUCAGCAGACGCGGGGAGACGUGCUGCAGCUCCAGCGUCGUCAACGUCGGGAGCUGCUUGUUGAUGCGCUUGAAGACGUGGUAGUACAGAUCCCAGGCUUGAUUUAGCUCCUCCUCGCGGCCGGUUUGGCAAUAUUUCCGACACCAGUCGUGCGCCUCUUGAAGCUCUCUUCCGUACGCUUGCACGAACGAAAUCUCGUGUAGCGUCUCCGCGCCCAUGCGCUCGAUGAUGUGAUGCAACGGCGCGAGCACGCGAAGCAUUCCCACGACGUUUUGCUCGCCGAAAUACAGCUGCGACGCCUCCUCGAGCGCCUCGUGCCACGCCUCGUGCCACAAGAUCGCGACGCGAAUCAACUCCAACGACACAACCUGCGCCUGCUCCACGAGCAACGCGCUGUGCUGCCGCAAGUUAUCGAGCACCGCCAUCGCGGCGGACCGUCGCGAGCUGCUCUGCGACUUGCACGCGACGAGAAGCGGGUACAAGAGCGCCUGCGGGUGCUUCCGGCCGACCCUCACGAGGAGCUGGUGGAUGAGCUGUCGCACCGGCGACGAGUUGCUGUGAAUCCUCGCGACGAUCUGGGGAAUCACCUGCAACCACGUGUCGAUGUUCACGUGCCCGAACCCGUCCACGAGCGCAGCCUCCACCUCGGGGGCGACGCCGUGGUUAAACCACAGCGUGAGCAAGCGCAGGAUGUCCUGAAGCGGGCCGCCUUUGCCCUUUUGUUUCGUCGUGCCUCCGAGCGCGAUGGAUCGAAAGAAGCCGGUGAUGGCCGGCGCCACGUGUCUCGCCGACGUCUCCGGCGCGUGCUUCGCGUGGUGCUCCAUCGCCGCGGCGUUGAACAGCGCCCAGUGAUGCCACGCCUUGGCCCACGGCGCGCACGCGUCCGUCGCGGUUCGGAACGCGGUGAGGACGUCGUUGAGCGUGGCGUCGUCCAUGUCCUCGGCGAGGGACCACCGCAUCUGGCCGAGUUUGAGAAACGCGCGCGCGAUGAGUUUGCAGUCGGGGGGGGCGACCUGCCCGACCGACGCCGCCGCGCUCAUCGUCCUGUUUCGUUCGGGUGGGGGGGGGUGGCGGCGGGAGGCGAUGAGAUCAGACGCGCGGGGUGGAGCGACGGCGGGCGGCGGGCGAGGCGGCGCGGGGACCGAUCUACAGACCGAAAACGAAAACGAAAACGAAAAUUAAAUCGCCGCGGGCGCCGUCGCGGCGAGUCAGUGUAACUAUGACAUAAUACUCUCAGCGAGCGUGUGGCUGGAUGAGACACGAAUGUCACCAGCCGCUCGGUCAAGUUAUUUGGUGUUGGCAUCAUCCUCAGCGACGGCGGGCGGCGUUCGAACGGCGAAAAAAAUAAAAGCAAAGAGAAGAGAGGGGGAGGGAGGCGAGGCGGCCAAAAAAAAAACGCAAUCGCAAUCGCACCUCAGCUCCGCGGCCAAAGACUGCAACCGGCCGAACGCGUCGCGUCGAUGCCCCAGCGCCCACUGAUGCUUCACGUACGCGAGCAUCACCUCCGGUCGUCCACUCCCUGCGCCGUACCCCGGCGCGUUCACCUGACACUGCGCGGGGUCGUACGCGAGCAGUCGGAUCAGCGUCCGGUGCGCCUGUCGCGUCCGCCCGGCUUUGCGAUUCAACGACGCGAACUUGAGCCACGUCGGCGUCUCCUCCGCGAUGGGCAACACGAGCGAUCGCACCGCGAGAAGCGCCUGCCACACCUCGACGUUCCGUUGCACGCCGUAGAUGCGCUCGCGCCACAUCUUGCGCAUCAGAUCGCGCCUCACUGCCACGUCAGCGUCCGACAUGGAAGGGUCCGACGGCGACCGGCCCGCGCCCGAGCCGCGCGCGUUGGCGGCGGCAAUUUUCCCCAGCUCCGCGUAUUCGAUCACCUCCUCCAGCUCCGUGAGCUGCUGCACGCGGAUCAUGCCGCCGUAGGACCGGUCGUAGGACUCCGUGACGAGCGCCGCGAGUUCCGCGCCGAGGGCGUCGCGCGCGGCCGCGAUGUGCGCGCGCGCUUCCUCGGUCUCGCCGCGGUGCACGGCGAGGACGGCUUUGAAAAAGUCGGCAUCCGUCGCGAGCCCCGUCGUCGUCGACUCCAACGAGUCGGGAUCGGGACCGCCGCCCGGACCGCCGCUAUGGCCGCCGGUCAGCGCGCGCGCGCCGCUACCGAUGAGACUCAGCGAGCUACGAUGCCGUCCUCCGGACGGGAUCACGCUGGAGCUUCGCGCGUGCCCUCCCGCGAGCGAUCCGCGGGGCUUCCCGCCGCCGCCGCCGCCGCCCGCGCGGUCGCCGCGUUGCGCGGAUACCACCUCCGAGUAUUGCUCCAUGCGCGACCAAUCCCCGAGCUGCCACGCCGCCUGCGUCGCGAGCGGCGCCAUUCGUCCUCGCAGCACCGCGUCGCCGCCGACGCCGACGCCGCCCGCGCCGGGGGCGCCGCUGCCGGCGCUGAGCUCCCACUCCUUGGCGCACAAAACGCCCAGCGCGUCCCACUCGGCGAGCGCGGCGAGGCACCGCAUCUGACCGAGCACGGCUUCGCGUCGCGCGUCCGACGCCGCGGACGCGUUCGCGCGGUUCAUCACCAUCGCGGCGAGGGAUAAGUUCGAGGCCAGAAGCGACGAUUCGUUGUGCGAACCGCCGCCGCCGAGCGAUCCGGCGCUGCCGUGAGAGCCCCACGACCGCGCGCCGAAAGAACCCGCCGCGUCUCGCGGCGACGACGCGAGCUGCCCGGCGAUCGAGUCCGUCGACCCGGACGACCCGACCCGGCGCGGCGGCAACGCGUUUGCGUUCGCGUUCGCGUCGGUUGCGGAGGAUACCGACGGCCUCGACUUUGGCUUUGGAAUUUCCACGCCCCCGCGCGCGACGUCGUCGUGGACUUCAAUUUCGAGCUCGCUCGUGGACUCCGGGUCGUUCCAUACAAGCGAACGUCGGGGUGGAGUUCAAAGGCGUCAGGUGGAGUUGAAAGGCGUCGUGGGCGGGGAUCGAAAGCGAGGGAUGGGCGGAGAGACGCGCCGGGAAGUAAAGUCCUUAAGGAUCGGCGUUCACCACGCGAACGGGGUCGUAUGGGGACCAGUGUAUAGAACGCACCUCCAACGCGGGCGCCGCCGGCCGCCGUUGCGCGAAGCUUCCGCCGCGCGAGUGAACACCGCCGUGCAUCCCGUGUCCGAAGAGCGGCUGCCCGUUCGGCGCGAACCCCGCCUCUUUCAGCGCCUUCUCCGCGUCCGCCGCCUUCCGCUGAUGCGCCUCGAGCGCGUUGUCCCACUGCCCGAGCUUCUCGUACCACCCUUCCUUGAUCUCGAGCAAUAAGUGCGUCUGCGCGUACACGAGAACGCCCAUCGCCGCCUCAGGGAGCUGCAGCUGGUUGUUGAUCGCGAUGAUCGCCUCGACGCACCGCGCCGGGUGCGACACGAACUCGAGCUCCUUGUAGUGGAGCGCUUUCGCGUACGCGCGACAGCGCUCGGCGAUCAUGCCGAGCGUUCGGAUGUCCACCGGCAGCGGCUUCUCGUCGUGCUCGCAAAACUCCGCGAGGUUUAGCAACGUGGUGACAAUCUCCGGCGGUAUCGUCGGCGACCCGAACGCCGCCUCCAGCGACCGCACGAGCUGCUCGCGCGGCGUCUGCGACAGCUCCGCCCAGCACGACACGAACGACGCGCAGAAUAAAUCGCGCGCGAGGUGCGGCUGGACUUGCGCGAGGUCGAUGCACGCGCGCAACGCGGGCGACGGCGACUGCUUCAGAAGCUCCACGGAGAGGUGCCGCAUCCACUCGAGCCAGUCCUCCUUCGUCGAGCGCUGCGACGACUCCCACGCGCGUCGAAGCGCUUGCUCGUUCAUCGCGUGCUUGCCCGAGGAGCCCGGCGGGCCGGGCGAGAGCGAAGAGUGGAGGAGAGGGGAAUCGCCGUUUCGGAGACUCCCGCCGCGGUGACUGCCGCCGCGGAGCGAAUCGCCGCGGUCCCCGCUCGUGCUCCCCCUCCCUCCUCCGUCGCCGCCGCGCCAGUCCGCGUGCGACGCCGCCGGGGAGUCCAGCGACGUCACCGUGGACGCCGCGUUGCUCAGGCGGAACGGCGAGAGCGCGCCUGUCGUCGCGCCGGGGAUCGCGAUCGCGCCGCCGACGCCGCCGCCGUCCCGCCUCGCGAGCAGCUGCUCGGACAGACGCUCAAACACCGGGUCGCGCAUCCCGCGCUUCUUCAUCGUUCGCUGCACGAGCGGAAGGAACAACAAAAACUCCUGCUGCAGCGCGGACGCCAUCGACGUCAGCGCGAGCAGCGCGUCGCGUCGAAGCUCCUUCUGCGGUCCGUCCAGCACGCGCGUGAGCGGAUGCACCACCGCGCUCGCGUGCCCGGCGAUCUGCAUCCUCGGGAGGAGCGUCGCGAGCGAUCUGAGCACCGUGGAACGCACCGCGACGGGAACGGGCGCGACGCCGGGGCGGAACAGCCGCACGAGCGCGGGGAGCAUCAGGUGCAGGUGUUCGUCCACCGCGGACCCGAACGCCUCGAGCGCGUGGAGCACGGACGGCACCGCGCUGAAGUCGCCGCCGCGCUCGGCGUCGGCGAGCACGGCGAUCAUCCGCGGAAGCAAGUCGGGGAGAUGCGCUCGAAACUCGUCGUGCAGCGCCGUCGCGAGCUCCUCGCACAGCCGCAACAUCUGCCGCAGCAGCGCGUUCGGGCCCCAAAACGCGCGCACGAUGGCGAGGAUGUCGUCCAGGUACCGUCGCACGUGGCCGCGGAUGAUCGCGACGAGCGCGGUGAGCUGCGCGAGCAUAAACUCCCGCAAUCCGUCUUCGCACGUGUACAUCACGUGCAUCACCACGGGCAUCACCGCGGGUAAAUACCGCACGCAGUUUAACCCCAGCGCGCGGAAGAUGUACAUGAUCGAUCGCACGACCAUGUGGUGAUGCGAUGCCAUGGUUUGGUCCUUAAGGACGCGGAGGAGCGCGUUCAGGGCGACGGUCGGGUAGAAGUUAUCCGACACCGUGCUGAGGUUCGCGGAGGGAAACAGAGAUUCGUCGUCGAUCGGGUAUCCGCCGCCGGUGCUGCCGACGCCGCCGCCGCCCUUAUCCUUCCCAGGCGCGUCCUUGCCCUCUACCGCGCCUUUACCCGCCGGCGCGCCGUCGUCGCCGCGCCCGACGCCGCGCACGCCCUCCAUGGACAGCAACCCCUGGCCGUGGAGUUUCUCUUCGUUGUCGCGGUGCGCGUGCGGAUCGAGCGCGCCGAGGAUGCCCAACGUCCUGAUGGUCGUUCAUCGGUCAGUUGAAAGGGGACGCGAUCAAAUAUUGAAAGCGGAAAGCGCGGGUGAAGAAAAAGGGCUUCAGAAACGACGCGCGAAACGCGAACGGGGUCGUAUGGGGAGCGGUCAGACGCACCUGAGCACCUCGGCGCGCACCGGCCCGGCUUCCUCCGCGAGCACGCGAAGCAUGAGCGACAGAAGCGGCGGGUGGUCCCCGUACGGCGCGAUCACGUACCCGGUGCUCUCGAUGAGCUGACCCAUCGUGACGACCGCGACGUCGCGCGUGGACCCGAGCUUGAUGCCUUCCACGACGAGGAGAAGCAAGUCCGGGACGAACUGCCGCAUGGACGCGCCGCCGACUUGCGCGAGCUCGCCGAUGGUGCCGAGCACGGCAGCCUUCUCGCGCACGCUGACGAUGUGCGACAGCGCUCUCACAGCGGUCCCCGACGCGUCGGCGAACUUCGGGGCGAGCGCGGAGACGCCGCCGGGCGCGCCGACGGCGCCGCUUCUGGGGUCGCCGUCGGCGGCGGCGGCGGCGGCGAGCGCUGCGUGGGUGAAGCGAUCGGUCAGUCGAACGUCUUACCGGUCAAACGUUGAAAGGGAAGCGCGGGUGAAGAGUGACGACGGGAAAAGUCCUUAAGGAACGGCGUGCACCACGCGAACGGGGUCGUAUGGGAAGCAGUCUCACCGCCGCCGCCGCCGCCCUGCGCGGUCGCGUCCGGCGGCGGCGCGUUCUCGCCUCCAAGGGCGAUGCCGUCGCCGCCGCCCUUGGCCGCGAUGCCCUCGCCGCCGUCGACGGUCUGCCCCGCCGCGGCCGCGGCGCCGGCGCCGGCGGCUUCGAUCCCGCGCUUCGCGAUGCCCGCCGCCUCCGCCGCGGUCGCCGCCGACGCCUUCGCCGCGGCGACCUCCUCCGGCUUCCGCAGCUUCAUCAUCAGCGUCCGCAGGAUGGGCGCGAUGUACGGCAUCACGAGCCGCGUGCACGAUCGCACGAGCGUCGCCAUCAACCGCGCGGACUCCUCGCGCAAGUGCGACUCCGUGGAGUGCUCGAGCUCGGUCAGGAGCUGAAGCAGAUGCCGUCGAAGCGCGGGCAACGCGUACGCGGGAUUCCGCGGCGCGAGUCGACCGACGAGACGAAUCGCGAGCAGCCGAACCUCCGCGCUCUCGUCGUUCAGCGUGAUGAACAGCGCUCGCAGCGCGUCCGCCUGACCGAGGUGCGAGUCCACGGACGGACACGGGCGCAGAAACGACGCGAGCACGGCUCUUCGAACGUUCGCGUCCAGAUCUGAUGAGGGUUUUCCAUACAAAAAUAGUUCAUCGGUCAGUUGAAAAGAGACGCGAUCAAGUGUUGAAACCGAGCUAUGGGUGAAAACUUUUGUUUUGAACGCACCUGACACCGCGACGGCGAGCAAUCGCGACAUGAUGAACUCCUCCGUCCACGCCGACCACCGCGACGGCGCGCCGUUGGUCAGGUGUGAUGCAUGCGAAACGCUCGAAACGCUCGCGCUGUUGGCGUUAAGCGCCAUCAACGCGGCGUCGCCGCCGUGUAUCGACGUCCCGANNNNNNNNNNNNNNNNNNNNNNNNNNNNNNNNNNNNNNNNNNNNNNNNNNNNNNNNNNNNNNNNNNNNNNNNNNNNNNNNNNNNNNNNNNNNNNNNNNNNNACGCUGACGAUGUGCGACAGCGCUCUCACAGCGGUCCCCGACGCGUCGGCGAACUUCGGGGCGAGCGCGGAGACGCCGCCGGGCGCGCCGACGGCGCCGCUUCUGGGGUCGCCGUCGGCGGGCGCGGCGGCGUCUACGCGCUCGCGCCGAAGUUCGUCGACGCGUCGGGGACCGCUGUGAGAGCGCUGUCGCACAUCGUCAGCGUGCGCGAGAAGGCUGCCGUGCUCGGCACCAUCGGCGAGCUCGCGCAAGUCGGCGGCGAUCAAGCUUAUCGAUACUGUCCACCACCGCCGCCGCCCUGCGCGGUCGCGUCCGGCGGCGGCGCGUUCUCGCCUCCAAGGGCGAUGCCGUCGCCGCCGCCCUUGGCCGCGAUGCCCUCGCCGCCGUCGACGGUCUGCCCCGCCGCGGCCGCGGCGCCGGCGCCGGCGGCUUCGAUCCCGCGCUUCGCGAUGCCCGCCGCCUCCGCCGCGGUCGCCGCCGACGCCUUCGCCGCGGCGACCUCCUCCGGCUUCCGCAGCUUCAUCAUCAGCGUCCGCAGGAUGGGCGCGAUGUACGGCAUCACGAGCCGCGUGCACGAUCGCACGAGCGUCGCCAUCAACCGCGCGGACUCCUCGCGCAAGUGCGACUCCGUGGAGUGCUCGAGCUCGGUCAGGAGCUGAAGCAGAUGCCGUCGAAGCGCGGGCAACGCGUACGCGGGAUUCCGCGGCGCGAGUCGACCGACGAGACGAAUCGCGAGCAGCCGAACCUCCGCGCUCUCGUCGUUCAGCGUGAUGAACAGCGCUCGCAGCGCGUCCGCCUGACCGAGGUGCGAGUCCACGGACGGACACGGGCGCAGAAACGACGCGAGCACGGCUCUUCGAACGUUCGCGUCCAGAUCUGAUGAGGGUUUUCCAUACAAAAAUAGUUCAUCGGUCAGUUGAAAAGAGACGCGAUCAAGUGUUGAAACCGAGCUAUGGGUGAAAACUUUUGUUUUGAACGCACCUGACACCGCGACGGCGAGCAAUCGCGACAUGAUGAACUCCUCCGUCCACGCCGACCACCGCGACGGCGCGCCGUUGGUCAGGUGUGAUGCAUGCGAAACGCUCGAAACGCUCGCGCUGUUGGCGUUAAGCGCCAUCAACGCGGCGUCGCCGCCGUGUAUCGACGUCCCGAUGUCGCCGCCGCCGCGCGUGACGCGGUCGCUGCGGAGUUCGAGGAGCCGGCAGCACGUCAACGCGGCUUCGCGGCGCGUGGACGGGUCGUCGUCGUCGAGGUACUCCACGACGUUUCUUCGGACGAAGCCGAGCAAUACGCUCGCGCCGAACGGGAACGUCCCGAGCGUCCGCAGCGCGAGCUGCACUUGGAAGCUGUGGUGUCGCCGCGCUUGCUUGUCACGCUCCGUGCCCGAGCUCGCGGGGCUGCUCCCGCCGGGGGACGACGACGCGCCGCCGCCGCCGCCGCCGCCGGGCGUUCCGGGCGUCGAAACCCUGCCGGGGCUGCUGAGGGCCGUUCUAUACAAGCGAAUGCCGGGGUGGAGUUCAAAGGCGUCAGUUGGCGUUGAAAGGCGUCGAGGGCGGGGAUUGAAAGCGAGGGAUGGGCGCAGAGACACGCCGGGCAAAGUCCUUAAGGAUCGGCGUCCACAUCGCGAACGCAGUCGUAUGGGGACCAGUGUAUAGAACGCGCCUGGGCCCCGCGCCGCCGCGGUCCGGCGUGGACGCUCCCAUCCCGAACGCGUCGAGACCCGCGAUGACGCCUUGGACCGCGGCUCUCGACGACGGCGACGCGUCGCCGGAGCCCCCGGACGCGGCGUCGCCCGAGGAGGCCCGGCGAGCGAGUUUACGGGAUGGGCUCCGCGGCGGCGCGUUUUCGCGACUCCCGCCGUGACUCAACCCGCCCUCGCCCGCGCCGCCGCCGCCGCCGACGAUCGACCGGCUCGCGACGCGUCGCAUCUUUUGCAUCAGCCCUUGCAUCCCGCCUCGCGCGCCUCCCGCGUGACCGUCGCCGCGCGUCGGGAGCUCGAUCGACGGCGCUAACGUCGCGGUGAUCGCGUCGAUGAGUCGCCGCUGAGGGCCGUUCCAUCAUUCAAAGCGACGUCGGGGUGGAGUUAAAAGGCGUCAGAUGGAGUUGAAAGGCGUCGUGGUGUGUCGGGAUUGAAAGCGAGGGGUGGGCGGAGAGACACGCCGGCAAACGUCCUUAAGGAACGGCGUUCACCACGCGAACGCGGUCGUAUGGGAACCAGUGUGGUAACAGAACGCGCCUGAAUCGACGGAAGGAGUGUCGGCAACGCGUCGGCGAUGGCCUCCAGCGCGUCCACCAGCGGCGCGGACAGCCCUCCGACGAACAGCGCCGGGAGCAGCGUCCGCACGCGCGGCUCCCACGCGCCGCCGACGCUCGACGCGAGCGCGCCGGCGCACAGCAGCGCCUCCGCGGCGCCGGGCUCGAUCGUCGGCGCGGGGCGAAGUCCGGUUUUUCGAUCCGCGGGGCCCUGGCGAUUGUGCUGCGCGAAGCACACCUCUUGGAUGACGUCGGCGAUCUCGGGGAGGUACCGCUCGAGGGCGCGGAUGCCGGGGCCGCGCGUCUCGCCGCCGAUCAGCGCGCCGAGCGUUGGGGUGGAGACGGAGGCGACGACCGGAGGAGACACCACCUCCGGCCACCGUUCGGUGCCGGGAAACGGCGAUAGGUCCGUCGCCGGCGUCGGCGUCGUCGUCGGCGUCGGCGUCGUCGUCGGCGUCGCCGUCGUCGUCGCCGCCGCGCCUCCCUCGCCGCGCUCUCGCCUUCGCCGCGGACUCGACGGCUCUAAGAUCCCCCCGAAUCCACCGAACGAGCUCCUGUGCACGCCGUCGCCGAGCAGCGUCCCCAGCACGCUCCCGCCGUGGCUCGAGUUCUCGCCCAGAGAGCUCGCGGUGUCUUCGGCGUCUUCGCGGGCGAAGAAUUUGAUAGGGGGCGGGCGGGUAAACGCGUCGGUCAGCGACACGUCUCGCCGGUAGAGCGUUGAAAGGGAAACGCGGGUGAAGCGAAGUCCUCAAGGAACGGCGUGCACGACGCGAACGGGGUCGUAUGGGAAACAGUCUCACCUUCGCGCGCUUCCUCGUCGCCCUCCGCCAGCGCGGCGGCUAAGUCGCCGAUGGCGUUGAACCCCGCGUCUCGCUCGCUCGGGACGCGAAUCGUCGCGAGCAGAAGCGCCGCGGACGAGCUCAGGUAACUCUCGCUGAACCGCUGCGGGGAGAACGCGGCGAGCUUCGGUAUGAGGUUCGUGACCGAGCGUCGCACGAUUCGCUCCUUACUCUCGUGCAGCCGUAAAACCGUCUCGGCGACUUCUUUAUACCGGCUCAGCAUAAACUCGCCGGUGUGCCGCAACAGCUCCCCGAACGCGAGUAAACUGCCGUGGACGUCCUCCACGCUCGCGCCUUUCGCGCUGAUCCCGCUCUGCGUCUCCUCGUACAGUUUGUAGUACCACUGCACGCGGUACCUCGUCUCGCGUUUUUCUAUGACGACGAGGCACUGCCGCAGCGCCCUGACGGCGGCUUCUCGAAUCGCGAGCUUCGGAUCCCUCAACGCCGGCCAGAUCGCGUCGAUGAACGCGGGGACGUGGACGUUAAACACCGUCGGCGCGUUCGCCGCGAGCUCGCGGAGUAUGAGCACCGCGGCGUACCGCCGCGCCUCGACCCUGUCCGCGGACUCGAGCCAGUCCAAACUCCUCUUCACUUCCGACUCGACGACGUCGGCGGUGAGCACGCCGCCGGUGAGGACCAAGUGCCCGAGCGCGCGGCUCGCCGCCUCCGCGAGCUGCGGCUCGCAGGUGGGCGUGAAGACGUCCCUCAGGUACGUCGCGAAGCGAUUGAUCUUGCCGACGUUCUCGCCCAUCUUGACGUCCGUGAGUUGAUCGAUCGCGUAGACGCCUCCGAGUCGACGCCGCAGAUCCGGCGAGUUGACCAGACGCAAGAUGCGGCCGUAGAGGUCGCGCAUGUACCGCGCGAACGACUCCGGGGGCUUAUCCCGCGCCUCCGCCUCGACGUGCUCGCGGAGGGAGACGCCCACGAGGCCGCCCGCGCGACGCGGGACCCCCGCGAAAGCGCUCGGCCCGUUCUCGCCGCCUGCGCCGCCGCCGCCGCCUUCGACGCCGUUUUCGCGAAAGAAGCCAAACGCGCCGCCGCCUGCGUGGGUGAAGCGAUCGGUCAGUCGAACGUCUUACCGGUCAAACGUUGAAAGGGAAGCGCGGGUGAAGAGUGACGACGGGAAAAGUCCUUAAGGAACGGCGUGCACCACGCGAACGCGGUCGUAUGGGAAGCAGUCUCACCUCCCGCGCCGCCCGCGCGGAAGUACCCGCCGCCGAUCCCGCCGACGCCCAGCCCGCUGCCUCGGUACAGCCCGCUCCCGAUGCUCUGCGAGAGGUAGUCCACGCUCUGAUACGUCUGGUUGUCCGCGCCGCCGCGGCGCGACAGCCCUCUCCCCUUUCUCCACGGCGUCGACGUCGUCGUCGAAAUCAUCAUCUCGCGACUCGGGCUCGUCCUCGACGUCGACGCGCGUCCGCCGUCGUCCCCGCGCAUUGCGGCGUCGCCUCUCCCGGCGUCGUCGCCCGACGCCUCCGCGUACCCGCCCAUGCGGCCUAUGCGCGACCAUCCGCGCGCGUCCCACGGGUUCUCCGGGAUCGCGGUCGCGCCGCGUCCGCCGCCGCCGCCUCCGCCGAAUCCUCUCGCGUCGCCGCGCCGCGCGGUCGCGUUGCAGAGUUCCGUGAGGAGCUUGUCGAGCGUGUCCGUGGUCGCGUCGCCGCCGCCGCCGCCGGGCUUCCCGCCGGAGGUGUUCCUCGCGCGCGACGCCGACGCGCCGCUCGCGGCGGAGGACGACGACUUGCCGGAUCCGGCGACCGCGCCGGGCUUAUUCGACGACAUCGCCGCGCGCGACGCCGCGGAGGGCGAUUGUUGUUAGGCGCGCGCGACGAGUUAUUACAGGUAGGUUUUUGGAGACGACGCGAGACUGCGAUCGAUUUCGCGCGAGCGCCCUCUCGCGCGAUCUGCCCUCGGCCGCCGCGACGGCGCGCGUCCCGAGGCUGGGUGCGCCGCGCGCGCGGCGGAGUCGGGACCGCGCGUCGAGCGUCCGCGGUUGUGGCGAGGGCGACGACGCGAGCGCCAAUUGCCCCGUCGCGUAUUUCUCGCGCGAAAAGCCGGGCCAGCGCUCGAGGAAUCGAGCGGCCCAGCGGUCGCGUCAAACUUGAACUCGAACUACGAGGGGGAAAAAACCCGCUCACUCUUCGCGCGCGCGCCGCCGCCCCCCGCCCCCCAGAUCUGAGCAUGUCCUUCGACGGCAUCCCCGAGAACGUCGCCGCCGUCGUGUUCUCGCACGUCACGGAUCCGCGAGAUCGCAUCAGGCUCGCCGCGGUGAGCAAGGUGUGGAGGGACGCGGAGAAGUCUGACGUGUCGUUGCCCGGGGGCUCUCCGAGGGCGUUGUACAAGCUCGGUAAAGGGCUUUACGACGCGGGGAAGUGGAAGCGCGUGAUCUACUGGUGGCGUAAGGCGAUUGGAGACGUUCACGCCAUGUACUGGAUCGGACGCUGCUACAACAGCGGGACCGGCGUGAAGGUAGACCGUAGGAAGGCGGUCAAGUGGUGGGAAAAAGCGUCCGGGUGUGGGCACGCCGACGCGACCUACCGCCUCGCGAACUACUACUUCUACGGCCUAUAUUCCCGCGUGGAGCCAAAUGCAGCGAAGGCGAUCGAACUGUACGUCAAGGCGGCGGAGCAAGGUUCAGAAUUUGCCCCGUACGAACUCGGGAACAUCUACUACAGCGGCGAGUACGGCGUGGCGGAUAACAAAACGGAGGCGCUGAAGUGUUUUCGCGUCGCGGUGGAGCGCGGCUACGGCACCUUCGCGCUACGGUGGGUGGAAGAACUCGAGGACGAGCUCGCGGAGGAAGCGGCGGCGUGAACGAACGAACGAACGAACGAACGAACGAACGAACGAACGAACGAACGAGCGCGUGUACCGUGAGCGAACCUUUGUAACGAACGCACGUCGAACGUCACCCGCUUCUGUCCUCGCGCACGAUGGACGAGCUUUCCUCAAAAAUUCAAAGUGUCGUCCGUCUUCGCUAGCCCUACUCGUACACGCAUUUAGUAUAACAACACGACACGCGUCUACGCCGCCGCACCGCGAUAACAGUUCGCCCGCCAGUUAAUAAUCCGCCGCGCCCUCCAGCUCGAUCCCCGGCCGCCACUCCCACGUCGCCGUCAGCGUCCCCCGCGGCGUCGUCUCCUCCGAAGUGAACGUCUCCCCCUGCGAUACGAAGCGACGUCGGGGUGGAGUUGAAAGGCGUCAGAUGGCGUUGAAAGGCGGCGCGGGCGGGGAUUGAAACCGGGGGGUGGGCGGAAAGAGACGCCGCCCGGGAGAUAAAGUCCUCAAGGAAUGAAGUUCACAACGCGGACGCGGUCGUACGGGGACCGGUGUGGUACAUAAUAGAACGCGCCUCCGGCAGGCCGUUCUCGAUCCUCGCUGCGACGGAAAACAUCGCGUAGCGACUGCUCAAGUCCGGGUAACUCAAGCUCACGCGAUCGACGUCCGCGCGCACGAGCGACGCCUCGUCCACGGCGAGCGUGUACCCCGGUGCGAGCGCGCUGCCGAGCUCCUCCGCGACCGCGCGCGGCGCCGCGGCUCUCCAGUCCUCCGCGCCGAUCAGUUUCUCGCUGUCGGGAUGAUGAGUUUCAAAGGCGUCAGAGCACACUGGUCCCCAUACGACCGCGUUCGCGUUGUGAACGCCGAUCCUUAAGGACUCCGAUCCUUAACGACGAGUUGAAAGAGUUGAGAGGCAUCGCGGGCGGUGUGUCGGGAUCGUGAGCGAGGGGUGGGCGGAGAGAAACGCAACGCCGCCCGGAAGAGAAAGUCCUCGAGGAUCGGCGUGCACCGCGCGGACGCGGUAGCGCGGGAACCGCCGUGAUAGAUAAUGGACGCGCCUCAGCGGCGAUCCGCGCAUCCGCUCCGCGAUGACUUCCCCGGUGUUCGGAUCGUUCCAUCGCUGCGUCGCCUCCACGAGCGUCCUCCCCGCGUCGUCGCGUAUCAGCAGCCGAAGCACGCGGACGUUCCGUCGCGGGACGCCCCCGGGUCCGACCUCCAGCGUGCUCUCGCCGAGGUCAACCUCGAGCUUCAAGUCGGCGAGGCCUUUCGCGUUGUUCUUUCCGUAGCGGUCCGCGUCGACGCCGUGGGUUUUGAGCCAGGUCGCGAGCGACGCGGUGUCGCCGCCGGUCCACGACGACGACGACGACGCGGCGGCGUCGUCGUCCGCCCCCGCGCGCGUCGUCAUCGUCGACGACGACGCGCGACGUCCAGGGCUGCGAGGAUUAAUCUUUUUUUCCGCCGGAUCGAUGACGGACGCCCAGCAGCGCGGACGCGUCCACGCGGCGGCGGCGUUCCCUCGCGCCGCGCGCGCGAUCGCGGCGGAGAAUGCCCUCGCGCGCGACGUGGAGCAGGCUGUCACCUGCCGCGCCGCGAGGGACAUCGGCGUUCCCGCGCGCGCGAACGACUGCGGAGGCGAGGCGGUUGCAGCAUUUACACCGGAGUGCGGGGAUACGAGAUCCCUGCUAUCCCGCCGCGAUCGCGAUCGAUCGUCGCGAAUCGUUUUCAUCGGAGAUCGUUCUCGCUGACCUGCGAUCAAGAGGUCGACUCUACCCUUUUGAAACCGGCAUCGAAGCCGUCUCGGAGCUUCCGACAGGCGACCGCGCGUGAUUGGCUCGCAAACCGAAAACUUAAAUAAGGGUUUAUAUAUUGUAAAUUUCGAUUCUGGUCAUCUCUCAUCCGCCUCCGACGCAAGUCGGAGACCCUCCGAUCUCUCGCGCUUCAUCGCGCGUUCAGACUUGAAAACUCCGUAUGGGCAAACACCCUGUGGAGUCUCGAUGGUGUAGUUGGUUAUCACGUUCGCCUAACACGCGAAAGGUCCUCGGUUCGAACCCGGGUUGAGACAUUUUUUGCAUUCUUUUCAUGCAGUCAUCCUCCACAUGAUGUGAGGAACCUCUCCACAAAGUUUCAGGUCAAUCGGAGCAGUUUUGAGGCGGCGGCGGUCGCGUCACGUCGAGCAUGGUCCAACCUUCCCUAAAAAAUGUUAUUUUUUCGAAACCAAAAAACCAACAUCCCGUAACGUCGACGCGACGAGGACGGCACACACGCGCGCGCGCUCGGCAGAGAAACGCACAUGCGCCGACCGUUCCCUCGUAUCCCAAAGCUCCUGUACAACGCGGACAACGUCAUGGCGAUCCUCGGCUACGCGGUCUUCGCGUUCUUCUUCGACCGCGACUCGUUCGUCGCGCUGCGGCGAGAUUUGGCAACGAUAUCCGUCAACGCCGGCGCGUGAGAGUCCGCGACGACGACGACGACGACGACGACGACGACGACUGCACACAGUGUAUAAUACGCUAGCCUAGAAGAUGGGGUCGUGCGCCAGCGCGUUGACGCGCGAGGCGUCGAGCCGUAGGGACGAAGCAGACGCGGACGCGGCGGCGGCGGACGCGGUCGCGGGACGCCCGAGGCGCGUCCCGAACACGAACCGUCGCUUUUCUUCCUGCGCGACGACGCAUUCGUCCAUUCCCCGCAUUCGUCCGCCGACUGACCGACGUCUUCCGUCCGACUCUCUCACACCGCAGCGCGGUGAUUCUCACGCGCGCCGGCGUGCCCGCGACGUUAGUCAGAGAGCUGCUGCUGUUCUACGACGGCUUAGACGUAGGCGCGGUCGACGCGGGCGGCGGCGGCGGCGAGACGAAAAAAUGUAAAAGAUUAUUCCCCAGCGGCGGCGGCGAAACGCCGUACCUUCAGCGCGUCCAAACGCUCUUCGACCCCGAACGCGUGGGCGCCGUGCGUUUUCGGUGCUUCGUCCGCGCGCUCGCGAAGCUCGCGUCGCCGCGGCCGCAGUGCCCGGGGGAGACGUACUUCGCGUUUCGAUUUUUCGACGCCGACGACGACGGCGGCGUCUCGAAAAAGGAAUAUCGCGACGCGUUGGAAGCCGCGGAGGCGCACUUCGGCGGCGGGCGGGUGCGGUCGACGAAACCGAAACCGCGCUCACUCGACCGUUACGAUGCAUACGCACUCGAUGCCCCCAGCACGCCGAGCCGCCGCGGCGGAGGGUACUUCAACGGCGCGCGGUGCAACGCGAACGCGCGAGACGCGACGGCGACGCGCAUGUUCGACGCCUACGACCGCGACCGCGACGGCGCGUUGAGUCUGAGGCGCGUCCUGGUGGUCACACUGGUCCCCAUACGACCGCGUUGGCGUGGUGAACGCCGAUCCUUAAGGACUUUUGCCGGCGUUUCUCUCUUCCCACCCCUCGCUUUCGAUCACCGCCCUCGACGCCUCACGACUCCAUCUGACGCGCCCCCGAACUCCCCCCCCGACGUCGCUUCGUAUGGACAAUCACCCUCAGCGAGUUCACGCGCGCGCACGCGGCGUCGCGCGGCACGUUCGCGCCUCUCGCGGAGCUGUACGCGACGCUUCGUCCGCACAUCGUCCCCGCGUACGUCGUGAUGCGGACGCUGCGCGAGCGCGGGACGACGGACUGGGCGUUCAUGGACGCGGGAGAGAGCGUCGGCGAGGCGAAGGGCGGGUCGGAGAAUGAAGAAGCCGCGGCGGCGUCGCGCCGGCGGCUGGUCGCGGUGAAACGCGCGGACGAUGAGCGUUACGACGCGUUCGACAGCGUCUGCGAGGUCACGACGGCGGCGACGACGAAGACGAAGACGGCGUCCGCGGUCGAGCACGCGCGGCGCUCGAGGCGGAAAGCGGAGCGGAGGCGACCGAAGCCGCCUCGGAGCGUCGACGUAGACAGCGCGUUUUAAAAGAGUAAACAGACCUGGACAGGAAGCGCCAGCGAAGUUUCUCGGGGCGACCGAAGACCACCCGCGCCACAACAACCCGCGCCGCCGCACGCUCGCAGUCUCGCACCGCUCCAGAACGCGAUGAACGAGACAUCUAAGCGCCGUCGGGUCGAUCCAUCCGCGCCCGAAACGCCGGGCGGCGACGACCGCGCCCUGGGCGGCGGCGGCCUGGCAGCGCGCGUCCGCGAACUCGAAGAACUGUUGGAAGCCACGAGGACGGAGCUCGGGCGCAAGAAGGAGAAGCUCGCCGCCGCGGAAGCGACGAUCGCAGCGUACGCAAAGAUUUACCCGACGUUCGACGCGGACGAACAGCUCUCGAGCGCGGUGUUCUCGCACGUGACGGACGUCCGAACGCGCGUCGCCCUCGCGCAGGUGAACACCGUGUGGCGAAACGCUUCGAAAGUCGCGUCUUCGCUGAUGGCCUCGCUCGACUUCACGGGGUGUCCGGACAAGUGGAACGAGAAUAUGAGUUGGAAGACGAAGUGCGAAUACAUCCUUGGGAUCGAAGGCGUGCUCGAUCUGCCCGAAACGCGCUUUCACGCCCUUCUCGAACAGGCCGGGGCUGACUUGUCCAACACGAACGAGCAGUGCAACCUCGGUUUUUUCUACGACAGCUCGAAGCGUUACGACAAGGCGCUGGAGUGGUACAUGAAGGGAGCGCGUCAAGGCAGCGAGGUUUGUGAGAAUAACAUCGGAAUUUCCUACAGAUUCGGCCAAGGCGUAGAGAAAAAUAUCGACACGGCGCUGGAAUGGUUCACAAAGUCGGCCGAGAAGGAUCACGCCGGAGCACAAUACGAGGCCGGCGCUAUCCACUACGACGAGGGACGAUAUGAAGAGGCGUUCCAGUGGUUCACGAAAUCGGCCGCUCAAGGCGACACUGACGCGACAUUAGACCUCGGGGAGUGCUACGAGAAAGGCAACGGCGUGAAGAAGGACAUUUCCGAGGCGCUCAAACUGUACGGGAAGGCCAUCGAGAAGGGCCACGCUGAGGCGAAAGAAAACCUCCGUCGUCUGGUCGACGCGUUGCCGUGAACAUGCGUAGACGCGACGUCUUCGAGUCCGAUGAUGUAAAUGUCGCCAUCUACCCCCACCUUCUCUCCCCCUCGCUCUCAUCGCAACCUAAACGAGCACCGCGCGCCGUCUAAGCUCAAGAACCGCGUCGCUCAGCUCGAUCGGAAACGCGCGCGGCGACCGUCGACUGACGACACACAGAAAAAGUUCUUCCUCUCGACAGCGAGUUAUCCGAGAGGACCGCCGUCCUUUCCGCACUUCGUCAUGGCGCUCGCGGCGGCGACCGCGCCCGCGGCGUCGUUACGCCCCCCCGCGCGCGUCCAGCGGUGCGCCUCGUCCGUCCUCUCGUCCCUCUCUUCCGCUCCCGCCAUCGCGCGCCGUCGCCGCUCCUCGCGCGUCGCGUCGCGUCGCCGCUGACGUCGACGUCAUCAUCACCGCGUUUCGUUCCGUCGCGCGUUCGCAGGCGCCGUCGCGUCGUCGUCGUCGCCCGCGCGUCCGCGUCCGCGUCCGCGUCCGCGUCGCCCCCUCCCGGCCGCGCGACGUCGCCGCUGUCCCAACCCCCGGCCGACGCCCCCGCGGACCCGCGCGCGGCGCUGCGGGGCGUGAUGAUCCACCGCGCGUCCGACGGCGAGCUCGUGGACGUCAGGUGCGUUCUCCUUACACUGGUCCCCAUACGAUCCCGUCGGCGUAGUGAACGCUGAUCCUUAAGGACUUUUGCCGUCGUCUCUCUCCUCCCAGGGUCCCUCGCUUUCAAUCCCCGGCCUCGAUGCCUUUCAACUUCAACUGACGCCUUUCAACUUGCAUGGAAUGGCCCUCAGCGCGCAGUGGCGCGACGACGACAAGGCGGUCGUCGUCUUUCUUCGAUCGUUCGGCUGAUUCUUCUGCUGGGAGUUGGCGAUACAACUCCGGCGGGACGUGAAGCCGACGUUAGACGCGAACGGCGUGAAGCUCAUCGCGGUGUCGAUCGGGACGGUCGAUCGCGCGAAAGAGUUCGUGAGAGAGACGGAGUUCCCGAUCGAGUGCCUGUACGCGGACCCGGAGAAUAAGUGCUACGACGCGCUCAGGCGCGUGCUCCUCGCACUGGACUCCAUACGACCGCGUUGGCGUUGUGCACGCCGUUCCUUGAGGACUUUAUCUCCCGGCGCGCGUUUCUACCCGCUCACCCUUCGAUUUCGAUCCCCGCCCGCGACGCCUUUCAACUCCAUCCCUGACGCCUUUCAACUCCACCCCGACGCGACCCUCAGGCUGAACAAGUCGCUGAAAAACUUCUCGCAGAAAUCCACCCCGGAGAUGCUCCAGGCGCGGUGGAAGAAAGACGGCGCGAAGGAUCUGCGCGAGGUGUUCUCGCACUGGAAGCCGUGGAUCCCGCCGAAGCGCGAGCAAGGGUUCCAGCAGGGCGGCGUCUUCGCGUUCGAGGGCGACGAGUGCGUGUACCAAUUUUAUGACCCGAGCACGGGCGUACACGCGCCGUUCGACGACUGGCUCGUAACGCUCGGCGUCGGGCCGUUAGAGUCCGCCCCGGAGCCGGUCCCGAGGCCAGAGAAGAAGAAGAAUGAUGCGUGAAGUAAGUAUACGACGCGCGGUGUAGUAAAGUAGGUCCCGCGCGGGGGCGCGAGCGAACGGAACGUCCGUCGAAGUCUGGAUGACGCGCGCCCGCGUAAAACGCGCUUCGAACGAAGCGCGCCGCGGGCGCGUCGACGACGAAAACGCUUCACGACGGACCGUUAUCUCGACGCCCGCGCGAUGGGAAGCGCGCAGACGCGCGCGAUGACGAAUAGAGUAAACGUUAGCGGAGAGAAAGUGAGUUAGAAGCGAGACGCGACGCGGCGCGAGAAGCGAGAGCAUCGUCGAUUCUCAUAUAAAUUUCAUCAGCCCGCCUCGGAGGCCCUGGCUCGCUCGCUCUCGAGUCCCCGCCGUCAGUGCGCGGCACCUUUCGCCGCUUUCUGCUGCGCGACGCGCAUCAUGUACCUGCGAGGAGGAAACGCGAGGACCGCCGGGAAGGAAAGGUAAACGCGGGGACGUCAGAAGACGCGCGGUGACGGCGCGGCGUUCGAUCGAUCGCGGUCGUCGUUAGGGAUUGAUUCGUUCGCUCGCUCGGUCGACCGAUCGGUCGAUCGGGCGCGGCCCCCGCGACGCACUCUUUGUACUGGCACUUCUCGUACGCGUGCCUCUCGUGGCCGCACUUCCACGGUAUGUAAUACUCCGCCUUGCGGCACUCGUUCAGGGGGAUGAGCAGGUGCGCGCAGAAAUCGCGGUGCGCGAGGUCGAUCUUCGCGUCCUGCAUGUCCUUCUGCGUCGCGACCAUCUCGCGUCCUGCUCCGCCCAUUUGUGUUUUUCUUCCACGUCUCCUCCGCGCAGAGGGUCUCUCUCCUACUCGCGCGCGCGAUCGAGCGGUCGUUCGACGGCGGCGUUCGCGCGGGGAGGCGCGCGCGCGUCUCCGCGGUGGCGACGACGAGCGGCGAGCGGGGCGGGUGGACCCACGCGCGCGUUCGUAUGCGAGAAGACGAGGGAGAGACCGUGCGUAUGCUUGGUCCCUACUACAGAGACGAAAUGCUCCUGUGACCGCGGUCGGUACACCGUGCUGUCCCGGCCCGUUCGCCGGUCAAAGUCUUCUCCCGUUUAGGAAAUCCUUUCGCCGCGCGGCGUCGCCGUCGCAUUGACGAGCGGCGCCGGGCGGACGCGGACCCGGCCGGCUCUUUCUAGACCGCGAAGAGAGUCUCGACGAACGCGCGAGCGGAUUCGGAGUUCGCGCUAGGCGCUCCGAAGCUCGCGCGCCUUAACCGCCUCCGAUCUCCGGAGCGCUGGUGGAGGCGUCGAGGUCGAAUUUGAGACCGCAUCCGCGAGAACGUCGUCAGAGCAAGAGGGGGCUUCCUCGACGUGCGCGCCCGCCGAGCGCGCCGCCGCCGUCGUCGUCCUCCUCCUCCUCCUGACGCGUAUCGGGCAUCAUGGGCGAGGAUGACGAGAAGAAGCAGCAGAUGGAGGACCCGCAAGACGUCCUCCAGCGAUGGCUCAUCGCGCGCGUCGUGUCGUCGUUCAAGUGCAAGCCCGAGCAGGGCGACGCGCUGCUCGCGCAGGAGGUGUCCUACGGCGCGAUCAAUCAGUUCCUCACGGACGUGGAGUGCCCCCGCCUGAUGAUCAUCGCCUCGCCGGACCUCGUCGCGGUGCGCAUCGUGCCCGCGCCUCGAUUUCUCUGCCGCGGGUCUCCGUCCGCGAGGCGGCGCGCGCGCCGUCCGCGGCGGGCGGCCGAUCGUCGACGAUCGAUCGCUCUCGGAUCGAAUCCUCAAACGCCCCAAACGGCGAUAAAAUAAAUGAUGAAACGAUUCGAUUCGAUCCGCGCCCGCGACGAAUCGAUCGGUCGAUGUAUCGAUCGGUACAUCGAUCGAUCGAUCGACCCCCGCGCGCGAUCGCCCGCUCGAUCUCCACCCCGCCCCGCCCGACGCCAUCGCCAUCGCCAUCGCCGACGCCGUCCCUCGCCGACCCUGACCCCCCCCGCCCGCCGUCCCUCGACCGACGCGACGAAUGACAGACGACGACGCCGCCGGAGAAAUUUCGAAAGAAGACGCUGUGUUUCCUCAAGCUCAACCAAGAGGAACUCUCCCCGGAGAACGUCGACCAGGAGGUCAUCUACGGCGAUUUCGGCGACGUCCCGCUGGAACACCUCAGCGUGCUCGCGCGGGAGGUUUUCCUGCCGAUGCUCACAAACCCCCGGAAUCAGGUUGGGUGGCCCGAGGUGAUCACGCGCGAGGUGGUGGAGAACUUGCACAAGUUCAUCGCCAACGUGUACGUGACGAUCGGGCAGACGAAGGGCAAGACGCUGCUGCCGCUGCCGCCGGACGACGACGCGAAGCCGUCGACGUCGUCGAGCGCAGGGUCCGCGGCGGGGUCGGAUGCGGGCGGGCCUUCGUCGGACACGGAUAAGAUUCACGUGUUGGAGAGCGCCAUCGUGACGUGGACGAAGCAGAUCAAGGGCGUGCUGAAGAUGGACCCGGAGGCGGCGCUGAAGAGCGGGGAGAACCCCGGGCCGCUCGCGGAGCUGGAGUUUUGGGAGGACAAGGCUGCGAACUUGAACGCGAUCCACGAGCAGCUCUCCGGGUCGAAGAUUCGCAAAGUCGUCAAGGUGCUGGAGGUUACGAAAUCGUCCUACUACCCCGCGUUUCAUCGCCUGUGCGGCGAGGUGGCGCACGCGCGCGUCGAGGCGAACGACAACGUGCUGUUCCUCAAGCCGCUGGACAAGUACUUCCAACGGCUGAACAUCGGCGACGAGUUCCCGCAGCUAGUGGAGAUCUUCAAGCCCAUCAUGCACGUGGUCCUGAUGGUGUGGAAGCACUCGCACCACUACAACACCCCCGGGCGGAUCGUCGUGCUCAUCCGCGAGAUUUGCAACGACCUCAUCAUGCAGUCGCAGAAGUUUGUCGCGGGGAACGAGAUCUUCGAGGCGGAGCCGCCCGAGGCUGUGGAGAAGCUGAAGCAGACGUUGAAGGUGUGCGGCACGUUCAAGUCGUUCUAUUUCGACUACAAGUCAAAGACGAACAACGAGACGCCGCAGAACCCGUGGAGGUUUCAAAACUCCGCGCUGUUCAGCCGCCUAGACACGUUCCUCGAGCGCUGCCACGACAUCUUAGACUUGACGAUGACGGUGCUGCAGUUCAACAAGCUCGAGAGGGUGGAGAUUGGCGGCACCAAGGGCAAAUCGCUGACGAACAGCGUGCAGCAAGUCUUCGCCGAUUUCCAAGAGGCGGUCGAGAAGUUCCACGCCGUGGAGUACGACAUCAUGGACGUGGACAACAAGCAGUUCGAGAAUGACUUCUACGAGUUCCGGUGCGUCAUCAAAGAGCUCGAACGGAGACUCGGGUCGAUCAUCAUUCAGGGUUUCGAAGACUGCGUCACCGUCGCGGCUUCGUUCAAGCUGUUCGACAGCUUCGAAGGGCUCCUCGACCGCGAGAUCAUCGCGACAGAUCUGGAAAAGAAACAGAUCGAGCUCAUGCGUUUCUACGGCGACGACCUCAAGGACGUCUCGGAGAUUUUCGCGACGCAGAAGGACAACCCGACGUUGGCGAAGAACUCGCCGCCGCACGCGGGCGCGGUGUCCUGGGUGAGAGGCCUCGUGGCGCGCAUAAAGGAGCCGAUGGAAAAACUUCAGGGACUGAACAAGCUCGUCACGGAGACGGACGAGAGCAAGGACAUCCAGAAGCAGUACGACGUGCUCAUGGCGUCGCUGAUCGCGUACGAAGAGAACGAGAUCAAGCUCUGGAGCGCGGAGGUUGAGGCCACGGGUGAGGAAAAGUUGAAGAAAAAUUUGCUCGCGCCGGAUGAGAAGGGCGAGAUCCCCGGGAUCCUCCGCGUGAACUUCGACCCGAUGCUCGUCAGACUGCUGCGCGAGGUGAAGUACUUCCUCCUCCUCGGCGUCGACGUCCCGGCGUCCGCGUUGAAAGUCUACGAGAGGUCCGAGACGCUUCGUCAGCAGACGGGUAACCUCGACCUCAUCGUCGUGACGUACAACACGAUGCUGCGCAACUUGCUCGACGUGGAGAAGCCUCUCGUGGAGAAACGGCUCAAGGUGAUCGAAGACGCGCUUCAAAAGGGCAUCUCGAAGCUCAACUGGAACUCGCACAAGAUCAACGACUACAUCCAGGAGGUGAUGGGGUUCGUGAAGGAGCUCGACACGAUGCUCGAGACGAUCAAAGGGAACGUGGAGAAGACGCGUAAGGUGCUUCAGGGCUGGGCGGAGAACUUGAUGUUCAGCCGCAAGGAGGGUAAAACGUACGACGUCGAGGAGUUUCAGUCCGCGCAGAAGGACCUCCAGGCGAAGAGAAACGACGAGAUUGUCGAGGGCGCGGCGGCGAUCACGCGGUACCUCGCGGCGUCGAGCAAAGCGCUCAAGGACAUCCCGCGCGCGUCCAAGGCGUGGAAAGACUACGUCGAGUACGUCAACGACAUCGUCAUCGAGGGUUUCAGCAACGCGAUCAUGGCGUCCGUGGCGUACGUGAACGAGCAGGUGAACCCGGAGCUGGUGUCGAAGAACGAGACGGUGCCGCUCGUGGAGGUGCAGCUCGAGCUCCAGGCGCCGGACAUCUGCUGGAAGCCGGAGAUUGGCCAAACCGCGGACGGCGAGGGCGUGCGCGAUCGCUUCAACUCGUGGAUCGGGAACUUUCAGGCGAUCGGGACGCUGAUGAAACGCCUGGACAUCGGCGAAGGGAACUACACGCUGGAGCUCGAGGAGGAUUACAACGUCAUGGACGCCAUCUCGGCGAUUCAAGACGUCGUCCUCGCGAACGAGGCGGAGUGCAUCGCGUUCAAGGAGAGCUACACGAAGUACGAGUACCUGUGGAAGACGGACCUCCCGACCGCGCUCGCGACGUUUCUGGAGGAGAACACGAACGCGGAGGAGGGCCAGGACGAGCCGCCGCUGGAGUUAUUCGACGAGCAGAUCGCGCGGUACAAGGCUGUGCAAGAAGAGAUUCAGGCGCUGACGACGACGUCCACGAUCGCCUGGGUGAAGGUGGACGCCAAGCCGAUGAAGCAGGCGCUCGCGACGUGGAUCACGAAGUGGAUUUUCCUGUACACGCAGUACCUGUCGAACAAGGUGAUCAACAGCAUGGACGACCUGUACGCGUUCAUGAAGCUCGGAAACACCGUGCUGGACAUGGACCCGACGGCCAUCGCGGAGCCGUCCGCGGCGACGGAGCCCGCGGAGGACGCGAGCGGCGAGGCCGGCGAGGGCGAGGGCGCCGAAGGUGCCGAAGGUGCCGAGGGUGCCGAAGGUGACGCCGCCGCGCCCGCGCCCGCGGAAAAGAAGGAGAGCGCCGCGGAGAAGAAGCAAAAGAUGCUCUACGACAUGAUGGCGUACAUGCGCGACUUGAGGAAACGCGAGGAGAAGACGGACGUCAUGUUCGAACCGCUGCAGGCGACGGUUGCUCUGUUGAAGACGUACGGCAUCUCCACGUCCGAGGAGGUGCUCAAGCAGCUCGAGGAGGCGCCGCUCGCGUGGAGCGCGCUGAAGAAGAAGAUGCUCAACGUCCGCGAGAAGCUGUCGUUGAUGCAGCAGCUCGAGGCGCGAAAGAUUCGCGAGGAGUCGGACAAGUUUGGAAAGCAGGUGGAGGACUUCCGGACGAUGUUCCAGAAGACGGCGCCCGUCACGGUGGCGGCGAGCACGAUCAAAGUCGACGACGUGCGACCCGCGUACGACAUCCUGGACCACUUCCACCACGGCGAGAAGGACGACAAGUUUAUCUUUGGCUCGUUGUCCACCAUCGCCACGGAGGCGAGCGCGUUGAAUGAAAAGCAAGAGCUCUUCGAGCUGCACGUGAGCGAUUACCUCGCGUUGCAACGCAGCGCCGAGGACCUCGCCUUUUUGAAGGCGCUGUGGGACAUGGCGUCGUCGGUCAUCUUCACGUUUGACAGCUGGAACAUCACGCUGUGGAACGCCAUCGACGUCGAGUUUCUCAUGGACGAGACGAAGAAGCUCGCCAAGGAGGUGAAGAUGCUCCCCAAGGGGUGCCGCGCGUACGACUUGUAUAAAAUUCUGGAGGAUCAGGUCAAGGCGCUGCUGACGUCGCUUCCUCUCGUGAGCGAGCUGCAUCACCCGUCGAUGCGCGAGCGGCACUGGAAGCAGCUCAUGAAGGCGACGGGGAGGCACUUCGUGAUGGACGACAAGUUCAGCCUCGGCGACUUGCUCAACCUCGAGCUGCACACGUGCGUCGACGCGGUGAGCGAGAUUGUCGAGCGCGCGCAAAAGGAGAUUGUGAUCGAGAAGCAGCUGAAGAAGAUCGAGGAGACGUGGUCGGGGUUGAACCUCGACUUCAAGCCGUUCCCGGACAGCGAGGUGUUGAACCUCGUCAUCGACGACUUGAUCUUGGAGGCGCUCGAGAACGACAACCUCGCGUUGCAAAACUUGGGGGGGUCCAAGUACGUCCAAGGGAACGCCAAGUUCAACGAGAUGACCGCGGAUUGGCAGAAGAAGCUCGGCACCGUGGACAACGUCCUCAACGUGUGGCAAGACGUCAGCAAAAAGUGGAGCAUGCUCGAGUCCGUCUUCGUCGGCAGCGCGGACAUUCGCGUCCAGCUCCCGGAGGACUCAAAGCGCUUCGACGGCAUCAACGCGGACUUCCAGGCCAUCAUGCGCGACGCCCCCGACGUGUUGAACUGCGUCGAGGCGUGCAACAUGGACGGCAGACUGGAACGUCUCGAGGUCAUGCUCGGUCUCCUCGAGCAGUGCGAGAAGGCGCUGCAGGACUACCUCGAGACGAAACGCAUCGCGUUCCCGCGUUUUUAUUUCGUCGCCCCCGCGGACCUUCUGGACAUCCUCUCGAAAGGGACCAACCCGCAGCUCAUCCUGCGUCACCUCUCGAAGUGCUUCGACAACGUCCACAACAUGUCCUUCCUCGAGGACGAGAAGGGGAACCCGUCGAAGAACGCCAUCUCGAUGUGGUCCGGGGAGAACGAAAACGUCGCCUUCAAGGAGCCGUGCAUCUGCGACGGUCCCGUGGAGACGUGGCUCGGCGCCGUCGUCGACUCGAUGCGCGAGGCGCUAUUCGUCGAGUUUGAAGCCUCCGCGCCCAAGUACGACGAGAUGCCGCGCGUGAAGUGGAUGUUUGAGCAGUCGGCGCAAAACACGAUCACGGUGUCGCGCAUGAUUUUCACGCAAGAGAUCAACGAGGCGUUCGAUCAGCUCGAGGAAGGGAACGACAACGCGGUGAAGGACAUGUGGCAGAAGCAGGUGGAUCAGCUCGCGGGCCUCAUCGAGGUUGUCAACGGGAAGCUCGAGAAGCUGGACCGGAAGAAGGUGCUGACGUUGUGCACCAUCGACGUGCACGCGCGCGACGUGUGCCAAAAACUCCUCGACGAACGCGUCGACGUCGGCAGCGCGUUCCAGUGGCAGUCGCAGCUGCGGUACGGCGUCCACGAGAAGACGGGGAAGCUCAUGAUUUACGUCUGCGACGCGGAGAUUCCGUACAUGUACGAGUACAUCGGGUCCCCGGGGUGCUUAGUCAUCACCCCGCUCACGGAUCGGUGCUACAUCACGCUGACGCAAGCGCAGAGGCUCGUCCUCGGCGGCGCCCCCGCGGGCCCCGCGGGGACGGGCAAGACGGAGACGGUGAAGGAUCUCGGUCGCGCGCUCGGCAUUCAGGUGUACGUCUUCAACUGCUCCGAUCAGAUGGAUUACAAGGCGAUGGGGCAGACGUACAAGGGCUUGGCGCAGACUGGCGCGUGGGGCUGCUUCGACGAGUUCAACCGCAUCCCGGUGGCGGUGUUGUCCGUGUGCUCGACGCAGUACAAGACGGUCCUCGACGCGAUUCGCGCGAAGAAGUCGCAGUUCAUGUUUGAAGACGUGGAGAUUUCGCUGCGCCCGUCCACGAUGGCGUUCAUCACGAUGAACCCCGGCUACCCCGGUCGCGCGGAGCUCCCGGAGUCGCUCAAGGCGCUGUUCCGACCGGUGUCCAUGUGCGUCCCGGAUCUGCAGCUGAUUUGCGAAAACAUGCUCAUGGGCGAGGGGUUCUUGCAGUCCAAGAUUCUCGCGCGCAAGUUUGUGAUUCUCUACAAGCUCUGCGAGGACUUGCUCUCCAAGUCGGCGCACUACGACUGGAAGCUACGGGCAAUCAAGACGACGCUCUACGUCGCCGGCGGUCUCAAGCGCGACCAGCCGCACCUCUCCGAGGACAAGGUGCUUCUGCAGGCGCUUCGCGAUUUCAACCUCGGGAAGCUCACCGCGGACGACCACGGCAUCUUCAUGGGUCUCCUUAACGAUCUCUUCCCCAAGAUGCUCGACCAAGUCCCGCGUCAGCGGAACGAGUCGUUCGAGGAUAAGAUUGUGAAGUCCGCGGUGGAGCUCGGGUACCAGCCCGAGGAGGCUUUCGUGUUGAAGAUCACGCAGCUCCGCGAGAUUUUCGGCGUGCGGUGGUCCGUGUUCCUUCUCGGCCCCGCGGGGUGCGGUAAAACCGCCGUGUGGCGGACGUUACUUCUCGCGCAAAACAAGUACGGCGAGAAAUCGCGCGCGGUGCCGGUGAACCCCAAGGCGGUGUACCGCAACGAGCUCUACGGAUUCCUCCACCCGUCCACGCGCGAAUGGAAGGAGGGGCUGAUGUCCGUGACGUUCCGCGACAUGUCGAACAACAAGGUGUACAUCAAUCAGUGGAUCGUCCUCGACGGCGACAUCGACGCGGAGUGGAUCGAGUCCAUGAACACGGUGAUGGACGACAACAAGAUGCUCACGCUCGCGUCGAACGAGCGCAUCCCGCUGACGAACUCGAUGCGACUUUUGCUCGAGAUCAACCACAUGGUGCACUGCUCCCCCGCGACGGUGUCUCGCGGCGGCGUGAUUUACUUGAACCAGGACGACAUCGGCUGGCAGCCGAUGGUGGAGUCGUGGAUCCAGUCGCGCGAGGCGGUGGACUACCGCCCGCUUCUCGUCGAGCUGUUCGAUCGCUACCUGGAGAAGUCUCUGGAGCACUGCCGGAGAAACUUCCGGACGAUCGUGCCGCUCGUGCCGAUGAACAUCGCGGGCACGGUGUGCAAGAUUCUCGAGGGAAUCAUCCCGUCUGAGAACGUCCGCGGGCAGAAGCCGGACAAGAAGCUCCUCGAGGCGCAGUUCGUCUUCGCGUGCGUGUGGGCCCUCGGCGGCGCGAUGCUCGUGGACAAGGUGGUGGACUUCCGCCUGCAGUUCCACAAGUGGUGGAUCAGCGAGUGGAAGGAGGUGCUGUACCCCGAGGGCGGCUUGGUGUUCGAUUACUACGUUAACGACGAAGCGCAGAUGACGCCGUGGACGGAUAAGGUUGAGGGCUACGGCUACAACCCGUCCGAGGCGUUCGCGAACAUCUUCGUGCCGAGCGUGGACAGCACGCGCCUGUCGUAUUUCCUGAACAGCUUCAUCAAGAACAAGCACUACUGCAUGUUCGUCGGAAACGCGGGCACGGGAAAAACCGCGCUCAUGCGCGAAAACUUGAAGAACCUCGACGCCGAGGCGUGGACCUUCUCCACGGUGAACAUGAACAACUUCAUGGACGCGCCCGCGCUGCAGGUCAUCUUGGAGCAACCGCUCGAGAAGAAGUCCGGCGUGCGCUUCGGCCCGCCCGGCGCGCGUCGCCUCGUGUACUUUUUCGACGACAUCAACAUGCCCUUCGUGGACAAGUACGACACGCAGACGCCCAUCGAGCUCGCGCGUCAAAACAUCGACUACCGCGGCUGGUACGACAAGAACAAGAUCGUCCUCAAGGAGGUGCUCAACUGCCAGUACAUGGCGGCGAUGAACCCCACCGCGGGGUCGUUCAACAUCACGCCGCGCAUGCAGCGUCACUUCGUGACCUUCGCGGUGCAGAUGCCGUCGAAGGACGCGGUGCGAUCGAUGUUUUCGCAAAUCAUCGACGGCCACCUGAUGGAGUUUGACAACGACAUCCAGAAAAAGGCGGCGGCGCUCGCGGACGCGUCGAUCGAGAUUCACUCGCUCGUCGCGAACACGUUUUUGCCCUCCGCGGUGAAGUUUCACUACCAGUGGAACCUGCGCGAGCUGUCGAACAUCUGCCAGGGCAUCUGCCGCGCGAUUCCGGAGUUUUACACCAACCCCGUGACCAUGGCGCGCCUGUGGAUCCACGAGUGCGAGCGCAUAUUCUCCGACCGCAUGGUGGCGCAGGCGGACAUCACCAAGUUUGACGAGAUGCGCGUCCUCGUGACGAAGAAGUACUUCAGCGACCUCGAGAUGGAACAAGUCGAGGCGCGCCCGGUGUCCUACAACGCGUUUCAGCAGUUUGACAACAACGACGAGGGCGCGUACUGCGCGUGCGCGUCGUACGAAAAGCUGAACAAGACGCUCGUGGAAAAGCUCGCGGAGCACAACGAGUCCAACCCGGUGAUGGACCUCGUGCUCUUCAACCAAGCCAUGGACCACGUGACGAGAAUCACGCGCAUCUUGAACCUCCCGAGAGGGAACGCGAUGCUCGUCGGCGUCGGCGGCAGCGGGAAGCAAUCGCUCGCGAAGCUCGCGACGUUCAUCUGCCAGUACGACGUGUUCCAAAUCUCCGUGACGUCUUCGUACGGCAUCGUCGACUUCAAGACGGAUCUCCUCGGGUUGUACACGAAGGCGGGCGUCAAGGGGACGCCGGUUACGUUUUUGAUGACGGAUUCGCAGAUCGUGAACGAGCGCUUCUUGGUGUACAUCAACGACCUCCUCUCGAGCGGGUUCAUUCCCGACCUCAUGACCCCGGAGGACAAGGAGAACAUGUGCAACGCGGUACGGAACGAGGUGAAAGCCGCGGGGAUCGUGGACACGAAUGAAAACUUGUGGGACUUUUUCAUCGACAAGGUUCGCAAGUACCUGCACGUGUGCCUGUGCUUCUCCCCCGUCGGCGACAAAUUCCGCGUGCGCGCGAGAAACUUCCCCGCGCUCAUCAACUGCACCGUCAUCGACUGGUUCCAGCCGUGGCCGCACGAGGCGCUCGUCUCCGUCGCCGGGCGGUUCCUCGCGGACGUCCCGAACAUCGACGAGGCGCUGUUGGAGAACUUGCAGUUCCACUGCGCCUUCACGCACAUGGCGGUCAACGACGCGUCAGGCGCGUACUUCAACGAGGACCGACGCUACAACUACACGACGCCCAAGUCGUACCUGGAGCUCAUCUCGCUGUACAAGUCGAUGCUCGAUCAGAAGCGACUCGACUUAAAACACGCCAAGGAACGUCUGGAGAAUGGGGUGGACAAGAUCGCGCAGGCGUCCGCGCAAGUCGCGGACCUUCAGGCGAACCUGAAGGAGGAGCAGGUCAUCGUCGAGGAAAAAAAGGCCAACACCGACGCGCUCAUCGUCAGCAUCGGCCAAGAGAAGGCGAUCGUCGACGAAGCCGUCGAAGCCGGCAGCGCGGACGAGGCGGAGUGCGCGGCGAUCGCGGAGGAAGUCUCCGCGUUCCAGGCUGAGUGCGAGGAAGAUUUGAAAGCCGCGGAGCCCAUCAUCCAAGCCGCCGAGGCGGCGCUGAAUUCGCUGGAUAAAAAGUCGCUGGGCGAGCUCAAGUCCUUCGGCUCUCCCGCCGCGGAGGUUGUUCAGGUGGCGUCGGCGUGCAUGGUGCUCACCGCCCCGGGCGGGAAGAUCCCGAAAGAUCUCUCGUGGAACGCCGCGAAGAAGUCGAUGGGCUCGGUGGAUAAGUUCCUCAACGACCUCAUCAACUUCGACAAGGACAACACCCCGGAGAAUUGCGUCGAGAAGUGCGAGAAGGAUUACCUCUCCAACCCCAACUUCAACCCGGAGUACAUCGUGAACAAGUCCGGCGCCGCCGCCGGCUUGUGCGCGUGGGUCGUGAACAUCUGCAAGUACUUCCGCAUCUACCAAGUCGUCGCGCCGAAGCGCAAGCUCCUCGCGGAGGCGAACGCGAAGCUCGACGCGGCGAACAAGAAGCUCGCGGGGAUUCGCGCCAAGGUGAAGGAGCUCCAAGACAAGGUGGCGGCGCUGGAAGAUAACCUCAUGAAGGCGACGGAGGAUAAGAACGCCGCCAUCGCGCAGGCGGAGAAGACGCAGAAUAAAGCCAACCUCGCGGACCGCCUCGUGAACGGGCUGUCCGGAGAGAACAAGCGUUGGGGCGCGGCGAUCGAGCAGUUUGGCGUCCAGGAGACGAAGCUCGUCGGCGACGUCCUCGUCGCGUCGUCCUUCGUCUCCUACGCCGGCGCGUUCAACUCCAAGUUUCGUAAAUUUCUCGUCGAAGAAAAGUGGCUGCCGGAUCUCAUCGAACGCGAAAUUCCGAUGACGCAAGGGAUCGUGCCGCUGGACGUCCUCGCGACCGCGGGACAGAUGGCGCAGUGGGGCAUCGAGGGCUUGCCCACGGAUCCGCUGUCGAUCGAAAACGGCGCCAUCAUGAGCUCCGCCGCGCGGUGGUCGCUCAUGAUCGACCCGCAGCUUCAGGGCAUCCGAUGGAUCAAAGAAAAGUGGGGCGAUAAACUUAAGAUCAUCCAGCUGUCCAAGGCGAACUACAUCAACGACGUCGAGCACUGCAUCGAGAACGGGAUCCCGCUGAUGAUUGAAAACUUGCAGGAUGACAUCGACGCGGUGCUGGAUCCGGUGGUGGCGCGUCAGACGACGCGACGCGGGCGCAACGUCGUGAUGAAGCUCGGCGACAAAGAGGUGGACUACGACCCAAACUUCAAGCUGUACCUGCAGACGAAGCUGUCGAACCCGCACUACAAGCCCGAGAUCGCGGCGCAAGCGACGCUGGUGAACUUUUGCGUCACGGAGAAGGGUUUAGAGGACCAGCUCUUGGCGCUCGUCGUGUCCAAAGAACGCGCGGAUUUGCAGCAGCAGUCGUCGGACCUCGUCCGACAGCUCGGCGAGUACACCGUGCAAAUCACGCAGCUCGAAGACAACCUCCUCGUGCGUCUCUCCAACGCGCAGGGCGAUAUCCUGGAGGACAUCGAGCUCAUUGAAAACCUCGAGGAGACGAAGCGCACCGCGACGGAGAUCGCCGAGAAGGUGAUCCAAGCCAAAGAGACGCAAAAGAUCAUCGACGUGACGCGAGACGUCUACCGCCCCGUCGCCGCGCGCGGCGCGUUGCUCUACUUCCUCGUCGACGUCCUCAACGUCCUCGACCGCGUGUACCAGUACUCCAUGGCGAACUUUGUGUACAUAUUGAAGAAGGGCAUGGACGUCUGCCCCGGCGGCGCGGACAACACGCACGUGCCGCCGGAUAAGCGGCUCGCGGAGCCGCUCCCCGUGGAGAAGCGCGUCGAGGCGCUCAUCGAAUCGGUGUCGUCGCAAGUCUUUGGGUACAUCGCGAGCGGUCUCUUCGAGCGGCAUAAGCUCAUCGUCGCCGCGCAGCUCACGAUGAGCGUCCUGAAGAAGCAAGGGAAGCUCCCGGCGCAGCAGUUUGACUGGCUGUUGCGCGGGCCGCGCGUCGCGGGGGUGGAGAAUCCGCUCGAGGAGUGGAUCGCGCAAGGCAACUGGGAGUGCAUCCAGUCGUUGCAAGAGCUCGACGGCUACGGGCAACUGCCUGGGGAUCUUCAAGGGUCUGCGAAGCGCUGGCGCGAGUGGAUGGAGCUCGAGCGACCGGAGGAGGAGCCGAUGCCGGGGGAUUGGAAGAAGAUGGAGGAUUUCGAGAAGCUGCUGUUGUUCCGCGCGCUGCGGCCGGAUCGGAUGUCCAACGCGUUGUCCACCUUUGUCAAAUCCGUCAUCGGACAGAGGUACGUCACGUCGGCGGCGUUCGACCUCGCGGAGUCGUACAAAGAUUCCGCGCCGGGGACGCCAAUCUUCAUCUUCCUCUCCCCGGGCGUCGACGUCGCCGCCGCGGUGGAAGCGCUCGGUCUCAAGCUUGGGUUUUCGUCCGAAAACGGUCGCUACGCCGCCGUUUCGCUCGGACAAGGCCAAGAGCCGAUCGCGAUGAACAACCUGCAAAACUUCCACAAAAACGGCGGCUGGCUGCUGCUCCAAAACAUCCACCUCACGAUCGACUGGACGAACGGCCCGCUGGAGAAGACCGUGGACAAGCUCGCGGAGGGCGCGCACGCCGACUUCCGGCUGUUCCUCUCCGCGGAGCCGCCGCCGAGCCUCGAGCGCGGCAUCGCCAUCUCUCUCCUGCAAAACUCCAUCAAGCUCACGAACGAGCCCCCGGAGGGCAUGAAGCAAAACCUCAUGCGCGCGUACGGCAACUUCAACGAGGAGAUGUUCGAGGCGGCGUCCAAGCAGGGCGAGUUCAAGGCGAUCAUCUUCGCGCUGUGUUACUUCCACGCCGCGAUUCUCGAGAGGAAGAAGUUUGGCGUCGGGAACAUGCCCGACGCCGCGUCGGGCAUCGGCUGGAACAUGAAUUACCCGUUCAACACGGGCGACUUGCUCUGCUGCGGCCAGUGCGUGAACAACUACCUGGAGAACAACACCAAGGUGCCGUGGGACGACCUGAAGUACAUCAUCGGAGAGAUCAUGUACGGCGGGCACGUCGUCGAGGACUGGGACAGGAGGACAGUGGAGAUGUACCUCGAGUCGUACCUCCGAGAGGAACUCCUCGAGGGGAUCGAGUUUUUCCCGAAAUUCACCACGCCGCCGUCCAAUCUGAACCACCGGCAGACGAUGGAGUUCAUCCAAGAGACGUUCCCGACCGAGUCCCCGCUCGCGUUCGGGCUGCACCCGAACGCGGAGAUCGGGUUCAAGCUCCGAGAGGCGGAGCUCCUGUGCUCGUCCAUCUUGUCGCUGCAGCCUCGCGACGGCGGCGGCGAGGAGGGCGCGUCGGUGGAGGACCAAGCCAAGAUGGUGCUCGACGACCUCGUCGAGCGGCUCCCCGAUCAGUUCGACAUGGAAGACAUCCGCUCGCGCACGGACGACAU